UUUUUUUUUUUUUUUUUUUUUUAAGUUUUGCAAAAUGCAGCUAUCAAGAUUCGAACUCAAGACCUUUGUAAUAUAAGACCAAUGUAUUAACCGUUGCACAAUCACAUCUUAUUAGUUUUUUUUGAUAACUUAUUUAUAUAAAACAAACACUCAUAUUUCUUUUUUUUAUUUUUCUUACAAAAUCUCAUCCUCUCAUGUCUCUUUCUUUUUAAUCUUCAACUCCCUCUCUCUCUAUCCUCUUUUCUUUUGUCACUCCCUUUUUAAUCAAACCUCUUUAUUUUUAAUUUAUUGAUGUUUUCUUCCAUCUUUUAAUUUGGUUUUUGUCCAUUAAAUUGAAAAAAGUUAAAAAAGAAUUAUUUUUCUUUAACCCAAAUUAUUUAAUGCCACAACCACUCACUUUUAUCUCAUUUUUUGUUUGUUAUCAAGUUUACAUUUCUAUUUUCGAUUCUCUUGACUUCCUUCGAACUCCAAACUUCCUUUUUUAAAUUGCAAUCUCUAAAUCCUAAAACGUAAAUUAAAAUUUAAGUUCACAAUGUCUAAAUUCUCAUAGACGUGAAUUUUGUAUAAUUUCAAAAUAUUGUGAUAUUUUUGGGUUGGAUUUAGAUAUAAUUGAAAUUCAGAUGAAUUUUAUUUGUUUUAACUUAUAAUUUAAAAAAUUUAUUUUUAAAAAUCCAAGUUAUUAAAAAAUAGUAAACUUUUCAUCAUAUAAAGUAUUAAAUUAGUCCAUUACAUGUCUUAUUUUGUGCAUAUAUAUAUAUAUUUAUAUAAAUUAUUUUUUAAAAAAUUCAUUGAACCGGGGUUGAACCUCGACCCUUUCACUUCACCGGUUCAAUUAACGGUCCGGUUUUUAAAACAUUGGUUUCUUCACCAUAAUUAUCUCAAAAAGAAAAAAAAAACUUGGCACAGUUCAGCUUUGGCUCUGCCCUUUUGAAAAAAAAAAAAAAAACGUACUUCAUUAUCAGUUGCAAACAUUAAUAUACAAUUUGUGCUGCAUUCACAAGGCAAUUGCAUGGUUGGUUGAUGAGCAUAUGCAUCUUGUAUACGUGCCACGGCACUUUCGUGCGAGCAACCUUUCCCCUAGUCUAUUCACAAGGCAGCUGGAAGUGAGCCGUUACGGUCCAAUGAUCCCGCAGCUUAGUCCUUAUUUCCACAGUUGGGAUCCUCUAUGCCACUAUUCGGUGCCAAAUCCGGUGUCAAUCUCACUUAUCACGUGAUGAUAGAAGAAAUUUAAAUAAAUAGCACAUGACAAAUUAAAUAAAUAGGAUAUUUGGCAUAAAUAUUGAAGUGGCACUGUAUUAUCAAGAAAAAAGUGGCCCUGAGAAUCCCGUGUGUUAUUUCCAGGGGUUUCACGUAAAACACUCUUUAGACGAGGUGCCUUAAAUCUAUCUGACUGUCAGGUUUCUUCAAAGUGGAAAGUUUAUAAUUAUAUAUACCCUCAGUAUGACUUACAUCCCUCUCUUAUAGAUAUGUACUUCGUGGCAUUCUUGGUAGGACUAGAUUUCCACAACUAUCACUUGCACAGAAGUGGAAUGUGAAUUUAAUUAGUAGGAGCUAACAAUAAUGAUAUUUAGAUGUUUUGACAAUAUAUGAAUGUAUAUACGUAUGUAUGUAUAGCGCCGAAGACAAUAUCGAGCGAGUAAUAACAGCUUCUAAUUGUACUUCUCCAGUGGCAUCUUGUAGAUAAAUUAAAUGCCUUGUAUUGUACUCCUAUAUGUGGUUAACAGCAAAGCUAAAAGAGGAAAGAAGUACGUAGUAAGUAGUACUAGUAAGUUUCAAAUAUGGCAUUAGCAAAAAUGGCACGCGCAAUUAAUGUCCGUAAUUUCUCAAUUUACUCAUUAACCAACAUAUUAUUGAGGAUGAUGCCCUUUUCCAAAUGAAAUUAGCAAUAGCCAAGGGUGUGAUAUCGUAAGUGGAGUGUGGGCGCCAUCACCGUGUAAGCGGCACUAAUCAAUUUGGAAUCCCUUUCGUCCCGUUAUUCCUGCCCAAUCCAACUGGGGGUUUGGUCCGGUGUUCGCCUAUUCUAGUAUUCUCUUCUUCUUCGAAAGGGUAAAAUGCAGCCCAUGUGCUUGGAACAACUAGUAAGUAGGUUACUAAUGCCAACGAGAGGUUGUAAGUUCAAUUCCUGCACGUGAUGCCUUGAAAAGCUUUAGGAUAGACCUUCACCCCGAGGGUAAGAGCUGGACUUUGCGGCCGCUCUUUGGACCAAAUCCGAAUUAGUCUCACCGAGGGUAGGGCGAAAGGUCAAAUCUUAUCUCUCAUUACUUUGUAAUUAUUUGGCUUCUCCAAAUCUAUAUGGGUGCAUGGUGCACCAAAUUUCAUUCAAUGACAGUUCAAACUCCGUCAAUUCCUUUAUUGACUCAGUUGGACCUCUCCUAAAAUAAGUUAGAUUAGAAAUAGAGUAAAUGAUAUCUAUUGACAAAAAAAAAAGGUAAAAUGCCAGGAAAAAGGGUGGUUUUUGUUGGGUCUUGGCAAGUUCUUGGAACCGUCUAAUCUAAAUGAAGUCCAAUCCAUCCUACACAAAAGGAAACCCCAUUUGAGUCUUGUCCGCCCGACCAUGGACAUAAACAAACUCGCAUUACACGAAAACAAAUUGGAACAAAACAUACGCUUAUUAUGAGUACCUUUCAAUUACGAGGGUCAUAGAACAGUUUUUUUUUUUUUUCUAUUAUCACUAUCUACAUCAACUUCUAUUUUAAAUUAUGCUUGAGAAUGAUCCAACAGGAUCACAGGAAAUCAAUAGAAUUAAACCACCAUCAGAUUAUAAGAAUGCAAAAAGCACUCAUUUAAAUUUAAGAGAAAUCACAUGAACUUUUAAUGAAAUGCGAGAUUUGAAAUUUUAACCCUUUGCCCCACCAAAAAAGACACGUGUGAGAUAAUUGGUUUCAUAGAAUAGUUCAAGGACCCGAUAUUUGCCUUUGGUCUCCUCGUGAAUUGUGACGCCAUCCCUUGUCGACAUCUCCAGGGUCAAUCACCAACGCCCGCCCGUCACUUUCCUUGCGUGGAUAGUGUGUAUCCCUCAUAACCAGCCCGAUAUGAAUCGCGCCGCAUAUCAUGAAUACAGACUUUCUAACAUUCCCUUAAACGGUCCCAAUUAAAUUGCAAGGAAGUGGUCUGCAGGUGGCCUCGUCCAGCGGAAUCAAAUCCUACUGCUACCAUUUCUACAGUGGUUUUGCGAUCUCGUGAUGCCCACUUUGUCCUACCUGUUUAGCUUCAUUUUCUUCUCCACAUGUAUUUGAUAGGCUCUUCCGGUCCCCCCCCCCCCCUUUUUUUUUUUUUGGUUACAAUAUUUAGCUUCUUCCUCAAACGUUGGACAUCCAUCCUUUUCCCAUAUAUUUUCUUCCGUGUCAGCAUAUCAUCAACCUAAUCCUGAUUUUUUUUUUCCUUUUUGUUAUUCAAGUAUUAAACCAUCCAUCGUGUGGUAUCAAGAAACGUUUUUCCUGACCAUGGAGCAUCGAUUCGCACUCUCCAAAAUCAAAUUGAUGAUGUAGAAAUUCAAACCAGAAAUUGUAUUGACUUUUGAUUUUUUGUAUGCUACUGAAUAUUAUUGAUUGCGUGAGAUAGAUACGAAUACCACUUACCAACUUGUGACAUAAACGGGCGUCUUACAACCUUAUAAAUAUAAGUUUAGCAUGCAAAAUUCAGAAUAAACAUAAGGACCAGAGCAUCCGAGGAAAGGGCCCAUAUGACAUAACUGGCUUUCUUGCCAAGGCCACCAGAGUCUUUGAUGCUUAUCGCCGUAUAGCAGCAACUUCUUGUUUGCAUGCAUGGUGGUGGUUUUUAGCUAAAUUGCGCUGGCGCACUCUUUUUCCUUUUUUUCGUUUGUUUUUUUCCGGUCGUCUUCUACAUUCCGUCCUCAAAUGUACACAUAUCAUCAAGAUGAUGAUUGACUUCACAUUCUCUAUUUACUUUGAGAAUGAUACAUACUACGUAGCAUUUAAUAAGAAUAUCAUAUGGUUUGACGCUGAAAACUAAUUGCGGGACUUGUUGAUCCCAUGGACUGGCGAAGAGGUUUAGUGCAUGAAAAUCUGUACCAGGAUAUUAUGCUGGAACUAGAAAGGGGAGGGGAUGAGCUACUAAAAUGAAACGGAUAAUAAAACAUUCGUUUUCAGGUACGCCUGAUCCUAGACAAGUGCCAUAUUGUUGCUGAAUCAUAUAUAUAUUCAUCUAACAAUCACUAAUGUUGCCAUCCAAUCCGGUUCUUGUGGUCGUGAAAAACCAACGUUGCUUUUUCUCUAGUAUUUUCAUCAUUUCUUCUUUCCUCUGGAGCCCGACAUAUAUCCUGACGUUACCUGUUAGAGGAUCAUCCGUGAUAUAGAAGGGACCCAUUUCUGUGAGCAUAUGGAUUUUGGGGAUCUAAACGACGCUGCUGAGUUUUUAUGAACUCUCUUGUCUUCUAGCAUGUGACGCUUUUCUUAGAACUACGGAGAAAAGCUGCAAAUUUCUGACUAAAAUUAAGAGAUUAGAGAAAAAUAUUUUGACGGGGACUCCUAUAUAAUAAUUGGGCGAUUAAGCAACAGCUAGAAUAACAAAGUAGCAAACGAACCCCCAAAAAACAAAAAUCUAAUUGGUAAAUAAGAGGCCUUUAGGCCGUCUCUCCAUGCACGUAAAAUUUCAUGUACGUGUGUUAUAACAUAAACUCAUCACAGAUUCGUCAGAAACAAUUCACUAAAAUAAUGCUCCCACAUUCAUAUACACAUACACAGCAAAUGUGAUUGAAUAGAACUAAUAAUGAAAUCCAAAAAGUUGGAUGUAUUUGGAAUUUCCAUCUGUCAACAUCGCUUCCUCUUCACAUGCAUGGACCAUUAAUUUUGUCAUGCAGAUGAUAUCUUGGACAGCUCCAGAAUAUUUAGGGCAACUGCAGCCAACAGAUCUAGAGUAACAAGCUAGGAUGGACCUAGUAGCGUCUGCAGCUUUCGUCGUGCCAUUGGCUCUCUUCUCCGCAGCUCUGCUGGGCUGCUCUCUCUCUUACUCUGCGUCUGUGUGUGCGUGACACGUAGAAAGAAACAGAGACUGAAGGUUGACAAUAUUUGCCCAGAUGAGUUUUGUUCUUCAUCAUUCACAAUCAUGAAUCCCACCCCGACUAACUUGAAUUUUGGACGUACCAGCAGCGCCAAAGCACUCACGUAUAUAUUCUGAAUGGACGAAUUACUGAAUUGAAUGCGCCAACCUCCCAUGUAACGUACCCGCCAAAUCAAUCACCAUAUAUUCCCGUCCUGUGAUUAUGUAUGUAUAACUGAUCUCUUAAUGUUAUUGCAUGGCGGAUUCCAAUUCAAGGACUAGCACUGUAUUGUUAUUUUAUAUAUAUAUGAGACAUCAUAAUACUAUCACACCCUCUGUCACUUCUCUAUUUCUUAACUCCAACUAACUUGAGCGUCGGAGUCACAACGGGGAGUUAGUCCCGCUAUUUUGCUCUUUGCAGGUCAGUUCAGGAUCAAUUAUCUGGUGCUGAGACCACCCCUGGUAUCCUGUUCGGAUCGCGCUCUCGAUAGCCGCAUCAAUAUACAAACAAGAGUUUGUUUGGAUAAGAGUUUAUUUGGAUGAUUUAUUUGAGAUAUUUACUGUAGCACUUUUGUGAUGUGAUGUAUGUGAGAUAAAAAGGUGGUUGGGAAGAUAAAAAGGUGAUUGGGAUUUGUGAGGCAAAAUUUUUUUUUCCAAAUUUCCUUUGUCCAAACAAACCCAAUUUAAUGUUAUACAUUUUUCUACCAGAUAAAGUCCGAGUUCAACAGUCAAGCGUUAAAUAGGCCGUCCUUCUUAAUCUAAUUUAUUGGACGUGUGCAGUAUUGGAAGAACAACCUAAUUUAUAGUCCGGUUGCAAAAAAGAAGUUGGAACCGCCAGAAAAUCUAUAUCUAUAUCUAUAUGUAUUGCAGAGAGGGUUUUUAGCCGAGACCCUCUCAAUGGUUUCCAAUCUUCUCAUUCUUUUUUCUAAAAUUUUGUGAAUAUUUUAAUACAUAAAAUCUAAUUAAAAACUUUAAAAUAGUGGGUUAUAACUAAUCCUAUCACUAGUCAAAUUUAAAAUUUAAAACGUUCUCGCUAUCUCCUUCAUAAACCAUUUAUAGUUUUUUAUUUAUACUUUAAGUCCUUUUUACUUCUUAAUUAAAUAAAGGGUUAAAUGCAGAAAACCCCCUGAACUCUCAUAUGAGUUGCACAAUACACCCCUAAAUAUGUUUAUAGGCACUUUGCACCCAAACUCCACUGAAAAGUAACGGAUAUUUACACACCGUUUAUUUUAUGACCCAAAUGACAACUUUAUCCUCAGAUAAUAACUGAACGGACAAAGGCACCCUUCUUCUCCUCCAAACCCAUUAUGUCGAGCGGAAAGUACAAGGCAAAGCUGAAUCUUGAGUUUGCCAAAAUUUUUUGCCUUUUACUUACGAUCGAGGAAGAACCAAAGCUGAAUGACUGCAGAGGGUAACUAGAAGUGGGCAAAAGACGGUUUGAAGAAUCUAAAACAAGUGGAAUAUUUAGAGUAUCUCAGCAAAUCAGGUCAUAUGCAAAGCCCUAAUUUUUUCUUUAUUUAAUCGACUUUUUACCCUUUUUGUGUGGAUCUGGAUGCCCAAACUUAUAGUUUUAUGCCGUCAUUCUGCUGGUAGUUCAUUGUUGUUUUUUACUAGUUGGUUUUAUGUUCUCCUUGCCAUGAUAAAUGAAUGAUUGAGAGCAGUGGUCAGCGGUACACGGUGAAGCUUGCAACUUUUUCCCUUUUGUUCGCCGCUGCUUUCAAUCAGUAGUAGAGUUCAAGUUGUGUUGUUUAACGAUUGCCACUGGGUUUGUUCCGACGUCUAGCAUUCACGGGUGAGUUUUUAUUAUUACAUUUUUUUUCUUCAUUGUUGCUUUCUGAAGGUGAGAUUUUGACUGUUGAGUUUUGCUAUGCUUUUUCCUUUAUUGUUUCAGGCUUUUAUUUUUUUGGUAUUUCAAGUAGCUCAGAAAUUUGUUCAUUUUUCUCUGUAAUUUUUUUUUUAGUCUUUCAUUUGGUUGUUAGCUAAUUUAUUGGGUUGGCUUUGGUUUUUUAAUUUGUGGCUUUGUUCUUGCGCAUCUUCUUUUCACUUUUUUUUUUCUUUUUGUUCACUGUUGGAACACAGCUUUUAUCUGACUGCACUUCCCUUGGUUGAGACUUGAGAGACCAUUUGUAUUGCUUGUGCUAAUUUAGAAGUUUUUGCUUUUAUGUAAAGUAUUUUGAGUCAAUUAUUUUCACCAUGGUCAAAUCAUUGUUCUACGGUUGGAUGAAAUAUUUUUUGAGAUAAAGAUAAGCCAUAUUGAAGGAUUAGAUCACUUGAGCUGCAACUAUGUGGACUGUGUUCCAUGUGAGUAGAAGAAGAAUUGUGCAUCUGUGAAGAAGAGGAAAUACAAGGGGGGAAAAUGAGAAGUGAUGGUAGGUAGUUCUCAUUUAUAUUCACUGGAAGGAGGGCAAUUCUGUCAGCAAAUUCAACGGACAGAAAGUGGCUUCCAUGCGUUUUGUUUCACCGUGAAAUGUGUGAACGGUCGUUUUCUCAGGGUGCAAAAUGCCUAUAAACAUAUUUCGGGGUGUUACGUGCAACUUCCAUGAAAGUUCGUGGGUGUUUUCUGCAUUUAACCCUUAAAUAAAAUACAUUUGUCAAGCCAAAUUUCUCAAGGAUAAUUGAUUAGUCUCAUUUUACAAUUAUUCACCCUAUUAUAUCCUUAUCACUUUAGCCCCUUUUAUUCCUUGAGAUAAUUUAUCUAGAGGAUUAAAGAGGAUUAAUUUAUCUAGCCAAAUCCUUGAGAUAAUGUGAUUAGUCAUAUUUUUUAGUUAUUCAUCCAAUUAUUUCUUUGUCGCUUUCCUUCUGGGUACAAUAAUCAUUUGUCAAAAUAUUCUAAUGAUAUACUUGAUUACUCUUAUUUUUUAAUAAUUUAUGUUUCAAUUACUAAAUCAAUUUUCUUGUGGCCUUAAACUUUUUUUUUUUUUUUGUAUUCAGCAAGCUAAGGGCACUUACUAGGUUUGCUUUAUAUAAUUUUUAUAUUUUUUAUGUUGGAUUUUAUUCAGUAGGUUUGUUUUUUAAAGUUUUAAAAUUUGAAUGUUGAAAUUAUACUCUAACAUUAAAUUGGAGUAUGUAAAUAACAAUUAUGACAUUUUAUUUGCACUUAGAAUAAUCUCAAUAUUAAUAUCGUGCAAGCAUUUAGAUGACUUUUCAUUUAGCACAUGUACACCAAAAAGUGUAUGUAAAGAAAAAUUUAUGUAUGAAUUUUAAAUUAAUAAAGGUGUAUUUAGAAGGUUGCUUUUGGUGGUAUUUUAGCAAAAUUUUGAUAAAAAGGUUGUAUUUCACCAAUUUUACAUCCGAAACUUUACUCUUUAUCGAUGAUUGCAAUUCUAGCUUUUUAUUUGAUUAAAAACACUUAAAAAUGAGGCAGCAACUUGGAAAAAUAAUUCUAACUUUUUAUAUGUCCAAAAACACUUAAAAAGUGAGAUAAUGAAUUCUAAAUAGUGAAAGCAUUAAAAAGAUAGAACUAUAAGGUUAGGGAAGGUAAAGAUUAAGGGACAGUUAUCAAAUUUGAUGAUUCAUGUGAGUCUGGGCAAGUUAUAAUUAGGUUAAUCUAUAUAUUCCUACUUAGUUAAUGGUUCAAAAUAGACGAGUCAUCAAUGAAUAUAGUUUUAUAUGGGUUUGGAUUAUCCAAUCACCAUUCACAGCCCACUACUAAAUUUUAUUUACUUUUUCAUCCAUAUUUUGUUUAGCAACAAAAUAGUAAAUCAUAUCAACAUAUCAAGUUAAUAAAUCAAUUUUUACCUAAAGAAAGAGAAAAAAAACAUAAAAAUUGCUUAAAGGAGCCUAAAAUGAUCAUCAUAGUGAGUUUCAAAUUUUGUCACUAUACGACAAUCUAAAAAUAGUUUAGGUAUUAAUGCAAACAAUUAAUUAACAUUCAUGAAAUUUAUUAAAUUUUUAUGAAAGGAAUGAAGGAAGUAGGAUAAAUUUAAAAAAAAUAAAAUAAUAGAAAUUAAAGAAGAGGAAAAACGAUGAAUAAAUCUUUGCAAAAAUUAGAAUAUAAUUAUUAGAGUAAUUUAGAUUUACCCACUAACGAUUGAGUUUGAAUCUACGUCUAAUUUAAUUAAGUCAAAAUAAGUGAUCCAAAUAUGUCAAUUUCAUACCCACUAAUUAAUGGGUUAAUUUGGUCACCCAUUUGAAUCCAAUUAAAUUACACACGCAAACUCAUUUGUUAAUAGGCAAGCCAAAUAAAUAGGUUACCAUUUACAUUUAUGAAUAGAUGAAAAUAGUAGUAGAAUAGGAAAUAAGUGGGCUGUAAAAUUAGACAAGAGAUAGGAUAAUUGAGUGGCAGCGAGAUAAAGCAAAGAGAAAAUUGGAUUUGAUGAAACGAGAAAGGGUUGUAGGGAUACAAAAAAAAUUGGGUAGGAUUUGAAGGAAUGACGAAAGGUUGUAGGGAUGCGAGAAAGUUAAAUUCAAAUAGUGAAAAGGAGAGUAGUGAAGAGUAGGAGGAAUAUCGAGAAGAGAAAAGGUUGAGAGGUCAAAAAAAUGGCAGGAAAGGGAAGAUAUGAGAUAAAUGAAUAAUAAAUGUUGUGUUUGACCAUAUUUCUCCUCUUUCUCGUAUAAACCCGUGCAUAGCACAGGCCAAAAUACUAGUUCAAUCUUUAAUCUCAAGCCGUUGCCUCACCAGUCACCUACCUUCGGCCACCAUUCCAUUCUUCACACAUUGUUGGAUGAUUCCGGAAGGCACGUACGUACUCCUGGGGCAACACCCAACAGAUUUUUAUUUUGCAACUAAACCUUGUCGUUCUUUUAUUGGCUCCCGAUUCUGCGUUGUCACAGGGAAACAGAGUCGAGUCUGUCGUGAACAAGGGUUUCCUCUGCAUGCGUAUCAUGUAAGAUGAUUCGAUGAAUGAACCAAACAUGAAGAUCCUCUUUAUGACUUUUACGCAUCUUUCGUCCUCCAUGACCAUUCUUGAUUCUACAAGUAUCCUUCCCCUUUUACAUCAACUGCGCGCGGGGCCUGUCCUCCCGCUUUUUCUGUUUUACAAAUUAGUCAAGAUCAAUAAUUGCACAGCACCCCCCCCCCCUCCUCCACCCGCACCGAUUAUAAUCUCAUGCGCUCUGCAAUUUGCACACCCAUGUCUUCCGAUCUUCCAUAGCUUCUUAUUAUUCAAGAAAAGGUAUCUUUAAAGAUCGCCAUCGAUCGUCUUGUCGGCUAUCGGUAUCAGGUUUGUUCAAAAGCACAAGUGGACUGAAUUAUUCCAGACCAAAAAUGACCCGUCCUCUUUUUUUUUUUUUUUUUUUAAUUUAAACCCACGUUGAUACUUGUCAUCGUAGGAACGGCCACGUUAUUAUCAUUCGUUAAAUCCAUUUUUUUUGAAAGCAUCAUAGGAGUUUCAACAAUUCAUUCAUCUUGUCUCGUGCCCCCGUUCGCUCGGCUCCAGCGGCAGAUUUACUCCGAACUUCACAAUCCUUGUUCCCUCACAGGAUCAAGAAAACAACACGCGGAUGUCUCCAAACAAGGGGUGAAAUACCAAGACGCGUUAACCGCCUAGUGAUUCAAAUCCAAUGGGCUAAAAGUUAAAAUAAGUUCCUUGGCUAACAAGGAUAUCCUCCCCCCUAACCGUUAGCUUCAAGAACCCUGUUUUGUUGGCUUUUCCACCCCCACUGUGCAGCAAGUACUUCAAUCACACUACUGUUUUUUGCUGAAAAAGUUCCAGUAGUACAAAUCAAGCCCAACCGUCAAAUUCAUGACGUGUAUAGAAUCUGUUAACAACCCAAUAUUCGCAAUUUGGCAUGUUUCAUCCACGCAAUAUCAGGCGAUGAGAUUGACAGCAGUAGCAAAACAGCAGCGUUUUUCAUCCUCCAGUUUUACACAACUAAAAGCGAGAAAAAGGAACUCUCAUAACCACGCUCUUCUCUUCCUUCAUCUUUAUCGAGUCACCAAGGCACAAACCAAAGACAACAAACUGGAAUCCUCAAGAAAACUUCCGACUUCUGUAAAAUGUACUUGUUCUCCGUCAUAAACUGGGGCAUUCGAUAAUUCCAACUAAUAAAGAUCCCCAAGUACACCAAACACGAUGUAAGACGGACUUUAAAAGAAAGCAAAUGUUCUUCUCUUUACCUCUUUUAGUGUUGUUCGAAGUAUAAGGGGAAGGAAGGGAAGCAGAAUGUUACAACAAAGGAACCAACCCGCUAAUUGAAUGCACUUGCAUUCAGAGAUUCUCGUUUUCAUUCCGAUGUGCACAAUCAUAUUACUGUACACAAAUGCGGAGUGGCAUUUGAAGGCACCAAAGAAAGGAGGAAUAAAGCUCAAAGAGAAAUAUGUACUCCUAUUAUACAAAAAUUAAUCCUGAACUUCCAAGGAAAAUUGGAUCUUCAAUCUUCAAAGGAAAAAAAAAAAUCCUUCAUGUACAAGAUGAAUCUUAAAAAAAAAAAAGUUGGAAAGGGAACAAUUACUAAAAUAUCUAAAACCUUAUGUAUCAUUCUUGUAUGACUAAAAGGCACAAAGCCUAACUGGAGGUAUUCUUCUUUGCAGCAUAGGAGCGAUAUGCUGCCAAUCCAACAACAGCAACAGCAGCAGCAACUGCAAUAACAGUUGAAGAGUCAAAGCAAAUGCAGAAGGCUUGAGGAACCUUUUAUGUACAAUCACCUCAAAGAUUCCCCCUUUUAUUCCAUUUGCCCUUUCUUUUGGGGGUGACUCUUUUCAACUUAAUUCCAGAUUACUAGACCAUAGCUCAAAUCACAGUCAAAACUUAGGACACCUUCUAGCAUACAGGAUAAAUUUCUAGUAAUUUACAAGCAACUAGCCUCAAUAAGGUAGUGCUACUGCCGUACUAACAUUUUAGUUUCAAAAGGAAGGCAUUUGAGAGAAAAAUCAUACCUGAGACAAACAUGAGAGAGCGACUAACAAAAUGGCGAUACAGUUUCCUGUUUUGUCCAACCUCAGUUUCCGGAAUGUUGAGAUGAGGGCGAUCAGCUGCAUGCACUAUUCUCUGGAAAACAUUGUUCAGAUCUCUUUCCUUCACACUCACAUGAACGGGUGCAUCUAUUCCCAUAUCCUGACAAAUCUAAAACAUAAAGCAUACUUACCACAGUUAAAAGAUUAGUAUAUGCUCAUUUAUGUGUUUGCGUGGGCGUCUCAGUGUGUGUGUGAGAGAGAGAAAGAGAGAGAUCAUCCUUUGUAUUGGUUUUGUAGUUAACUUUUACUAAUAUUGUGGAAGACGAGGUGCACACCUCGACCUCCUUCCCAUAAAAAUUAGAUGCAAUAAAGCGGAACCAAUCAAGUAACAAGUACCUUGGCUGAAUCUUUUAUACCAUUUGAAUAGGAAUCCAGAUCAUCUUUGGCAGCAAUAAAGAGACAUGGCACCCCAAAACCGGUCUCUUCACCUUGCCUAGCAACAUCCUUAAGCAAUUCGGAUGCUCUUUUUAAAGAAUUUUCAUCCGAGCUAAAGAAAUGAAAAGUAUCGUGAGAAACAUCAGCAAAUUUUGGAGAGAAAUCUUUAGGAGAAAAUUGAAAAAAACAGACAUAUUCUAAGAGUAGAGUUCUCUCAUGCAUCAGUGAUAAUGAGACUUGAGAGGCUAACCAAAGCAACAUCUAAGACUUCCAAUGACAGCUACCAACAGGACAUAAUUAAUCAUUUAAUCCACUGAAUCCUAAGUAGUCACAAUUCACGGUUAACUCUUUGUUUAACAUGCUACAAUCCCCACCUGUCAUAAACAAAUACUGCAACAUCACAAGCGGCCAAAGACUUCUUAUCAGACAACAAAUUUUUAACCUCAUCUUCAGGAAUUUCACGAAGCACAAGAGUUUUUCUAGUUCCCUGCAUUAAAAAGUGUAUAUCGCAAAUAUGUCAUCACCAUGGUAUUCCAAAGAAUUUAAACUGUAUAAAUAUGCUUGUGACAAGACAUAAUAAUUGUUUUACUCAUAGAAGACUGAUAUGGUCUUACAUUAAACAUGCUUUUUACAAUUAGUCAUACUCAUUGACAUAAUAUGUCAUGCGCAUGUUUAUGGAUUUGUGCAAGAGAUUGAGAAUUUUGAGAUGGUACAAGAACAUAGUUUAUACGAAUAUGUGAGUGUGCAUGUGAGUUCAUAUGCAGAAGUGUGUGUGUGUGUGUGUGAGAGAGAGAGAGAGAGAGAGAGAUUCUUUCAAUCUAACUCCAAAGCAUGACAUUUAAGCCACUAGUACUCACCGCAGCCUGGUUAACAACAUUCACCACAUACCAAUCACUACUAGUUGGUCUGUAAUUUUCUGAGAACGGCCUUAAAUACAAGAAAGAAAUGUAAACGACGUCAAAAUCUUUGUGGGAUGUAAUAAAAAUUAUGCACAAGGAAAGACAGAAGCCAGCACUGGCAAUAAUACAAAGCAGAAAGUUAAAAGGAUUAGAGACAAGUUUCUCCUAAAUUUAAACUAAUCUGAUUAAAAUAUGAGAAAAACCAUAAGCAAUACACCUUCCAAGAAAAGACUUUAAGAGUGUAGACUUUCCAGCAUUUUUAGGUCCAAAGACAAAGCAUUGAUGCACAUCUCGUUCUGUUCUCUGUUUCUUGCGGUCCACAGAUCUUCUCCUAGUUACAUGGAAUGCUGAUGCAGCAUCACAGUUAUAUCCAAUGUAUAUUAAGUUAGCCAAACUUUGAUUGGGGUUCAGCAAAGUCAUAAGAGCCCACUGCAAUCAUGUGCUCUGUAUCAGUGACAAUUAACCGAUAGCUCAACAUCAGGCAGAAAUGCCUAAGGUAAAUGGCAGAAUAAGAGACAGCAUCCAGCAAAUGAUUCAAAAACAGGCAAAAAGUACAGAACAAAGAUAAAAUGCAGCUAGAAUAAAAUAUCAGUGCAGAACUCCCAUAAGAAAUCAAAUAACAAGCAGCAAAGGCCAACUGUAGCUUUUGUGAGGAACAACCCAUAAACCAACAUGCAACAUAACAUUAUCUGUUGAAUAGAUAAUGUUGCAUGAACUUAGUUCCACAUGACAAUCAUAUCAAAUUGACAGAUCUAUGUUGAUUUAUCAACAUAUAAACAUGCGCAUAUGCAUGUAUAGAUAAAUAGAUGAUAACAACAGAGAUAUUACAAUUAAACCUCCCAAUUGCAAAUCUGAAGCUACAGAACUUGAGAAGUUUUAAGAAGCCAACAGGAAUAACCACAGGAGUCAAAAACCAUAUGACAACAAAAAAAUAUAAACGUACGAUCAUAUGCAAUCAUCAAUAAAAAGGCAUAUCUCUAAUAAAAAGGCAUAUCUCUAAUGGCAAACUUCACUAGGAGUAACCACUACAAGAGCUUCAAACAACGCACCUCACAUAGAUAUCCAGAAAGAGAUAAGCACCCCAUUGGAGUUCUGUCAACUGCAUCCUUAUAAGGAGCUUCUUCCCACGGACUGAAGUUUAAAAAAUAAGACAGAUUUGAGAAAUAAUAGUAUUUCAAAGGAAAAAAAAUAAGAAUAAAACCAUGAUUCAUGUGUAAUACUCACCCACUAACAUACAUACAUGCAUGCAUGCAUAUACAUACAUACGUAUAUAUAUAUAUAUAUAUAUAUGUAUGUGUGUGCAUAGAUAUAUAGACACACACACACAUACAUACAUACAUAUAUCUAUGUAUAUACAUGCAUGUGUGUGUGUGUAUAUAUAGAGACACACACACACACGUAUAUAAGCCUGAAUAAGCCUCAUAAAUCAAUAUCCAAUCUCAUACAUUUGAUAACUAAAAGUCUCGUGCUUUAUCUGUGUUUAAAAUGCAUAACAGAAACAGGAAAACUUUGUAUUAUAUCUAGACCAGCCAAGUCAAGUCAUAUUUGUACGUGACUCUUCAAAACAAAUUGACAAGCACAACAUGCAAAAUGAAGCACCACCAUAAACCAUAAAGUCAAAUCCAAAUAGAGCAGUUCAGGGAGGACUGAAGACAAAACUGCUCAAAAAACCAACCUUUCUGGUGCAGUUGAAAAUAGUUCAACAAGCUCAGAAUACUGAAGAACACCAUCCUGUCAAAGAAAAACUCAGAAAAUGAUCUUCAACUGUCGAAUAUCAAUUAAUGUCUAAAAAACAGACAUAACUGAAAUUUGAAUAUAAGGUUAUGCAGCUCCAUAGUAUGAGUCAACCAUAGGAAACAUGAAUUAUGCCAACUUUAACGCUAAAAGGGCACUAUGAUCCUACCAACAUUAAAGCCUUUGGUGAUCCCUUGUUACCUAGAUAGCCAUAAGAAGAUUUUUUUUCUUGCAGGCCCCAUUAGGGACUAGCUCAAACUUCAAUCUUCCAAAACUCAGACAUCCUAAACCCUCCACAGAUACCAUUUAUUUUUGUCCAACUUGCACUUCACAGAGAAUUAGACAGCCUUUGAGUGGUAGACAUAUGAGUGUGUUUGGAUUACACAUUAUUUCCAUCUUAUUUACACAUACUAAUUUGCUUGCAUCAUCAACACAUUUUCCAAUCACCUUUUUAUCUCACAUAUAUCAUAUCAAAAAUGUGCUACAGUAUUUUUUCACAAAAUUAUCUCAAAUAAUUUACUAUCCAAACACACUCACUCUCUCUUGCUUGCCGGCUUUCCCAUGGUUACAAAUGUACUCUUUUCUAUGUAUAUUCAGUUGCUAUAUUGGAAUGAUCUUUUCCACAGAAAAAAUUUUCCAGAGAAUGCAACUAAAGCAGAGCACAAAAGUUCAGGCCUAGUUAACACUAACAUUUAAAAAAAUUUUAAAAAAUUAACUUAAAGAUAUACGAUUGGAAGAGGACAGGGAGAAAGUAAUCUCUACAGUAAAACACAGUACAUUGUAGGCUUCACGAAACCAGUUAGCUGUAAAUUUUCACUGAAAGAGUUACUUGAUAGGUUUCAAACAAAUUAGAACUUGGCAAAAUACAAAUUCUCUUAGAAUGAACUUAGAAUGAAGCAAAAUGUCUACCGUACUUUAUCACCAUCAUAUGUGCUGAAGACUCCCUUCAAGAACUCCAUGGCUUCACUUGUCAAUUCCAUAUUCUGCAAGAAGAUAAUGGCAAUUUUAGAAAAACGUUUUAGACAUACUAGACUCUCUAUAGACCCCAUUCUUAGUACAUCAAAGAGAUACUCAGAAAGAACAGGACAAAAUAUCAUAAAACUGAACCAUUACCAUUUUGACCAAAUUUUAGUUGAGAAACCAGUAAGUUCAUAAUAACAGAACAUGCGAGACUCAUUAAAAAUAUCUACUCAAGUACAAGCACAAUCACAGUAUUGAUUUUUCUCCGGCUAAAUGCUACGGUUAGAUUAUCUCUUUACUUGACUUCUAAGGAAUUCUUGGAAACACGUCAUGUUUAACCAGUAAGGCAGUUUCAUGAAUGUGAUGACAUUAGACUGCACAAAAACCUUAUCCAAUCAUGCAAAAGGAAAAGAGGUAAUUCAUGGCUUCAUUAGAGGAAUCACCUGGUCAGGAGCCUUUUUGAAUGGAAUAGAUAGAUAAGGAUCCCUCAGCUUAAUUUCAUCAUCAUACCCAAAUUUUCUUAAAACAGUCCAAGUUGUCUCAAGCCGACCUUUUUCAAUAAAAAGAGCAUGCAAAUAAAGAAACCCUGUCAGGGUAAGCCCAAGGUCAUUGACUCCUUCACCCAACUUCUCUUGUACGACUCUCUUCACCUCCACUAUUUCAGCAGGCUGUAGCGGAGCAUUGAAGCAUCUAACCUGUAUCAUAUCAUUUCAAAUGGUAUAAAUGAAGGCACUAAAACUGGCAGAGACAAAAUAUAAACGGGAAGAAAAAUGAUAAUGUAUGAUGAAACAGUAUCAGAGAAAAGGAAGUGGGAAGCAGCAACCUGAAACUCAUUCAACUCUUCAUCAUUGAGGGCAUCAUCCAUGUCAUGGUCACAAAGUAUAAAUAUCCGUUUUAACGCUCUUACGCAGCGGGGUUUCAGAGUUUGAGUCUCUUGAUCAAAUAGUGGGGCAGUUGGAUGAAGUACUGCCUUUUGAGCAUAAUAAAAUACUUCAGGGACCUAUAGACAAACUAGCAUAAUAUUAAUAGCAACGGACUAUAAUUAAAAAAUUUUCAUAAAAUGAAGUGACAGAAUCUCUAACGAAUAGAGGCAAACCUGAAGCAUAUUUGCUGCAGAACAUUCUAUACAAGUCUCAAUCUCUCGAAACUGUUGCAUAAUUGGGGCCAUUACCUGCUCCAAACUCAUAUGAUACUCCUCAUCUCGCUUAUCCAGCUUGCAGCCAACAACUAUGACUGGUGCCUUUAUCUGAAAAUUGCAUUUAACAAAAAAAAAGUAUCAAGGUGAGUGGCAACAAUCUCCACCAUUUUGGCCUUGAAUCUUGAGAAUGAGAAUGUUGGGAUUGUAAUCGUUGGUAGUGAUAAUGCUAUUAAAGAAGGACAUCUUGCCAAGCGCACUGGAUCUAUUGUGGAUGUUCUUGCAGGAAAGGCUACACUAGGGCAUGUGGUCAACGCGUUAAGAGUACCUAUUGAUGGAAGAGGAGCUCUAAGCGAUCACCAGCGAGCCUAUGCAAACAGGUCUAAAAGCGGUAGAUAGGCCUCGUUCCUAUAGGUCGUGGUCAACAAGAACUUAUAAUUGGGGACCGACAAACUGGAAUAAAAACAGCUAUUGCUAUCGAUAUCAUGUUAAAUCAAAAGCAAAUGAACUCAUCGUAAUUGAAAAUAGUUUACCAAAAGAUUUAGCCGUUAAACAUUGCAACAAGUGUCAAAAUAGAUGCUUAUGAAACAACAUAAUUCAGGAGAACUCCAGAAGAGAAACGGUAGGCUUGCAGCAUCAGCAAGAUGCUAUAUUCGGCACUGGUUUGCUUCUCGGAUUUCACUCCGAUGUUUAUUACCAACCAAACAAAAAAAGAAAAAAGUUGGAUAAAUACUCGGUAACUCACAUCAAGGUCCACUGUCUGCCCAAUAUACCACAAAAGAGCAGAGGAAUCAAUGAAAGAGUCUACGCGGGCACAGAAGAAUAUCGGGAUUGAAAGCGUACCUCUAAUCGGCGAAGUUCGUAUAGCCAGAAGGUAGUGAGGCGCUUGAGCGUGGCAGGCUGAUCGCAUGCAUAAGUCAGUACUACUACAUCGGCUCGCUUCAAUUCUUCAGCAAGCUUACCUCUGUUCUCCAAGCUAAACUAACCAACAAUCGAUAAAAUACAUCACUCAUUACCCAAAAAAAAAAAGGAUGAAUUAGAAAAGAACAAAUAAAAAAGCACUGGUGACUUGACGAUUAACAUAACGUAGUAGAACGAGGAGGAAAUGGAAUGAAGGAGAGUAAUUGUGAGAACCUGGAUGAGGUAUCGAUGAGAGUGAGGGGGACGUUAUCAGGAUAGAAGUCGGGGGGAAGGCGAGUGGGAGGGAGAACAGGCUGGACUUGGAUGGGGAAACUUUCGGAGGCGGCAGCGGCAAUGAGGCUUGACUUGCCGGUAGCGCGGUCGCCGACGACGACGACGCGUAUGUUUGUGCGGGAGGAGGAGGUUGAAGAACCAGGCAUCGAAAUGAAUCGUGUCUGUGAUCAGAGUGGAGUGCAGAGGUGUGAAGAGACUUUGAGAGGGGCGUGAUCGGAUGAAUUCCGGUGAUCGAAUCAACUAUUCACGGAAUGUCGCGUCAUGUUCCUCUCGUGCUCUGAGCUCCUGUUACGAUUGGACAUUUGGCGAAAAUUUUAGUUUGCCACCGUCGCCCACUCGGCCUGCGUUUCCAUCCUGUCCCGAGGUACAGGGAAAUCCAUACAAUGCGCAUCGGACCUUGAUUAUCUGCUGUCAUCAUUGGGCUCGGGCCGCCAUUAUGUUUUGCUUAAUUUAAUGGGUCCGUGAUAAAUGUGAUGCUAUAUUGCUAUGUCCCCACGCAGAUUUUUUGCAAGGUCGAAUUGAUUUUUUUUUUUUGCUAAAGUCAUGUGAGACACACACCGCUAAAGCGUCCAUGCCUUUGAUUCCAUGUUGUUCUAAUCUUCCUUUUUUUUUUUUUUUUAAUCUAUUAUCAUAAUUUACUCCUCCUACUCCUGCUCUAAUAUAUACUAAAGGGAUCUCUAAGCUAUACUAAAGGCUACUCUAACCUCACAAUUUACUCCUACUAAGGGCUACUCUAACCUAUAUAAUAAGGGAGUAUAGGGUUAUGGGAAUUAACAGAACUGAACCAACAUCUAACCAUACAAGUGCAAGAAGCAUUGAUAUAGAUUUAAGAGAAACCAUGUUAAGUGACAACUUUUGACGGAAACAAAAUUUGAAUUCUUAACUUCCCACCCCAUAAAAACAUGUGGUGGUCAAUUAUUCUAGAGGUAGUUAGUUCCAUAUUGUUCUAAUCAUCAUUUCAUUAUUUCUAAUAAAGUAUGUUUCUCAACUAUAUUUUCCUAUUCUCAAAAUGUAGAAUUAUUUCUAAUAAAGUAUGUUACUCAACUAAUUUUCCUAUAUGCAAAAUGCAUAAUUUGGUGGUUUUUAAAAAAAUGCAAGAUUUGGUUGAUUUUCUAUUUACAGAUAACAUAUUGUGGGUUCACAAGAGAUGAUUUUGCAACAUACAUCAUCCUUGUCUAUUGGAAGAAUAAGAAUAUAAGGUUCUCUAAAAUAAGAUUCUCUAAGUAAAAGAAAAUAAAAAAAUUUAAAGCCAAUGUACUCCGCUACUUCAUUAAACAACUCUGUGACAUAUUCUCAAUUUAUUUUUUCAUAUAUUAAAAUUUAAAUGAUCAAUAGAAGGGAUAUAAAUGUGAGAGUAAAUCUUACAGAAAGCUUAUGGUAGUUUUACGUGGUUAUCCCUUAUUAGAACCAAUUAUUAGCAGAAAUGGUAGAAAAGAAAAGCGGGCUGAUUUAGGGCGCCUUUUUUUGCCAGAAAACAUUCCUCGGAGCAAGUUGAAGCGUUUUUUGGUUGUGUGAACCGCAAGCCCGGUUCUAUUUUGCUCCGGAAUGCCCCAGCCUUGUCUUUGGUGUCCCGUGAAGAUUAAAGAUGUUCCCUCGUUUGUUGCGCAGAUCCCUCGCCGUCGUGCGCUAUUUCUCGGCAGAAACCAUUGGAGCGACGGUGAAGUCCCCACCAUCAGGUGGUGCAAGCAGCAAAAUCACGAGCACUGGUGGAAGAGACACCCUCGGGAGGAGGCUACUGAGUCUGGUAUACACAAAGCGCAGCGCCGUCAUCGCCAUUAGAAAGUGGAAGGAGGAAGGCCACGUAGUCCAAAAGUACGAGCUCAACCGCAUAGUCCGAGAGCUCCGUAAGCUUAAGCGCUAUAAACAUGCCCUCGAGGUGUCUUCUUCUUCUUCCUUCUCACUUUUUCCUUCUGUUUCUUUCUUUAUUUUCUCAGAAUUCUUUUGUUUAUAUUUCAUAGUGAAUAUUACUGGGAUGAAUUAGAACUUGAACUUGCUAGUAUAUCAAAGAUGAUAAAAUUCUUAUUUCUUCUUAAAAAUAAAUCAAUAAAGAUGAUGGAAUAUAAAGUUCUAUGGGACCCCUAAUAGCUCUAAUAAGAAAAGAUAGCGAAAUGGAUUCAAUACAUUUACUUGCAGCUGUGUGUGAGCUGUGGUGAACAUUGAAUCCGGAUGAUCAUCCAUUGAGUUGCUCCUUGCCAGCUUUUAGUAUUUACCAUAAUGCUCAAUAAAAACCUUGCACAAAUUUUAUUUUAUGUUUUUGAGUAGCCUUGUGAGGCAUUAUCCUUUGCGGAGGUUUUAUUUGUUUACUAGUCAAUCUGAAUACUGUACUUCUGUAGGUAUGUGAGUGGAUGAGGAUACAGGAAAAUAUCAAGUUACUAUCUGGGGACUAUGCUGUCCAUUUGGACUUGAUUGCAAAAGUCCGAGGCAUGAAUAGUGCUGAGAAGUUCUUUGAAGAUCUUCCUGACAAAAUGAAAGAUCACACAACAUGUAGUUCCCUUCUUCACACCUAUGCCCAACACAAGGAAUCCGCUAAAGCGGAAGCUUUAAUUGAAAAGAUGUCAGAGUGUGGUUUCUUGAAGAGUCCUCUUCCUUACAACCACAUGUUGACCUUGUAUAUCUCCACAGGGAAGUUGGAGAAGGUUUCAGCGAUGAUUCAGGAGUUAAAGAAGAACACUUCACCAGAUGUUGUUACAUAUAACCUGUGGUUAUCUGUCUGUGCGCUGCAGAAUGACGUAGAAACUGCAGAAAAAGUAUUCCUGGAGCUACAGAAGGAAACACUGGAUCCAGAUUGGGUGACUUAUAGCACAUUAACCAAUAUCUACAUUAAAAAUUCACUCAAGAAAAAAGCAGCUUCGACUUUGGGUGAAAUGGAAAAAAGAAUUUCCAAGAAAGUUCGUCCCUCUUAUUCCUCUCUCAUUAGUUUACACACUAGCCUGGAACAUAAAGAUGAGGUUUAUUGGAUUUGGAAGAAGAUGAAGUCAAUGUUCCACAAGUUAAAUGACUCCGAGUAUAUGUGCAUGAUUGCAUCCCUAGUGAAACUCCAUGAAUUAUGCAAAGCAGAGAAGCUUUACAUGGAAUGGAGUUCUAUUUCUCCAACUGGGGACUCUAGAAUUCCGAAUAUACUUCUUGCUGCUUAUAUCAACGAUGGUCAGAUGGAAAUGGCUGAGAAGUUCUACAAACAGAUGGUAGAAAAAGGUAUGACUCCUAGCUAUACCACUUGGGAGCUUCUGACAUGGGGCUACUUGAAACUAAAGAAGGUGGAAAAGGUACUUGAUUGUUUCAACAAAGCUAUUGGUAGUGUGAAAAAAUGGGAGCCAGAUGUAAAGAUGGUCAAAGAAGUAUCUGGGAUGCUUGAAGUGAGUGGCAACAUUGAGGGUGCAGAAAAAUUGUUAGUUACUCUUCGGCAUGCUGGACACUUGAAUACAGGAAUGUAUAACUCACUUCUCCGAACUUAUGCAAAAGCUGGUAAAAUGCCAGUUGUAGUUGUAGAGAGGAUGAAGAAGGAUAAUGUCCAACCGGACGAGGAUACCAGGCAGCUCAUACAACUAACUAGCAGAAUGUGCGUGACUGAAGUUCCGAGCUCUAUCCUGGGAGAAUAACUUGAGAUUUGUUGUCUAGGAGAUAAAAAAAUGUACCUUGAUGUAUGCCUUUAUUCAAUUUGAUUCUGCAGUUGCAAGGAUUACUGACACAGUCUGCUGCUUCAAUUUUGUAAAACGGGGAUAAGUAAGAUCUUUACAAAGCGAGGAGACGGUUCUUCCAUUCCGUUGGAUGUUUGUUACUGAAUUAGAAAUUCAUCGGGGUACAGAACAGGGAGGGUCCUCGUAGGCUGUGAAUUUUGAUGGCGUAAUAAAAUGGUGGAAGAAGGUUGGCUGAUUAAGGAUCUUAAGCAGAUUUCCGGCAACUCAUAGGAUUUUUGUUGUUCAGUAAUCUCCACACCCAAUUACAGGGCAUCUGUUCAAUCAAAUGACAAACUGUUUAUGAUGGUAAGGUUCUGGAGCAGUAGCAAAAGGAAAACAAAAAAACAGGAAAAGGACCUUCUCUGGAAUUUGUUACAACAGCGAGACUAAUUAAGCCAUACGAUCCUACGCGGCAAUGUAAAUUUGCACAAUCUCGGCGCCUCUUUCCCCAGUCUUGGGAAAACGAUGGAUGGUUCAAUGUUGGGCGAUUUUGGCAUUUGAGAGAACAACAUUGGACUUGUGGAUGAAGGGAAUAUUCAAAAGAAACAUGCGUUUUUGCCUUUAUUAUGUCAUUUCCAUGAUAUAUAAUUACAUCAAUAGGUGGAAUGUAGUAAAUUUACAUGAUAUAACAGGUGGAAUGUAGUAAAUCGAAAUCGAGAACGAUGACUAAUACUAGCACUAAUUUGUUCAACCAUAUUCUUCGCUUGCUGCUACCUCGCGGCUUUCCGGUUCGUAGUAAUUAGGUUGGGGGGAUAAUGGUAAAAUCACAAUCUGAGAAGAUGGGGAAGGGAAUCAACAUGAGCUGGUUCGUUCACUUGUUCGUUCGGUUGAUCAGAUGGAUGGUCCACUCUCCUAAUUAAACCAAAGUUGGUGGGGUGGUUAAGACUUGAGAAUGAAAGAGCCUCUUCCCUUCUACUAAUAAUAGUAAGUAUACUUAAUACACUAUCCGCUGCAGCGUUAGAAGAUGCAGCUAUUUCCAACACGCACGCGCUCAUACAUUUCCUUCUCUCCAAUAUCUCCGGACCGACAAACCAACUGCCGGCCAUGCAGGUCAAGGGAGUGAAUACCUUGACUUGCAUUCAUCUUCAAAAUUUUUUGAAAGUUUUAUCAGCUGGUACGUUUAGCAUUCAUUUGAUUCGACGGUAGUUCAAUCUUUUUUGAGUUGGGCCUAUUCCCUGCCCCUUAAUAUAAAUGAGGAAUAUGAGUAGAAUAGAAAAGCUAUCACGUAAACAAAAAAUAUAUAUAUAAAAAAAUCACAGGACCAACACGGAUGAAAAUUUUGUUGACUCCGAAACUUUUAUAAGAGAAGGCCACGGAUGAUACGAGGAAUUGGCAUAUAAUUGGACCAGCGCGAAAACCUUUAAUCUAAGAAGAGUAACUGCAACGACCUGGAGAGGGGUUUACCCAACCCAACCCAACCCAACCUAUCCACCUAUCCUCCUAUCCUCGUCCAUGUCAUUAUCAUCCUUAUUCGUGGUCUUGUUUCUCAACUUACUCAUCAUCCUCCCUCCCCGCUUAUAAAUUGAUAUGUUUAUUAUAUAUAUUUAUAUAUAAAAAAAAAAAAAUGCGUAUUCCGCAUUGGUAUCUGUUAUUUGGGGAAGGGAAAGAAUUUCGAGUGGAUGAGGGAAGGGCAAAGUGGUAAAACGCGGGCAAAUGAAAACAAACGUUUAAGUUGAUUCUAUCCUUAUUUUAAAUCCAAAAUCCAGGUCAACUAUAUAUAUAUAUACCUUGCUUCUUAAUUUCCCAUCUCUCCGCAUAAGUAAAAUUAGUUGCAUUGCAGGUUCAGAGUUGGAGCUCGACAUUCUCUCUGGAUCCGUCCCUCAAAACCAAAAAGAAAAACAGAGCAAACCAUAUAGUAACCGCACCCCUUUCUCCCUUAUCUGAUCGUAAAUAAUGGCUGAGAAUGGAAAUGAGAACGUUAUUCGGUAUGAAGAAGGAAUGUCGUGUCUUCUUCCCGCAAAUGCUUUUGACCAGCAACAAUCAUGCUUGCAAGAGAAGGUGUUCUAUUCCAUCUUUCCAAGCUCAGCUCAUCUGUCAUGCUUCCCUUCCAUAUAUCUUUAUAUAUAUAUAUAUAUAUUCUUUUUUCCUCUGCAUAUGAUGAUAUUCUCAGUCCCUUUUAAUUAAUUUCGUCUCCUCUUUUCCUUCCUCCUAUUAAUCCUGAUCAUUCGACUGAAUCGCUUGGUUCUGUUCUGUUGCAUUGCUGGGGCAGUUGAGAUAUCAAAAGCACCACCAAUCCGAGCGGCACUACUCAAAAUCACCAGCAGCGGAUAAUUCGGUACUUAAAUCACUUUUUUUUUUCUCUUGUAUGUACGUAGAGGAAAACUUUUAUUUUCUUCUUGUUCAUGAUGAUCAUGAGCUUUUUCUCUGGUCUUCAAUAUGGAGUAUGUGUGUUAUUAUGCAGUUAGGAUUUUCAAAGAUAUUCAUAGUAAGUCAGCAUAAUAACAGACAAAAUUUAGUAGAUAAUUAAACAUGUGAGGAAUAAGUCAAGGAUUGUAGAAGAUGCUUCCGCCAAAUGUUGCGGGGCAACUCUUUGGGAGCGUGAAUUUAAAUCCGAAUCUUUCCGCCAAUAUGAUAUGGUAAGGAGUACUUAAUGUCUCUCUCCUUUUUUGUGAUAAAUGAGGAUUGCUAUGCCAGUUGUCAGUAUUAUUUAUUUUGGCACACAUUAUUGUAGAAAUAUUGCAGAAUUCAAACUCUUCACUGAGUACGUGUAAUAUUAUUGAUCCUGUCCUGUGUUAACUUAAGGUCCACUUGGCGAAGGAAAGAAAAAAUUCUGACUGAAUUAGCGCUAGGGAACCUGUAAAUUUUAAUUCCCAUAAUCUCUCCUUUGAAUCCAAAAUAACUGUCUCCCACUAUGAACCAGGCAACUGGGGUCCAUUUUAAGUACUACUAAGAUUUACUACAACUGUAAGAUUAAUUUAAGCUUAAUUUUAUCUUCCCCCCCCCCCCCCCCCAAAAAAAAAGAAAAAAAUUAAUAACCUUUGUUGUCAUUUCAAGGAUUGAAAUCCCAGUAGUUGCACGUUAAGUACAGAACAAAAAGGAGGAUAGAACUUGUUAGAAGCCAAUGACAGCAUUUUUUUAAAAAAAAUUUAUUUUUCCUUCUCUCUCUCUCUCUCUCUCUGUUUGGGCUUGUCUCGGCCUAUGGCAUUAAUUAGGCAGGCCGAUAGAAUGAAGAUGUAAAAACUGAUUAAUUUUGGCAUGGUUGACGACGAGCAUCGAGUAGCAUUGGAAGUCCGGCCAGCUGGGAAACCAAAGAACCAGAAAUGGGGGGUCGUCGAACACGAAAUGGGCAAUUGGUGGUCCUGGAAUGCAAGCCCUGUUCUUGGAUUCUGGGCAACGAUCCUGCGGAACAGGAGUGUUUCUCCCUCGAAGAGCAGGAACCCACUUUCCAUCAUCCAAUAGGCCAGGUGGUUGAUCAUUCGCACCAGCUAUCACUCCACCAUGCAAUAAUUCUUGUUUCUAUGUAUGUACUUUGUAGCACCUAGUUAUUCUCUUCUUAAUUUUAGUUAAAAGGUCUUUUCGCGAAAAUGCAGCCUGCCCUCCUGUUCUCCUUCCGUCCCGCGUCGUUCAGGUCCUCAACCUUAAUGUCCACGAACUUGGCUUCCAGUCCAGGCCCCAACAACAAGGUUUGCAUUAGCGUUCCUCCACUCACUAAGUUUAUCUUCAAUCGUCGACUCAGCUCCUAGCUCAAUAUGCAACUUUCACACAAAGUACUGCCAGUAUAUAUAUAUAUACUAUAUAUGUAGGAGUGUUAACUACUAACAUGAGACCUUCGACUAAUAAUAUGCAGAGCGUACUGGCAAGCAAUCCAAUGCUGGUGGUAAGAAAGAGAACAUUAAUGCAGCAGCCGGAGUGGGAAGCGGAGGCGGCCAGUGUUGUUCGCCGGAGAUUUUUCUCCCGAAGGAAUGGACUUACUAGCUUGGCUGGCUUUAUACCUCGUACAGAACACUGACCAGAACCUGCAACUCGUUUCAGAUUGAUUGCUGCUGACCACGUGCCUUGCGGUGAAUUAAAAUAUAGUUUAAAUAAUACCAGCAGCAGCCAAAAGAAAUAAAUUAUUUAGAAAUGCUGAAUUGCAUAGGUUUUCAUUCUUUUUGCACGAAAGAAGUAGAUGGUACAUAAAUUAUUUAGUUCUUGAUUUUUAUUUUUUUUGAGGAAAGAUUAGUUAUUGACUCAAUUCACAAUAGUCUGUAAUUAAUUUACCGUUAUGAAUUCCAUUCGAUCGAUUGUAUCCGUUUUCGGAAUAAGGUUGAUGUAUGUUACAGAUGCGCCCGAACAAGAGACGAACUCCUCUGCCAUUCAAGACUUCUAGCAAUAAAGUCCAUCACCGUGCAUGGAUCAUUGGAUGGACUCGACUCACCUGGGCCUGGGGGUAUGAUGCAUGAGAGCAAUGAUACUGUCGUUGCCCAUGCCCAUUUGAGUAUUGUAUGAUUUUUUUUCCCCAUAUUUGUUUUCUUUUUAUUUCAUUUUCUUUCUCUUCACCCUCUACCUUUACAAUACUCUUGCACAAUCUGGAGAAUAGAAUUCUUCUUAUUCUUUCCUUUACCCUUUCUCCUUGUAGAAACGUAACAAUACUAAUAAUAGAUAAAAUACAAGACAUAGCAAUGCUUACAUUUAAGUUAUUUAUAAUUUGACAUACUGGAAUUUAUCUUUGAUGCUAACCCUACAUAACUUAACGGAAGUCGACCAUUUUACUAUCAAACUACAUGAUUUCUUGUGCAAGUGAGAGACAAAAUAAUAAAAUAAAGGAAGAAAACAAAUUACAAAUAAGUUAAGGUCAAAAUAAGGAUCAGAUUGGCCAAACACGAAAAUCUAAUGUAACGAACGCCGAGAUAUGAGAUUUAUAAUAGAAAGAAAGGAAAAUAAAUGGAAAACAAGGAAGAAUUAGGCAGGCAAAAUUUUAAGGGGGAAAAAAAGGAAAAGGAGCAGAUUAAGAAAAAGUUGGUGUAAAACAAUGCAAAUUAUCCACAUUUUGAGGGUGCUACAGUCAGGAAAAUUAGAUGGGGUACCGUAAAAUGCCUACUAAAAAGUUGAGGGUGGCAGAGUGGAACUCAUACCAAAGUUCACGGGGCUUUAAAGGAAUUAAUCCUCUAUUUGCAAAGCCCUCCCUAAAACCCGAAUGGAAGACCCAAACUACUAACCGGAUCCGAGAAACGGUCUUUAUAAGGAUACGGAGCAUCCGGCUUUGAGCACGGGGUUCUUUUCCUUCCCAUUACUACACUAUUCUGACAAACUCUGCGCAUUUCGGCCAUGGAAACCACUAUAGUCAGCUCUCAGCUUCAACUCUUCACCACCAAUUACUUCAAGAUUUCAGGCAACUAUUCCCUCUCUCUCUCUCUUGAAUUUGUUCAUACAUUUACUUUUGUUACUAUAUCUACCUAUUUUAGAAUUCUAUUCGCGUAUAUUCUGUACAACUAGAUAUUUUUAUUUUAAAAGAAUUACGAAGGUCUCAAGAAUCUCGACAUUUCGUACUGUUGGAAGUCACAAGAAGUAAAUAUCCUGCUAACUGUUAGCAAUUAUGUUUAUUUCUUUUUUUUUUUGGCCAACCAUGUUAACUUAAAUUUGGCUCAGAAUUAUGCAUAUGCUGUGUUAUUUGCAUCAUUCUCCGUAUCAUCACUUAUUGGAAGAAAUUGGUUUCUUUUGUGAUGUUCUAUUGUUGGAACUUUAAUGCGCUAUUUUUGGUCUUCUUUCCUAAGGCGUGAUGUUGGCAUCCCUUUUCUCGAUCCAACUUGUGUCUUAUCAUUGAGUCGGCAGCAGGAAAUCUAUUUGGCGGGGAGUUGGAGUUCUACUUUGAUUUCUUUUUCCCGGUUUUAUCAAAAGUGCACCAAUACUUGAGCUAUUUUCAGUUUGUGAUUGAUAUUCUGAACCAAGGACAAGGAGAACUCUGAGGGAGGGUGCUUUGGAAUUUGCUGUAUCAGACUAAGUGUUUUGUUUCAUCUCUGAUGUUGCAGGAAACGAUAUUAUGCAUAGGGAGAAAUUUUGUCAUCGACCAAUUCCUGGAUUAUUUCCACUCAAGAUAAAUUGUUCAAGAUUCGGUGGAAAGCCCUUAUUGUUGUUAGAUAGGCAAAAUAUCAGACCUUCUUAUGAUAUUGUUUCUAAGCUGAGAGGAAGAUGUUUUGAAAUUAAAGCUGCAUCUACUGAGUCUUUAGGUUAUGAACAAUUCCUGCCUGAACCUAAUGCUGGCGAAGUGGUUCUUCCCUUGCAUGAUUCUGGUGGCAAUGAUUCGUUGCGACCAAGGCCGAAAGCUUAUAAGAAUAGAUUUUUGAACUUUGUUCACCUCAGUUCAGUCCUUAAUACUGCUGCUGAAUCUUUCUUUAAAAGUGAGAUACGAAGGAGGUUAUUUGUGACUGCCAUCCUUAUUGUGAUAAGUCGUGUUGGCUACUUCAUUCCUCUACCUGGUUUUGAUCGGCGGUUGAUGCCCCAGGACUAUCUUAGCUUUGUCUCAGGCUCAGUUGGUAAGUCGUGGUCUUUGUGAUCAUAAUUCCUUUGUAUGAAUCUACCAAAUGCUCAAAAUGAAAUGGCUGUUUUUCUGAUGUAUCAAAUGCGAUUACAGCUUUUCUGUGCAUUUUGUGCUUUAUAUUGGUCAUUUUUUGGAAAUUUCUGGUGGAGGACUUUAUUGAUUUCUCAAGACAUAGUAUCUUUUUAAGUUUUCUUUUGGUAUUCAGUUAAUGAUAUCUUGGAAAAGUGGAAAUCCCUGGAGUGUCUUCUUCAUAAGUUUGGGACAUUAUGACAUUUACAUUGUGUCUCUGUGAUGAGUUGGUAUGGCUGAUAGUCCUGUCAUGGGAAAAAUUCUUACUUGUCAUGGUUUUUCUGUAGUUUACCUUGUGGCUGGUAAAGUGGUUAGGAUAAAUAAAGAACAUGUUUUAGUAAAGUGACUAAAAAAGUAAUGUUAUAGCAAACUUGGAACCUGUUUUGGGGAAUAUGGACAAUAUUUGAAGCUCUAGUUUUUAUAAUUUGCUGUUGUAUCUUGUACAAUGUCUUUAAUAAAUUGGUCACGCAAAUUUCACCCAUUGGAAAUGGUUUCUAGUAGUUUGAACUCUAGGUUGUGUAUACUUCCUCAGUAAAAAAUGUUUUUGCUUCUAGAUGAAGCAAGAGGUAACAUUAUGUUCCUUGUGGAUUUGAGGGUCUAUCAUGCAAAUUUUUUUUGCCUUCUUGCUUCAAAAGCGGGAAGGUAGAAAAAGAGAAAAAAAAAGGAACUCUGUGACUUUGCGGGUAAAAUCAUUUUUCACUUUCACUUUGCAGAUGAACUAGGUGACAGCACACCGGAACUUAAGCUUUCUUUGUUCCAAUUGGGUAUCAGUCCUCAAAUUGCAGCAUCAAUUCUCAUGCAGGUAUCCUGGGUUUCCCAUGAUAGAUCAUGUUUUUGAUGGUUAUUUGGUAGUAUUAUGCUGCUACACAGGCUAGUGCUUUCCACAAUUUAUUGUUAUCUAGGAUUUUUGGAGCUGCACAUUACAUAAAAGACAUUGUGAAGUUAAUCAUGUAUAUUUGUCAGUAAAUCUUCCAGCUUGGCCUCAGAGUUUGUAAUGCAAGGGAUAGUACUUUGUAUAAAAGCAUUUAUAUAGGCCCAGUUGGUGUGUCCUGUAUAUAGAGCUGCUACACAUACUCUUGCUUGCCUAUGAUUAUUCAGUCUAAGAACCAUUAUUGUCACUUUUCAGCAUAGUUGCCUGUCGUUUAGCAUCUGAGGUUGUAGCACCUUAUUUAUAAUGGAGCACAUUCUCUUUUACAGUUGUCUUAUUUUGUUGUUUUUUCUUAAAUAGGAGUAGAUGACGCGAAUCUUUUGAGUUAAUGUGCUUUAUGCACUUUGCAUUUACCUAUAGAGUCUAUUAUGUUCUUCUUUUUAUUAUGAAUUUCAAUGAGCUUAAAUCAGAUUCAUUUUUGUCAUUCAGGUUCUUUGCCAUGUGGUUCCUUCUUUGGUGAAGUUGCGAAAAGAAGGCUUGGAUGGUCACGAGAAGAUUAAGAGUUAUAUGUGUGUCUUGGUUAUCUAUUUCAAGCAGUGAAAUGAGUUGUUAAGAAAAAUUUUCCUAUGUUAUCAAGUUCAUUUAUCCUUUGAUCAAGUUAAGGACUAUAGCAAAUAUUUAUUGAUCUCAGAUGGUGGAUUUCGCUUGGGUUUGCCAUAGUGGAGGCUCUGGUUCUUUCUUGUUAUUCGCUCUCAUAUUCCAUUUAUGCUGCCAGUUACAGGUGAUUCGAAAAUAUGAAUUUCAUUCUUGACAAUGAAUUUGUGACAGAGUUGGUUUUCUUAUCUGAUCUGGUUACCUUUUUUUCUACUGUGGGUCAUCUAAUCAUGCAAAAGUAUUGUUUGUCUCCAAUGAGUUGCAUUUUUGUACUAUUGCUGAAAUACUCUGUUAUAUCUAAACAAUUUCUUAUGGAUAUUUUCAUCUUGGCUAUGGUGUAUUCUCUAUGGCAGGGUAAAGCACGUGAUGUUGACAUCUUCCCUUUUGGUGUGUGGUGCAAUGACUAUGACAUGGAUUUGUGACAAAAUAACAGAUGCUGGAUUUGGUAUUGCCUGGAAUUCUCAGUUAUCUGCCUUUCCACAACUUUUUACUGCUGUUGUUUCUGCAUGCUGCAGGGAGUUAACAGCUUUUUUCAUUUUCUAGUCAAGCAAUAAAGUCAGUCUACCUAAAACCUGUCAAGCUUAGGUUUUCAUUAGAAACAGUUGAGUUUUUAUCUCUUAUAGAGAUUAGUGAAUGAUUUUUCGGACGAGUUUUCUGUCCAUAAUGACCUUUUGAACUUUAUGGGGGUUUCUGCAGGUCAAGGCUCGUCAUUGAUUAUCUGUGUGGGGAUUUUGACUGGCUACACAGAUACAUUGUCCAAAAUGCUUACUCAACUAUCAGGUGGGCAACAAAUUGCAGAAUGUGAAACCUCUUCUGGCCACAUGAUUCUCUGACUCGUGGAAAUAAUACUUAAAUGUGAAGUAAGACAUGUAGUAUAUAGCUUGUGCUCUUAUCUACAAAGACUAUUAUGAACAUGAAAUUGGCUUAUGUAAUUAAACCUCUGGAUUGAUGAUUAUUCAGCGCAUAGGGGCCUAUUCUGAUCCCCCUAAAAAAUAGAAAGAGAUUAGCUCUUAUGUAGAAUAUUGCAGAUUCCUCCUAUUUCUUUGCAUGAAAUUCAGUUUCUUUUUUCUUUUGAAUUUUAUUGCAUGCUAUGUGAUUCCCUGGCUGGUACCUUCUCUUGCAAGCAAUUCCAGGUCCUUAAUUAUUUCUUUCACUUGAAGAAAUAUGCAGGUACAGUUAUAAAUCGACUUGAAGAGUAUAUUUCUGUUAAUUGAUUCUUUUUACCAUUUUGACUGAGAUUGUGGAGUAAUUGGGUGCUUGUUGUUUGAGCAUCUUCUUUGAUAUCAUGUUGUUUUUCAAGAAAUAUUGCUCUCAUCUUUUGCAUGUGAUAUUAAUUUGGACUUCUUGCUUUUUGCAGGAACUGCUGUUAGCUGGUGGCCAUAUGUACUAGCUGUUUUUGGUGUUUUUACUGUAGUAACUAUGUGGGCAGUUGUUGUGACUGAGGGUUGCCGGAAAAUCAAGCUGCAGUAUUUUGGUUUUAAACUUGCUUCAGCUGCAAGGUUAUGCAUAUUGGCCUUUACAAUACUUACGUACUCUUGUAUAAAUUAGUAAUGACUUUGCAUUGCCAUGAUAAUUGAUAAGGACGUCAAAUCUGGUGACAGAUUGAAUUCACUUAAGUUUGCCAGAGUUGAACUUAAAAAUUGAAUCUCUGCUCUAAUUUGUCACACUUUUGGAUAUAGACUUAGCUAUAACUUGAUUUUUGACUAACUUAGAAACUAUUUGAUUUUUUCUCAUUUAAUUAAAUGUAACCCAGCUUGCGUUAAUGUAAGAUUUCUGUUUGGUUGCACCCUUAUUGAUCAUUAGACCCUAUGUUUUGAGCAGAGAAGAUUCUCCAAUUAUUGAGGUGGAGCCUUACAUCCCGUUCAACAUAAAUCCUUCAGGGAUGCAGCCUGUUCUCACAACUUCUUACCUAUUGGCUUUUCCCGGCAUCCUAGCAAGGUAACUUCAUCUGUGAUUCAGCACUUAGUCGUUUUCAGUGGUUCCAUUUUGGUUUCUAUCAAACUUCAGUGCUAUAAAUCAUUCUUCAAUCUAAAACUUGUCCAAAGCCUCUUAAUUGCAUACUAUCCAGCACACUGGCUGCGGAUAACUGGAGCCUGCUUGUUUUCCUGGUUCUUGUGUUUUUGGUUGUUUCUUAGCUAGAGCAGUAUAAAGCCUUGCAGUAAUAUUGUUAUUUUCUGGAGAGUUUUUGCAGAUUAAAUUCCUUGCUCUGUUCUGUUUCUUGUGGUCCUCCAAUUUGCCACUAACUAUACUGGUGUCUAUCUGAAAAUGCCGAAUUGAUAUCUAUUUAACUUUAAAUGAAGUAUCUUGUGAGCAAUUCCAACCUAUAACUCUCUCAUUUGGUACUUUCCUGACAGCCUUCUUGGUUCACGCUUUUGGGAAAAUGUGAGAAAUACCCUGAAUCCUGAAACUUCUCUUGGUGCUGAGCCAUGGGUUUAUUACACAAUUUAUGCGUUCUUUGUGUUCCUCUUCAAUAUAUUUGACAUUGUAAGUUUUCUCACUCCACUUCAUUCUUUGUUGAUGUGGAAUACAAUCUACAAUAAGAUCCAUUGCUUUCUUCUUUCUGAAUCUCUUCAUAAAUUGACUUGAUAGUUUCAUAUAAAUGACUAGCAAGGGUUGUUCUUUAACACCAAAAGUUGUUGGAUGUUUUAGUGAUAAUUUCGUCCUUCAGGAAAAUAUACCCGAUAACAGAAGCAUUUUGGGGGUCUGUUUUUGGGGCAUGUUUCAAUUUUUAAGAAGUGGAAGGUAUCCUAUUGUGCUUCAAAAUGCUCUCAGCAUAAUGUAAUAAAAAGGAUGGUUUAACCAUCCUUUUCAACUUUGGAAUGUAAAAAGGUAUAAAUUUUGGUCGUAAUAAGAUGUAAUUCUCCCACUUGAUAUUAACUUAAUGCUGCAGCAGAGUCCAAUUCUAUUGAUAUUAAUUUUUGAUUGCGUGGUGUGUUUGAUGAUUUAUGAGAGGAUGAGAGGAUGAGAUCUCAUUCUUUCUUUUGCUACGGGGACAUGUAUCUGUAGGCAAACAUGCCCAAGGAAAUAGCUGAUUAUUUGAACAAGAUGGGGGCCAGAAUUCCACAUAUAAAGCCUGGAAAGGCUACCAUUGAAUAUCUGACAAAAGUUCAAGCUUCAACACGUUUUUGGGGUAUGGAUCAACCAAUUCUUCCUUCAAAUUUCAAAUUUCAUCUGAUGCUAUUACUAGUUCAGCAACGCUAUAUUUGCAUCUUCUUUCACACUUGGGGUUCACCAGGUCGCAUGCUGAACACCUGCAGGUGGUUUAUUGUUAAGUAUUUUGGCCACCACAUCUACAAUACUUGAUCAUUAUUUACGCCGCAUCAAUGAGGGAUUUGCAAUAGGUUUCACGUCAGUUUUGAUAAUAGUAAGUCUUUUACUCUUGGACCCUUUUUGAUAUUAAUUUCUCCUCCUGCCUCACGUUAACAAGGCACUUGUCUGCAUGUUUGCAAGUUACUACACCUUUUGUUCUCUUUGCAUAUCACAUUCAUAGAAAUUACUAUAUGGAAAGGGUAUUGCUCUCUCUCUCUCUAUAUAUAUAUAUGUGUGUGUGUGUGUGUGCAUCCAAAUGACCCACCUAUCUGUAUAUAUAUUUACACACAUACACACACACUCGCAUGCAUGUAAGUUCUUAAUUAAUUACCCAUUUUCUCUCUCCAAGGUGGCAUAACUAACUGAAAAGAAUUGAUGGGUCAUUUGGAUAGUUGUGUUUUAAUUAUAUUCAUAUCGAACUCUUCUCUAACUAAUUCUUCUCAUAAUUUCUCUCUUUUUUAUCAACUUAAUCCUUUUUAAUAAAUUUAAAUUAUAUUUUAUUAUGGUUUUCCUCUCUCUUCUAAUGAACUUUAUUUUUAUUUAUAAAUUCACUUGAUUUAUUUUAUCCAUAUGUAUCAAUUUUAUUUGGUGCUAAUGUACGGGUUAAAAUACUUGUAUUUUAUGGUAUUUGAAGUCUUGAAGUUUGUCAUGGAUCUAAUUAAGACUAAAUGAGAUGACGAUAGCCAGCGAUUUCGAUUUAUCUGCUUGCUGUACAUGUGGCUGAAUGAUUGAUUGGACUUUCAGGGAAGGAAACUUCCCCUUGUUAGUCAUAAAAAGAGAGAGGACGACUGGUUCUUGAAUGCAGCCAAAGUUGGGAGUUAACAAUCUGAAUCACUUAACCCUCCUGAAGAAAACUUUUUAUUGCUUGUUAUGAGCUGAUAUGUCAUAAAGGAAUAAUUUUGAUGUACACUGGAGGAGACACAGGUUGUGGAUUAUCAUAUGACCUCAUAAACCAGAAUGUACCAUGUAGAAACUCAAACACAAACCAACUUCACCAUUAAACCUGAAAAGAGAGAGAAAUAGUCUUUGAAGAGUUUAUUAGUGUGCACUAUUUGCUAGGAAUUUGGCAGCAAGCCUGUAGGUUAGGUGGGAUGACAUUUUAUUUUUCCAUAUCAUUGACUUGAUUGGGUUUUCCUAGUGAUUCAUGUUUCAGUCCUGGAUUACAGCAGGUCUUUUGGUAGCUAUGAUUAAUUUCAUUCAACAUCUAACCAACUCCUUGUUCUUCAAUGGUUUGUAGGUGGGUUCAAUCAUUGAACUCAGAAGAUCUUAUCAAGCUUAUAAUGUGAUGCCAAGUCUGAGCAAUGCAUUAAGGCGUUAUGGUGUUUAACAUCUUCACAUGCUGGCUAAACUCUCUCAGAACUCCCUCCAUGAUAUAUUUUGGUGGAAAGUGUGGUAUUUGCAAAAGAUCUUUGAUCCAUGGUUCACUGGAGAUUGAAGAAGCAGUUGGUCUUCGUAGAGGUCUGGUCAUUUUUUGGGGGAACAAGACGAACUAUUCAGAGCUGACUCGGUAUGCAAAGCAUUUGAAGUCUAGAGCCACAAUGACAGGAGGCACUUGCUUCAACGCUGGAAAAGGAAGUUCUUGCUCCGCUCCUUUCCUUGCCAUGAAAACAGCAAAUCUCUUGGCUUAAUGGUUUGCAUGUUUAAGAGCGAUUUUCUGCAGAUUAGAGAUCAGGAACCUGCUAUCUGAAAUGAUUGGUGCAUGCUCAUGAAUUGAUGGAUCUCCUUAUUUGUACCCACAGGAAAAAUGACUAUGAAUUUGUGGAUUCAAUCAAGUCAGUGGUAAUAGCAUCUCCAGAACUUGCAUAGCUGCAAGGAAGCUUGGUCGUCCGUCCUAUGGAAAAGUCUGUUUAACUGGCUGAUUCUAGGGUUGCUACACAGUUGUAAACCUGCAUGUUUAAUGUGUAGACGGUAGAUGUAUGUUAUCGUAAUAGCAAGGCCUAGUUGCAGAAGAAUUGCCGCCCCGCGGGCCGGGGGGGGGGGAAUGGUAGAGGUGACAAUUUGUCCCAAGUCCCAAUGGGUUACCCAUGCCCAUGGGGACUUUGGGCGGGAUGGGUAUUGAAUUUUGAUAUUGGGUUUAAAAUGGGACAAAUCCCAAUUAUACCCAUUAAUUGAUGGGAAUACUUGGGAAAUACUUGGGUACCCAUUGGGCUCAAAUAACAAGGGCUCUGUUUGGUUUAGCUAUUUUUGGGGGGUAUUUUUGAAAUAUUUUAUUAUAGCAGUGUAUAUGAAAAAUUUUUACUAUAAAAUUUUUUUGAAAUAUUUGAUAUACUAAUAUGGAUGGGAUGUUUUUUGAGUUAUUGUAUAUUACUGUAACAUUAUAUUUGAAAAACUUAUUUUUUGAAAAAAUAGCCAAUCCAAACGGAGUCUUAGAUUCAAAAAUUAUCUUUAACAAUUUUUAUAGUCAUACUAGAGAAUAUAAUCUAGUAGUUUUCCUAGUCAUUGUCCACAAGAAUUUUCAACAUUUCAGUCAAUUUAGACCUGUCAUCUUUGGACAAUGAUGAGAAUAAAUAUUCAACACCUUAAGUACCUUGGCCAUCUUGAUAUAUGUUGGAAUAUGACUGUAUAUCUAUUUUUUCUUUUAUUUGUUAAUCCAAUUUUUGAUGGGAAUCUUGAGUAUAAAGCACUUGCAUGUUUAUUUAAUAAAACUAAAAAAAUUUAAUAAAUAAAAAAUAUUAAAAUUAUAUAAAAAAUAAAAAUGAAUUAAAGGAAAAAAAAUAUGUAGAAAAUAGAUUUGGGUAUUGGGCGGGAUCAAUCUAAACCCAUCCCAAAGUGAUCCCGCCCAAGUUAGUCCCAAAACACAUAUGGGUAAGGUUGGUCCCAAACCCAUAUGACUCGGUUCUAUCACAAACCCAAGCAAAUCCCGCCCAUCCCGCCCAUUUUGCCACCUCUAGGGAAUGGAUAGAGGAAUAGCAAUUUUUUGAAAGAAAUUGCAGACAGUAGCGAUUGACUAUAUGCAAUAUUCUGGAAAUACAUGUAAACAUACACAGGGUAGCUAUUAGCCAAAAUCCAAAUACUACUAUAAAGUAGGACCCAUAUAUAUAUAUAUCUGUUAACGUUUGUGGAAAAAAAAAAUACUAUAAAGUAGGACCCGGAAUCAAGGACUGCAAGGUACUCGCCCUUGAACUCUGUUUAUAAUUGAGUACUAGUAAUUUAAUUUGAAAAUGUGAAUAGAAUUGAUGUUUUACUGCACAAGCAAAUAAAUCAAGAUGCAUAUGUUUGUCAUGUCACUGCUCUAUAAAACUCAAAUCUACUAAGUAAUAGAGUGUUGUAUUAUUCUAGGAGCUUAUUCUCUUGGGGUUGGUUGUGCAUUUCUGCUUCCCUCAUAUCUCUAAAGCCUGUAUCAUAUUAAGGUGUCAUUCUAAAAUUUUGGCUCAAAAAAAAAAAAUUAAACUGACUGGUAUUAAGGAGUGUUUGGAUAGCAUUAUUAUUUUAAAUAAUAUUUCGCUUGCAUUAUAAACACAUUUUCUAACUCACCUUUUUAUAUUCCCAACCACCUUUUUAUUUCACAUACAUCACAUCACAAAAAGUAUUACAGUAAUUAUUUCAAAUAAUAUUUUAAAUAAUACCAAACAAACAAAUUGUUUCGAAAAGGAAAUUUGAAAUUACUAUUUUAAAGCAGAUGCAAAAUUAGAUGUUACUACUGCUAGUACUACUAGUAAUGUAAUCAAAAAAACAUAUAAUAACAUUCUACUAUUAUUUUCUUUUUUUGUUGUCUUUAUAACUCGAAGGAAAUUGAACCACGUGGAUGCACUACACACCUACCUGAAUUUUUUAAACAGAGCCGCUUUAAUGUGAUAAAUUGAUGGGAGGUAAAGUUUCAAUCAAUCAAGUUUUAAAUUGAUGGAAGGUAUUCUCGCGGUCUUCUUGCUUUCCCUAUCAUCGAGUUGAGCUCUUCCAAAAUCCUCCUCUCAGCAGCAAAAUUUUUGAAGAAUUUUAGGCACAAAUAAAUAUUAUGUGUUGUAAGAUACUCACCUAAUUAUUAGAAACCUUAUAUGCUUUGAAAAAUGUGGCAAAGCUGUAAUUCUAUUUAUUUAUUUUCAUUUUGUGGGUGAUUAAAGUUUAAAAUUGACUGUUAAACUUGUGCGUCAAAAUUCAAAAUAUAACCUAAACGUCAGAAGCCUGCCUUCUGCCGUAAUUCAAACAAAUUGAGAGAAAUUGACAGUUGAUUAUUUUUUUAAAUAUAUUUUUUUAUAUUAUUAUUAUAAUUUUUAAUACACUUUUUUAUUUUUUUAAUUACCUUUUUAUUUCACAUACAUCACAUCAUAAAAAGUGUUACAGUACAAAUAUCUCAAUUAACUUACGGUCCAAACAAACUUAGCAAGAAUUCCCCACCUCCAGCUCUCCACUCGUCGUAGGUCAUAUUUUCCGGCGAAACGCUGCUGCUCCACCUCAACUCCUCUCCUAAGUGAGGAAUGGAAGAAUCAGCCAUCGGAAGUUGGGAGAUGCAGGAGUUUACCGACAUCGACACAGCAUCCGACUCCCUCAACAGCUCCGUCAUUUUCCACGUCGUCACCGACAUUCUCGCCUUCGUCCUCUAUAUGCACCAUCAAAUCCCUUCGUUUGCACACUAGCCUCAUCUGCUCUUUUUUUUUUCUUUUUCCUUUUUCCUUUUUCCCCUUUUCCCGUUGACAGUUAAAGAUUCUGCCAAAAAAAUUUUUUCAAAUUAUACAAUCCCCAACUAAUGCAUUCGUUUUUACUUUCUCUCCAUAGUGUUUUGCAGGAUAUUAGCCUCGAAUUUGACGAAUUGCAGAAGGAGUACAAGGAUUUGGUGAGUAGAGCCUACUUUUGUGCUUGUCAUAUUGAUUUUCCUCUGAAAACCCAAGGAUGUAUUUUUUAAAAAAUUUAAUUAUGGAAUACUAGGAAAUACUACUAGCUUCGCAAGCUGAGAUGAAGGCAUCCUUAAGGAGAAAGCACGUUUCCAGAAAGAGAGAGGUGAAGCAGGGUAUCAGAAGACUGGAAAAAUUAAUCAACUCUGUCUCUAAUUUCAAGACUGCUCUUCAGCUCUUGAUCCCUCAGAUUCCACAAGUUGAGCGGCUAAUUCUGGUUCUUGGACCUAGUCCCUUAAGGCCCAUACAUCUCUAUGAACUCUGUUUUUCGAGCGGAACAACUGUUUCCCCUGAUUUUGUCAGAACAAAAGUGGCUGACGGAAUCUGCAGAAAGGUUUUCCAUCCCUCUUUCUCUGUUAUCUCUCCGUCCUCUUUUAUAAUUUUCAGAGAUUGGGAGAACUAGUGCGUCGCAUUUUGUAUCUGGGCUUGUCCUUCGGUUCUUAUGACUUAUUCACAAUUAAUUUUUGGGAAGGCCAUUCGCACUUUGAUCUCGGGAGGCGCUGGAUCAAAUAGCGACUCAUAUUCCGGUACUUGAAUGUACAUAAUGUGUCUUUCCAAGGAUUUAAUAGUGUGUUAUUAGCUAAUUUGUUUCGAUGGAUUGAAUCUAGGCCCUUCAAAGCUUUUCUUGUUGGUAAAAGCUCCCUCCUCGUUGAAUUUGCCUUUACAUUUUCUUCCCAAGCGUGAGUUCAGAUACAAUAAGAAGGUAAAACUAUAUUAGCUUGCUUUUCAUGCAAAUGGUGUUCCCAUGAUAUACUGCCUUUCAUAUUUGUUUCCUAUUUUGUCACUCCUACAAAACAUUGUAGCAUCAUUGGUUUUUACUAUCAUUUUUGUUGAUAGUGGCAUUUCACUUGAAAACUUUGAGAUUAGUGCAUCUUUCUUAAAGUAUUAUUGGUUUGAAAUUGCCUUGUCAAAAUAUAGAAAAGAUUCGGCUGUAAUGGGGAAACGUAAUUCUGCAAAUCACUGCAUGAUGUUAACUUUGAUAAGAAUAGUAUAAUUUCAAAAGAUCCAGUGGAAGUAUCUCUGAUGCCUUUGAAAUUUUAUGAUGUCAGUCUGAUUUAUGCGUUAACUUUUCUUUGAUGCUUCCUGACCCAUGAAGCUUCGAUAUAGUGAUUUUGUCAUUUGUUGCUGUUAUUGCAACAGAGACCGAUACAAAAGCAUUUUUCCGUUGUUUUUUGUGCAGAUAGCGCCAUUUAAGUUGCGGUUCAAGUGCAGAAGUGAACAGCCGGCGUUGAAUGCUCAAGUUGAUGACCCUCAACCUGCUAGCUCCGUGUUGAUGAAUUCAACAUCAACUGAUAACGUUUGGUACUUUCUGUCCUUGCAAAUGUAAUGAUUUUAUUUUUAAUGAGUUGUUAAGUUCGAAGACGAUAUCUUGGUUCUUCUACUUUGAAUCACGAAACCUGUAACGAACUGAUCCAUUUCUUUAAUCCCUGUUCUCUUCUGUAUCAGCUUGUUGCCAAUCUCUGAAUUUAAGCAAUGCGUGUCAUCUCACGGCAUUUGUAACAUCAUUCAUUGUCAAAAAGCCUAUUCCUUUGGCUUUAAUGAUCAGGCAUAUUCUCUUCAGUGUCUUUCCUUGGCUUCAUAACUGUGCCUAUUUUCAUUUGUUUUGCAAUUUUGUCCUUAGAAGUUAGAGCUCAUCCACUCCUUUGUUUUUUUGGUCAGUUUGGACUACAAUUUAGCGCUCAUCCACUCCUUUAUUUAUUUAUUUAUUUGUCAGUUUAGAGUACAAUUUGGAGUAUGUACUCUCAGAUUAAUGGCUGUUUAGAUAUUGGCCCAGUUGUUUGCAUGAUAAUACUAAGUUUCAUAAUUAACUCAACAUACCUAUAAUAUUUAAAGAAAAUUAUAUCGAUUGUGGCUCAGUGAUCUUAUCAAUUACUACCAUUGUUUUCCAAGAGUGUUUAGCAUAAAAUGAUUAUGAAAGCUUUUGCUUUGGCAUAGGGAACUUCUCUAUUUAUGCUUGCCAUGUCUUCGCAAGGAGUAAUUCUUUUUCAGCAAACUUUGCAGGUUUCAGUGUCGGCACAUAAUCAAGGGCCUAGCUUCCAAAUCAUUGUCAACUGAAGGGUGAUGUUUGCCUCGUCACUCUUCACAAACUAAAACAUGACAGAUAAUUUUUUUUGUUGUUACAGGAUGCAGCAAUGUUGUCCUAGUGGUAUUUUUUUCUCUAAUCCGGGAUGCAGAUGCAAAGAACAUUUGGUAGUUUCUUUUUCUUUCUUUAGGUUUGGGAAGCAUAUAAAAAGGAAAUGUGGCUUGAAGAAGCAAUGAAAAUUUCAUUCAUGCAAUUCCUCUUCAUUGUCAAAUUGUUCUAGAUCAACAGUUCUCACAAAUCUGACAUAGAGACUUGUACACAUCUUUACCAUCAGAUUUGCUUCUCUAUUUCCUGUACAUCGGCGGACUCUUAGGGUAACUUGUUGAUACAGAUUAUUUGGAAUAUUAUUUGAAAUGUAUAGUACCAUGUAAUGGGGAGAGGAAGUGACUAGUAUUUAAAGCAUUCAAUUAGCGGGUAAUGUAAAAAUGAAAAAUAAUCAACGAGACAACAAGAGAAAGAAUAAACAUAUAUAAAUUAUCCCUAAACUAUUUAAAAUUCCUCAAUUAGUCCACUAAACUUUGUGGUUAAACUAUUUAUGCAACUAAUUAAAACAUACAUUUUGUGACAAAAAAAAGUGCGAUGCUUUGGUUGGUUGAGUGGCUAAAAGUGUAAGUAACUAAAUAUAUAUUUUAUAAUCGUUUAAAUGACCAUUUUGACUUAAAAAAAAAGUUAAGUGAGCAAAUAGAGAAUUCUUAAUAGUUUAAUCACUAUUUUUGCCAUUACCACCAGCCCUCCUCCCUCUCCCUCCCCACCAACCCAUUCCAAAAAAAACAAAAAAAGAAGAAUCGGUUGCAACCCUACUAUAGGAAUUGUGAAAUGGGCCUAAGGGUCUAACAUAAGACUCAGGAUUUAAUGGAUCGCUCUUGUGUCAUUGGUUAGUUCUUUAGUCUUCCAGAAAUCCAGACUCCUACAGUCCUACUUAAGCUAAUUAGACCAAUACGACAGCGUUAAAACUCCUAUAUAAACCGCAAGGCUUGAACAGGCAGAAGGAAGGGGAAACGCCAUCUCCGAGACCGGCGAGUUUCUCUACGCCGUUCAGUCGUCGUCGUCGUCAGAGGCGAAAGCUUAAAAGCGUGAGAGUGACGCGAUUGAAAGAUGAAGUUCCAAAUAGAAGACGUGACGGUUUAUUUCCCCUACGACAACAUCUACCCGGAGCAAUAUGCAUACAUGGUGGAACUGAAGCGUGCCCUAGAUGCCAAGGGCCACUGCCUUCUAGAGAUGCCGACUGGCACCGGUAAAACCAUAGCCUUACUUUCCCUCAUCACCAGCUACGCACUUUCCAAGCCUUCCAAUCCGAUCAAGUUCAUCUACUGCACUCGCACAGUCCACGAAAUGGAGAAAACUUUAUCCGAGCUUAAGUUGCUCCACAAUUAUCAGUUACAACACCUAGGCCCGGCCGCCAAGAUCCUUGCCCUAGGUUUAUCUUCCAGAAAGAACUUGUGUAUUAAUCCUACUGUGGUUUCCGCUGAGAAUAGAGAUUCCGUCGAUGCGGCUUGUCGCAAACUUACUGCCAGUUGGGUUCGCGAGCUCGCUGCUGAAAACCCUAGGAUUCCGACUUGUUCCUUUUUUGAGAACUACGAGAAGUCUGCUUCUGAAGCCAUUCUGCCUCCGGGGGUUUAUACCCUGCAGGUUACCUUUUUCUUCUGUUUUAAAGCCAUUUUCUCUCUUUUUCCUCCAUUAGUUCGUGGUCUGUAAAUUUUGCUAUCGGUGCAUACAACUGGGGACUCUUGAGCUUCUAGUGAUUUCUAGGUUAAGAUGGAUCUCAAUUGCUGUUUUGAUUAUGCAGGAUCUUAGAGCCUACGGGAAGUUGAAAGGAUGGUGCCCAUACUUUUUAGCGCGGCACAUGGUGCAACUUGCAAAUGUGGUGGUUUAUAGCUACCAAUAUUUGCUUGAUCCUAAGGUUGCAGGCAUUAUAUCCAAAGAGAUGCAGAGAGAAUCUGUCGUGGUGUUUGACGAGGCCCACAAUAUUGAUAAUGUAUGUAUUGAGGCUUUGAGUGUCAGUGUGAGGAUGCAGACACUCGAAGGGGCUACUAGGAAUAUCAAUAGGAUGUCUCAGGAGAUAGACAGGUAUGUACAAGUCAGAGUCAAGUGUCCAUUGCCUUUCUAUUUAAGUAUGUUCUUCCCCUAUAUACACGAGCUGUCUUCUAGUCUGUACUUUAGAAGAUCAGAGCAGUCUAACCCGUUUUGUUUGUAUUUUUAGCAACUUCUAUAAGUAACAGUACCCCUAAAUUCUUGCAAUUGCUGCUUGUUUUGAAAAAUCUGCUAUUUAAAUUACUUGAGGACCAUAUUAUGCUCUUCUCUGCUCAUUGGUACUUGUACAUUGUGAAACUCAAAUGACGAGUUUAACAAUUCCCUUUCUUUGAACUUUUUGGCAUGGUAGGAAGGUUUAAGGCCACUGAUGCUGGUCGACUUCGUGCCGAGUAUAACCGACUUGUUGAAGGUUUGGCUCUAAGGGGAGAUCUGCCAGGUAAGUUAAUUUAGUAUGGGCUCUACAUCUGAUAGUCUUCCACUCACUCUUGAUAGUGAGAUCACUUGGAUUGUCUUUCUCUCUUGCUGCAGCUUCAGAUGCCUGGCUAGCAAACCCUGCCUUGCCUAAUGAUAUUCUAAAGGAAGCAGUUCCUGGGAAUAUAAGGCGGGCAGAGCAUUUCUUGUCUGUUCUCCGGAGAUUAGUUCAGUAUAUUAGAGGACGCUUGCAGACUGAAAAUGUUGAAAAGGAGGGGCCUGUUGCCUUUGUUGCUUCUGUUAACACUCAAGCUGGAAUUGACCAGAAAAUGUUGAGAUUUUGUUAUGACAGGCUUCACUCAUUGAUGCUAACUCUGGAGAUAUCCGACACAGAUGAAUUCUUGCACAUACAAACUAUUUGUGACUUUGCGACACUUGUGGGAACAUAUACUCGAGGAUUUUCAAUUAUAAUUGAACCUUUUGAUGAGAGGAUGCCACAUAUUCCUGACCCAGUGCUGCAGGUAUGCUUAUGUCAUGACCAUCUUCCCAAGCUCCCACCCCCCCCUGCCACCAAAAUUCCCCAAAAAAAAAGUUUUAGAAUACAAAUAAGUUGCAAAUGGUGAAUACUUAAUGAACAAUAUCACAUAUGAGCAGUAAAAUGAGACUCCUUUUGUUUCUGUAUGUCCUUUAUUUGAAGAAGCAAGACUGUGAUAUAAAACAUAGUGGGUACAGCAAGAAGACAAAUUGUUGUUUCUUCAGCUUCUGUAUUUACCAAGGAAUCUAUAAUUUGGGAUGUAAUGGUCCUUUUUUUUGGGUGGUCAUUGUCUUUUCAAUAACUGCAUUGGAAAAUAAUAUUUUUCUAUUAAAUUUCAGCUAUGCUGUCAUGAUGCUUCUCUUGCCAUAAAGCCUGUUUUUGAACGAUUUCAAUCAGUUGUUAUAACUUCUGGGACUCUCAGCCCAAUUGAUCUUUACCCACGUCUUCUAAAUUUUAACCCAGUUGUUAGUCGAAGCUUCACAAUGUCCUUGACUAGGGAUUGCAUAUGCCCUAUGGUCCUCACACGGGGAAGGUAUGCCCUUUAACUAUUGUAGUACAUGUAUUAGUUGCCAAUUUUUGUUUUAUGAUUAGGUUGAAAGUCUACUGGUUCACAUCAUUAUAUCAUUCUUUUUCCUGUGGCAUGUCAUUUAGUGAUCAGCUUCCUGUAAGUACGAAGUAUGAUCUGAGAAGUGAUCCUGGUGUUGAAAAAAACUAUGGAAAGCUUUUACUGGAAAUGGUAUCUGUUGUUCCGGAUGGAAUUGUUUGUUUCUUUGUCAGCUACUCUUACAUGGAUGGGAUAGUCAAUAGUUGGCAUGAAACAGGUCUUCUGAAGGUGAUAAUAGCCUCUGAUCUUUCUCAAAAUUUCCAAAGAGAACUUUAUCUUUAUUUCUUUUUUUUCUGUAAUUUGCCUAGUUUCCUUGUUCAUUCCACUUUAUCCUUGCUUUUCCUAUUCUUUUAUAUUGAAGAGUAUUCUAAAUCGUAAUUUAUUGGCGAAUGGCUCCUUCUUUUUCCCUGACAUGUUACAGGAAAUAAUGCAACAUAAACUGGUUUUCAUCGAGACUCAAGAUGUUGUUGAAACCACAUUGGCUUUGGACAACUAUCGCAAAGCUUGCGAUUGUGGAAGAGGAGCUGUCUUUUUCUCAGUUGCGAGGUAGAAUCAUUGAACUCCUAUCUCCCUUUCCUUCCACCAUCAGUUCAGUACUUAAGGUGCAUAUAUCUGGUGGUUAUUCAACUUUUUGCUCGUUAAGUGGUUCAAUUGAUGAGGAGUAUUCAUGAUCACUGCUCAUUAGGGAUGAUCAUAUAACUCUAGUGAUAUCAUCACAUAUGUCAGAACUUAUGAGAUUACUUCUGCCUUUGCUGUUGCUGCAGCAUUAAUUCAUAAAAGAAUUUUUUGUGUAUUUGAAUUGUUACUGGACUUGGUUUACUGGAUUUUUGCUUGAAACUAUUGCUGAUAUGCCCAUCUUUAGAAAGUGAUACCCAUGUUUUAAUUGCUGUUAUGUAAAUUCAUGGUUUUCAGCAAAAGGCCUCUAUGGAAUAUUGUAUGCUAAAUUGGCAUCUUUCCUACCUUCUGUUGUAAUGGUGUUAUGCAAUUUCUUCCUUGUAGAAGUUUCUUGUGAGCCAAGAUGUCACACAGGAUCAAGGGGGCCUUUUUUUUUUUGUUGGCUACUCUUUGGUGAAUUUUGUCUUUUAGUCUGUUAGUAAGGGAGUGCUAAAGGGCUUGACUGUCUCCACUGGAUUGACUCAAUUACAGGGGCAAAGUUGCAGAAGGUAUUGAUUUUGAUAGGCAUUAUGGUAGGCUUGUCAUCAUGUUCGGCGUUCCUUUCCAGUACACAUUAAGCAGGUAACCUUUCUGCAGGGACUGAACCAGAAAAUUUAAUUUGAGGGGGGCAAAAUGCAUAUGCAUAUAAACUUUCAAAUCAACAUAAUAUUUUUUUGAAAAUUAUUGGGGGGCAAAUAGCUUAAAAUACAUAGGAAUUUUAAAAAAAAUUUAAAAUUUUAAGGGGACAAAAUAUGAAUAUCUAGAACUUGGAGGGGUGGGGCCCCACCUCUUCUCAACCUCCCCCCCCCCCCAACGGGGGCUUCUGUCCUUGUUUCUGCUACUUCUGUUAUUGAUACACGAAGAGAUGUUUUCAGCAUUAGUCGGCUUGCUUUUUGUGGGCACUAAUACAUGUUGACAUUGUCUCAAGCUUUACAGCUAAGACGUUCAAAAGAUUAUAUUUUUUAUUAUGCCCUCAGCUAAUGGUGGUUGACUUUAAUAUUCAAAUGCUACUAUUGACACUGGUCUUUUUAAUCAUCAAUAAGAUUCUACAAUAGCCAGGCUAUUUUUUUUCGAGUUUAUUGGUAGCAUAAUUUGUAGUCCGAAUCUUUCUGUGCUGCAUGUCCCACUGGAUAUUAAAUUACAGCAUUGGGAUUUUCUUUUAUGUACAAACGGGUUCAAACCUUCUUUGGUGUUUUUAACAGAUUUUCAUUUAUGAUCAAUUUUUAUUCCCUGAUGUGGCUAAUAUUGGUAUCAUAAACUGCAGAAUAUUGCUUGCAAGAUUGGAGUACUUGCGGGAUACUUUCCAGAUUAAGGAGGGCGAUUUUCUGACUUUUGAUGCUUUGGUACAUUUUGAUUGUUCCUGUAUCAUUUUUAAGAAACUUGCAUAUGUUUGUUUUUACAAUUGUUUGCAUGCAUCUUCAGAGACAAGCUGCUCAAUGCGUUGGGCGAGUUAUCCGUUCAAAGGCAGAUUAUGGGAUGAUGAUAUUUGCUGACAAGAGGUUUGUAGUUUUCAGUUUUAUAAUUAAUGAACAAGAAACUGAUUAAACAACAAAAGGUCUGUUGUUGGUGGUGUCGAAAGUUGCAUUUGAUAGGAACUGAAAAGGAAGAUAGACUAUUACCAUCUCUACAUGCUACAUGUAUGUUUUGGCAUCAACAAGGAAUCAACGGUAUGGAAGUCUAAGCUUGGUACAACCUGUUAGUUGCAGCAUGGAACUGUGGAUUUGGGUGGUGCCUACAAAAGGUUAUAGUUUCUUUAUAGAAUCAGCAAACUAUAAUUGCUAUUUUUGCUGUUGAAGAAAAGGGACAGGACUGGACUUUAAUGAGAGUAAACAUGACAGGUAGCCAAACUGCUUGGCCUUGUAUUUUGAGCUUGCUAGGUCAUACUACAAGAAGACCUCCUUCAGAAAUCAUACAUGAACAGUUAGAUUGGUUUCUGUUGAUUGUGGUGACUGUUGCCUUCUGCUUACAGCUUCACAUUUAUGAAAUUAAUUGAUCCUAUCUUCUGUUUUGUAUUCAGGUAUAGCCGUCAUGACAAGCGCUCUAAGUUACCUGGUUGGAUUUUGUCACAUUUACGUGAUGCACAUCUUAACUUGAGUACCGACAUGGCUGCGCAUAUAGCAAGAGAGGUGUAGUUCUAAUCCUAUCUUUGUGCUGCUCUUUCCUACUAGUGUCUCCACAAUUGCUUGCCAGGUCUAAAGCUUGAAUAGAGAGUGUGAUGGAGGGGGGGAUAAUAGAUUUUUUUGCAAAUAUCUUUUUCUGUUCUUUAGGGUUGUCAAAUGUCAUUCGUACUGUGUCUUUAAUACAGCAUGUUCAUGGAUAAUAGGGAAUUAAGGAAGAAGGAAUCUCAGAUGAUUAUCAAAGUCGCCGUGCUUGAUUUGAGUAUAGCAUGUGACUCUACAUGAGUUGGUGUAUUGGAUUUUCAUCAGGUUGAUGACAACUGGUAUUAGUUAUGGGCUUUUAUUGGCAUGAGCCACACACAGGGUAGCUUUAAGUGUGGUGCUUCUAUUUCAUCCAGAAUAGAAGUAUUAUUUAUUCUUUUGAAUGAUGCUGCCAGGGAUGAUGACUCCAAAGUAGGGCAGUUUGUUAUCCUUGUAUGUAUAAAGUGGUACUACAAAUGAUAGUAGAAAAUCAUCUGACGUGAACUAACCGCUUUAGGUUUAGUAGUCCUUAUUAAAAGCGCUACAUUUUCUGUGCUUUUUUUUUGGGGUAGGGGGUGUGGUCAGAGUGGACUACUUUUAACGCGUAUCCUUUCUUCUGGAUGCAGUUCUUAAGGAAAAUGGCUCAGCCAUAUGAUAAAACUGGUGUCAUGGGCAAGAAAACCCUUUUGUCAGAGGCAGACUUGGAGAAGAUGGGGAAUUCCAACCUUGGGGAAAUGUUCUGAAGAUUUUGGGUUAAGCUAAGCUGCAGUCUUGUUGGAUGCCUGUGAAUUCACCAAUUUUGUCGUAAAUUUUGACCUUUUUUUUUUUGGCUGUUGUUGCUACAGAUUGUACACUGGUUGAACCAGAAACUGAUCUAGAAGGAAAAAUCUGGAAAUAUGACAGGAGGGUUUUUUUUUUGGGGGGGGGGGGGGGGUGCGAAUUAGAGAAUUUUGCUUUUUUUGAGCGUUUUUCCUUUUGGAUUUGUCUAUUUACAGAAGAAUUUUGGGAUUUUGUUGGAGAUAGGGUGUUUGCAUGGCAAAUUAUUUUAAAUAAUAUUUUAUUUACAUCAUAAAUAUAUUUUUUAAUAUAUAUUUUUAUAUUUUUAAUUUUAUAUGCAUCAAAUUAUAAAAAAUAUUAUAAUAAUUAUUUCAAAUAAUACUCCAUCCAAACAAAUCGGAUUUGCACGAACAUCUUGGUAAUUGCUGGGAUUGUUGGAUGAGAAGGUGAAGGAAACUCCGAGAUCAUUUCAUUUGCUUUGAAUGAUGUAAAUAUUCCUUUUUCGUCGCUUGAGAUCAUUUGUUAUAUGUUAUCUUGUCUUGCAAGUGAAGUGGGGAAAGAACAUUGGGCAUUAAUGUUGCAGCCACAAAAUGCUCCAGCCUUAUAUUUGAGUUGUGAUUAAAGAAAUAAAAUAAAAGUUCGGAAAGGUUGAGAUAUAAUCCAGGCAUCAGCAAACACAUUUCAUUCACCUUGCACUUGCAGGGUUGAUAGCGAUGAAGGCGGGUUAUUUUUUAAGUGCUUCUAGACCUUGCUAGAAAAUCUGAACUCCCAGCCGAGGGGAAGGCGACGUCAAUAUUGCUCGCAUUUUAGGUCCCCAGUGUAUAAAAUAAAGCAUUUUAGGUCCCUAGUGUAUGAAAUAAAGCGACCUUUUAUUGGCUCCUUGAUUACAUUUCCAGCCAUAUUGUUGCCGUAAACGACGUGGAUACGUCAAGCAUUCGAAAUUUUAAGAGCAAAAUUGACAACUCACAAUUUUUGUCGAAAUUCCCACAAGCAACUCAAGUGCAAAUAUCAAUCAUCGGGUUAAAUAAAAAAAGUAAAUUUCAAAAUAAGGAAAUUGAAAGGAAAGCUCAAUUAGGAGGUUCCGAUGAGUGGAGCUGAGAAGAAAUUAAGACCAAGUAUUAUGACGAAUCAAUAUCAUCUUGCCCCGGAAUUCAAUAGAUUUGGUUUGUUAUGAUUCCUUAUGGGAGCAGGCAAUCGUCUUUAUUUUCACCAUUUCCUUUGAAGUGACUUUAUCUUCUUUCGUAAAUCCAUUUCUUUCCUUGCAAAACUCCAGCGGAAAAUACCUCCAGGGGAACUCCAGAUAAAGCUCAUCAUUGGGAUCUCCUGUGUGAAUGUAUCACAAAACUAACAAGAAUUUUUGACCUCCAUCUCUUCAAAAAGAAUUAAAAAAAUGAAAAUUUGCUCCAUAAGAGAGCGCCCAUAGAAACUUUUUUUUCCCUUGUUUUUUGGGUUCCAUGACACCAUCACCAUUGCUGGCUUCGCGAAUUAAAAUUUUUUACAAGUAAUCUCUAUCAAUUGCUCUUCUACAGUGCAGAUUAGGACACACAAAAUUCCAAUUGAUGUGGUUUAUUUGGGUUCUUCAAAGGGAAUAUUGUUAAAAAUAUCCCUUACAUUUUGAUGAAUAUUUUCGUCAUCCACUUUUAAAAUGUUAAAUUUACAAUUUUAAAUUAAUAAAAUGUGGUUCCAAUCUAAAUUUCCAAUCACUUUUUAGUAUGAAUCUGAAAUUACCACUUGACCCACAUGCAGUAAUUUUUAGUAUACAAAAAUGUCAGAUCUUACUUUUUAGUGGCAAAAUGAACAUAUAUUAGAUUAGAACCCACUUUUUUAGGAAAAAUAAAUAUGAUUAUGAUCAAAUCCUACUUUUUAAGGGUAGAAAUGCAUCUAGAUCAAGUUAUUUGCUUAACUACAAAUGGGAUCUAACUUUUUUGCCCCCAAAAAAAUGACUACAUAUGGGUCAUGUGAUGGAUUCAAGGUAAAAUAUGGUUUAAAAUUUGGGUUGGAACCAAAUUUGGUCGACUUAAUUUUAUAAGGAAUCUAUAUUCACUAUUUUAAAGUGAAGAGCGAAAAAAUUAUUUGACAAAAUCUGAUAAACGUUUUGAACGAUUUUCAUUUUUUCAAAAUGGUUUUGGAUAAAAUUUAUGUGGUUCCAAUUUUACCCUUAAAUUUUCAAAUAUGCCAUGUAUCUAUGGCUUUCUCUGACCAAAGCAUGGUUUGAAAUAUGAUCAAGGAAUAAAAAAGUUCGUUUUUAAUUUGUAAGGGACUAAAAUAUUUAAUUUUGUAUGUGGGAGACUAAAAUUUAAUAACACUAAAAUGUAAAAAACUAUUGGUGUCAUCUCGCUCCGGCAAAGAAUUGGUUGAUGGAAACUAAAGGAGGGGUGCAUUUGGGAAGGUGUCUAGGUUUCUAAAUCCCGGGUGAAAAACUGCAAAUUUUGUGGUAUAAAGAACCCCUAGUGCAAAUAAAUCAAACGUACCAUAGGUGUUUAAUAGGUACUUGUUAACCUACUAAAAUUGCAUCUAACGUACCAUGAGAACACGCAAUCACUAUUACUAUUAUACUUCCUACAUUUAGACACUUCAAAAUUAGCUACAUUUUUUCAAGGGUUAUUAUCACUUUACCCUCUUAAACUAUAUCACUACUAUCAGUUUACCCCCUAACAUUAUCUUUUAGUCAUUUUACCCCCAUAAGUAAUUCAACUCAACAUGUUAAGAAAUUUUGGACAAAAAUACCCUUUUAUUUUAUAGCAUUACUACAUUGUUAUUAUCACUUUAUUCGUUUGGAUUAUAGUGAUACAAUCACUUUAGUUCCUAACAUUAUUUAUUAGGCAUUUUACCUCAUCAUUAAUCUAACUAGUAUGGUCAAAAAAUUUUAAAUAUAUUUACCCUCUUUUAUAUAUAAUUAAAAAUAAAAAAUUUGGAAUGGUUAUUCUUCCUUUUUUUCACUUUGAGAGAUCGAAAAACAUAAAAAUAAAAGGAUUUUCUCAAAUUUCUUUUUUUUCACACUUAUUAAUACUAGGAAAAGAAAAAGAUAUAGGAAAGAAGAAAACAAAAAAUUAGAUUUUGCAAAAAAUAAAAUAAAAUAAAGAAAAGUCUAACAUUAUCGUAUUACUUUAAGGUUGUCGAGAUUAGAAUUGGAAUUUGGUGGUAAACAACAAAGUGAAAUAAUUUUAAAAUAAUAAAUGUAUUUAAUUCUUUCUUAUUUGUAAUUUUUUAAAAAAGAAUUGAGCUUCUCUCUCCCCCUCCCCCACCCCUUCUCCAUUUUUCUAUUUUUUUUUUCAAUAUUAAUAAGAUUGUCAAGAAGAAAGAAAUUAAUAUUUUGACUUUUUUUUCUUGAUACUAAAAAGGAGAAUAGUCACUCUAAAUUUUUUAUUAUUUUUAUUAUGUAAAAAGGAGGGUAUUUCUUCUAAGUUUUUUAACUUGCUAAGUUGGUAUGGUAGGAUAACUUAUCUAAAAAAUAACUCUAGGGGGUAAAUUGAUAAUGAGACUAUAUUUUAUGGGGGUAAAGUUAUAAUAAUUUUAAGGGCUAAACAUGUCUUUUUACUUUAAUUAACAAAUUUCGUUACGUUUGACCGUUAGUCUUGGGGGUACAGUGAUUAAAAGAUAACGUUAAGGGGGAAAUUGAUAGUACACCAAACGUUAAGGGGGUAAAGUGAUAAUAACCCUUUUUCCCAAAAAAAAAAAAAAAAAACUUAUACCUAAGGCCUCUGUGCCCAUUAGGCAACCAUUAACGAAACCGAUAAAAACGUAGGAAAUUUCUGCUCACUAUGAAUUUGAAAGUUAAAGAUUAUGCUUAACUAAUAUUUCAAUUAAACUAGUAAGAAAGAUUAAUUUCAAAAAAAUUGUAGAGGGAAAUUGUUAAGUAGUUACUCGUAGAUUGUCAUUAGUUAUCUGUUUAGGCUAGGAACACCUUGUCAUCUACUCGAUUAUCACAGUUUGAUAUCAUCCUGACUAGAUGAAAAAAAAAAUUUCUUGGUUGCCUAUCGAUGUUUAAAGCAAAUACUGAGGGAUUAUUUGGUUAAUUGCCCUUUUGACCUCCAUAAUGGUUGCCCUUCUACCAUUCCCGUAUUCUUUCACCUGAUAAAAAAAAUCAAAAAAUUUUUGGAAUGAGAUGGUCAUUGUAAUUGAAUUAAAAAAUCUUAUCCAACGAAAUUUUGCUAAAAAUUAGCAUUAUAGAAGUGAAGCCCCAAGGUAAGCGUACCUCGGGUAGCAUUAUAGAAGUGAUAUACCUUAGCCCUUAGCUCAGCAACGAAGAAGCCAUUGCUAAGAGAGGAUUGGACGGCUGUGAUCUCUACUCUAAGCUCCCUAAGCAUCUGCAUGACAUCCAACAACAGCCCCUCCCGGUGAGGGCACUGCAGCUCCACCAAUGCGUCACUUUCAAUUAUCGACACCUCCACCUGUAACACUCCCUCGGCCGGAGACACCACCGCUGCUUUGGGCUUUCCUCCGCCUGUAGGACUACCCUCCACUAUCCUCAUUUUCCUCCUAUCCAAUCCUUGUCCGACCUGUACUCGUGCCGCGGUGUUGUUGCUACUGCUUCUUUGCUCCUUGGCAUUCUUCUUGGGGUGUCCAUCGGCCUCCAUCUGCCGGAAACUUGCCUCGAGUUCUUGAAUCUUCUUCCUUAACUGCUUCACAUACUCGAUGGUGUCCCCGAGAAUGGAUGCCUUAUCCAUUUUGGUGACGAAGGGCACGAGGGACCUCAAUAUGAUGAAACGCUCAUUCAGUUUCUCCCUCCGGCGUCUUUCUGCUAGCACGUGGUUUGCGCUGAGCUCUUCUUGUGGGGUGCCUUUGCGCAAGCGGGAGGCUGAAUCUGAUAUUGCCGCUGCGUCUCGAGACUUUGGGGAGGUCUCGUCUCCGGAGUUGGAGGCAUGGAGGAAUGGAACCGUGAAGAGUAUGUAUUUGAGUGUCCAUUGGGAGGAGGAUCCUCGGAGGUUGCCGUGGGCGAGGCUGUCACAGCUGGUGGCUGGCCACUUGGAGAAUGCGGAGUGGAUGGAUUGGGUGACGUUGCCGGUCAUGCUGGAGGAGGAACACCGGCUUGAUUGGUGGUGAAGAACGGUGGACACUGUUUGAGAGAAAUGGCUAUCCUCUUGAGCGAACUCAUUCUCUGACAGUGGGACCCCUGUGGAAAAUUUAGAAUAAAAUUGAAUUUUUAGCAAAGAUUCAAACUAUUGCUAAGUUAGAAAAUAGUAGUAAUUCAAUGCGGUUUCAGCACGAUAAAGAACUCAUAUCUGCAUGGCUUUUCUACGUACGUGCAUGCAUGGAUGCGGUUUUCUAAAAUCUGUCUGACCAUCGUGAUCUCAGUCCAGCGGUUACCAUAACAAUUUUUCCAUAUACAAUACUUUCAAUAAACUCCAAAUUAAAUCAGGUAGAUGUGCCGUUUCACUAGAGUUGUGGAAUGGUAAUAAGAUAAUUUGAGUUCAAAAGACACGGUUUAAAAGUCACCUAAAUCUUCGUUAAACUAAUCAAUUCAAUCCAGCAAACAUAGUUCACAGUUCAAGAGAGGGCUCUUAAAAUUUUCUUCACUUAUCGAAUUCAAGGUUCGAGUUCUGAACGUGAUAGUUAAAGAUGGGAAGCGUGCACGAAGAGAGGUGGGACGUUAAAAAAAAUAGUUAGUAUGCUGGGAAGGUCUAGUUUGUGACAUGAGACCAUAUUAAAGGGAAAAAAAAUAAAAAUACCUGAUGUUGUUGGGGCUGGUUCUAGACUAUGAUUGAUGCCGGGAUCCUGUAUACGCGGCCAUCUAGGUGUGGACUGUGAUGAACACAAAUCAGGCCGGUUUUGCUGGACUUCCUGAUUCUUGUUUGGCCCAUGGGGAAGCAGAUGAUAGUCAGAGUCCCAAUUGUUGGAGCCAUCUUCUGGUGAUCCCAGCCUGAUAUCCUCGGACAUAUCAAGUUGCACUAGCUCGCUGGGCUCAGUAGUUUUGAUUUGAGGCAUGCUAUUAGGGUUCUGAACCCCAGAACUAGGGGCACUACUCUGAGGAACUGUCUCACCGUCAGAAUCUGAGUCAGCAACAGCGUCAGCGUCCGCGUCUUCUUCGUCGUCUUCUCCUUCUUCUUCCUCUUCUUCUAUUUGAUCACUAUUAUCUUGGGACGUGUGAAUUGUGGUGUAAGUAGCAGGCACUGGCACUGUGGAAGAAUGGAAACGUGGCCCUGAAGCAGUAGCUGGACUGGAAGUGGAGUGCUCGGAUAACGCAGGCUUUGGAGUCUGAUGAGGCUGUUGAUGCUCUGCGAAAAUGCUCUUGAUAUGUUGGACGAAUCCCAGAUCUUCUUGAACCUAAGAUCAAGAUAAGGGGAAAAAAAAAAAGAAAAAAGAAAUCAUUCCUUGACGGUCUAUUACUGCACCCCAUUUGUACGUGGUAGUUCUAGAGUGUUAUAAGCCUAGCAAAGAUGAUACAAGUGAAAUGGGUUUUACCCUUUCAACAGUUCCGAGUUCAACUACGCCAUCCAGCAAAGGGAUGCACACCACGGUCUGUAACUUGCAGGGAAAAGAGUUUGUAUCAUUAACAACCUACUCUUGCCAUACCAAGUCGAUAGUAAUGCUUUUGUACUGUCCGCAGAGAGAAAUUUAUUGGAAACUAAUGGCAGUGAGUUUUACCUGUAUGCGAGCACUCUGACGGAUUAGAGAAAUAAUUCACAAGAAGAGAACAAAUAAGGAAAAAGAGUUAGUGAACUUCAGCGAAUUUUUUGGAGCAUAUACAUGAUAAUUUGAAAGAACGAGGAUGAGGUACGUACCUUGGCAAGAAUGGCUCUUGUAAAGAGUUUGCUGUCAACCUCAUUUGCGCCUGUAAGCCAUACAUGUUGCCUCUUAGCAUAUGCCCUUCCUGGCAAUCUAUUGUGUGACACGUUUGAAGUACAGAUUAACUCCUUAGGCAAUCACCACUUAGAUCAAAUAUAUAAUCUAGUUCAGCGAAUUGAUUUGUUCUUUCGUUUCGUUGUGAUAAAAUCGUCAACCUAUCUACAAAAAACUAUACUUAUACUCAUUCAAUUCAAUAAAAGAAGGGCUUCACUUGUAACUUACUUCCCUAAUUGCAUUUGCUUCGUAUUAUAUAUGGAAGUGAAUAUAUAUAUAUAUAUAUAUAUUUUUCAUGUCUUCGAUCGGGAACUCUACGUGGACUGAUGGUUUUACUGUGUCAUAUAGUAUUUAUUGAGUCGAAAUCGGAAGAUUCUCGACGCCACAACAUUGGUGCAUUUUGCUUUCAGAUACAGUAAAUUUACACCCAUUUGAGAUGUAAAUGAAACUCAAAAUCUUGUAACAAUGCUACGUCCUUGGAAGUUUUAGCCGGUUAGCUGUAGGGUUACAAAAGAAUUUCUACUUGGCUUUAUAAGCAUGAAGUUCUUGAAAAAUUAAACAUCGAUCUUUGUUGUACCGCCGACAACUUUAUAAAAAUUUUGCAAGAUAUUUGUCGCCGAGUUACUAGUUAAGAUCAGCCAAAUUUCUCCCCCUACGCUUACAUUACAUUUCUGUAUACGUUUCUUUGUCAAGAAGUAGGACCAUUACUUGUUUAAUACAGCACCGUCAUUUAUUUCUGGCCGAGUGUUCAAGUCUUGACAGCAAUUUCCUCUGUCAUAUCUUUGAUUGACUUUCAGUGGCAAAGGCCAGAUUGUCAAAAACCAAAUUUGGAAAGAAAAAUUAAUUCAUCCAACCGAAGUGCAAGAAGUCCUCAAAAGGAGGAGGAUACAGCAAAACUAAUAAUAUGUUUUAAAUUUUGGGUGGGCAAAAAAACCUAAUUAGCAGGUUGAAGAAUUUUGGAGUGUUUUUUCACAAGUAAUAGUUCCAACUAGAGGUGUCAAAAUGGGUGACUUGAACACGUUAAAAUGGGUAUUAUCCAAGAAUACCCGUUUAUUAAAUAAGUAUUCUUGAGUAACUCAUUUAUAUCCAUAUGCAAAAAUUUAAGAUACGCACUCAUCUAUUUAUGGACGAGUAUGAAUAAAUUUAGUUAAAUGAAUUUGUUUGUCACCUAUAGUUCCAACGUCCAAAUGUCUCUAAAAUUAAUGCAAAGUCAUCAGUGGGCAGUUUAGUGUAUAGAAGCUUCAUUUAAGCCCAACAGUUUCAUUGUUAGUGUCUAAUUGCUUUUCUGAAUUUUAAUCACUCUAAUGCCCCCAAACCCCAUAAUAGUUCAUCAGAAACUGGAGGAUGAUACUCUAAGUUUCUAAUUAAUCCCACCUCUCUCUCUCUCUCUCUCUCUGUAUACGUAGUGAAUGUUGGAUACUGAACUAGGUCUAUUUGAAUGACACACUGCUGGAAAAAGGCAAAGCGGUGACUAUACAAAUCUCCAAAGCUGGGAGCCAUCGAUCGAGGAAAGAGACAACAAGCGAGUAAACAAAUACGGUUAUGGUUGUUAUACUUAUCUGUCGUUUAUUAAAUCAAGUGUCGAAAGAAGGAAAUCAUCAAAAUCCUAACUUUCUCUUUUAUCUUUCCGCAAUAAGACCUAUUUUUUUCUGCUUAUAAAACACAAGUAACAUCUAACAUGAAAACUCGGCAAGUUCCUACUGCUGUCUUACUACGUAUCAUGAAUAUGUGAGGAUGUUAAUGAAUGAACGAAAGCUCAAGUUAAAUCAUAAAUCAUAAUUAAGUAGAAGAGUAGAAGCUAAGCUAUUCUUUCAUGAAAACACACUUACCCUACUCCAGGAGCGAAAGAGAAGGACACACACAUCAAGUAAAACCAUUCAGACUCCGUUAAGUCCUCCGGAGACAAGGAUGCAGAAGGUCUUCGCGCUUGCUGCUGCUGCUGGUUUGUGUCUCCGGAAGAGAGGGCAUCGUAUAGUUCUCUGAGCUGCUGGCUUCUCUGAAGGGAUGCCUCCUCCGCGCUUACUUCCAUUGGCUGCACUGUCUUCCUAGUCUUUAUAGCUCCAUUAUAGUACCCAUCACCCCACACUAGAAUCCUACAUGUUUUGUGUUCGGAGGAAAAAAACAAAAAGAAGUCAUUCAAGUUUUUUUCUUAUUUUCAUCAGUUUGUGGCGUGCAGAAUUACUUGUAAAUAGAAAAGAAGAAGAAGAAGAAAAUUUACUAAUUAAACAAUGACGACCCUGGGAUUUGAUUAUUCUCAUGAGUCGGGUUGUAGCUAGGUUGUAGAUAUUAUUUACCUUUGUUGGGAACAGAGUUGCCAGAAAAGACUAUAUGUCCAUUCAACCGUUUGCACCGCCCUCUGCAGCAUGUGUUGGAGCUGACGACUACUUGGUGGUGCAGCCAUCUACGGCUGUGGCGAGGAGAUUGAUCUUUAUUGUUGUGCUAGAAAAUGUUGUUGAUCAUUUCUGAAACUCAAAUAAAAAGCACAGAAAACGGAAAAGAGGAAAUUGUUCUGGUGCUGUGAAUACAACGGAGGGAUGGCAAACGGAGAUAAAGAUGGAUGUUAACUGAAAAUUUUUCAAAAAAAAAAAAAAAAAAAAGUGCUGUGAAUACAACGGAGGGAUGGCAAACGGAGAUAAAGAUGGAUGUUAACUGAAAAUUUUUAAAAAAAAAAAAAAAAAAAAAACUUGAAGAAAACCCAAGUAUAAGUGAGGCAGAUGGAGUUGAUGAAUAAAAGGGGUAGAUAUUUUUGCCCUUUGCAUGGAGAGCUGAGGGUAGAUAGAUCAAUGAUGGGUGGAAUUAGGCUGGGACUGGCAGGAGAGAAAAUAGAGGUAGAUGCAUGUUGAAAUUGAGGAGAAGACUUGUGAGGCCCUAGAAAGAUAUUAAUUGGCCAUUCGGGUUCGAAUAAGAGGACGAAAUGCCUGCCUCACACCUGAGAAUGGUCGUUAGGUUUGGAAGCCGAACAAAUUAAGGUUUUAUAGAAGGCAGAGGAAUGCGGUGUAAUUUGGAAGCACAGGCAGAAACACAGAAAGAUUCUGGGAGUUUUGACUGGUUGGUGCUUACCUGACAGUUUGAGAGACUUUUUAUACUUCUAGUUGGAUAUGUGUGCUGCAUUUCUGAAGAGAGGAUGCACACUCGAGAGGAUGCACACUCACUCUUUCUUAGAACCUACAUCGAUCGUUGACUCAAACGUGAGCAUCAAUCGAAAUUACAAAGUGCAGAGAUCUUCUUUUUAUUACUAAUAAUGUAUCACACGUUGUAGAUUAACUGAUUAUUUAACACUUGUCAUAUACAUAUAUAUAUAUAUAGCAAAUUAUCGAGAUAGUUACUAAGCUCUUUGAAUGAUAAAGUUUUGGUUACUCAACUUCUAAGAGUGUGUAUUUAUUCACUAAACUAUUACAAGUAUAAAUUUUUUGCUAUUCCGUAUGUUUUUACUGUUAAAUCUAACAAAUCUAAGAGUCGCACGAGUCACGAGACAUAACCAAAUUUGACAAACUUAACUGAAAAAAUAAAUGAAAUGGCCUAAAAUUUAUAUUUUUAAUAAUUUAGUGGGAAAAUAUAUUCUUUUAAAAAUUGAGUGGCCAAAACUCUACUAUUCACUAUUCAAAAAAUUUGAUGACUACCAGGAUAAUUUGCUAUAUAUAUAUAUAUAUACUCACACAUACACAUACAUACAUGCAUACACAUAUACUCUAGCAAACUUGACUUUAUGGAGUAAAUACUUGAACACAAUGGCAUCAAAAUCCAAACUUAUCAUCUAAUCAUACUCUGUCUUGAUUUGAGAUUACACGAGAGAAGUAGCAUGUGUGUGUGUGUUUGCGUAUGAGUAAUCACAAAAACUUAAUUAUCUAAUGCCUGAUAAGGUCGGUCAUCUCUUAUUUGAAGACUAUAAAGAUCAACAAUUCAGGCAAUUUCGAGUUAGGUGCGUUUCCUCUCAAAAUCUAAUCUCUCAAAGUCUAAUGCACGUGGGCUGUUUCGGUGCAGAAGCGGCCACCAGACUAGGGAGUCAUGACUGGGCGUUGGCUUCCCCAUUUAGAUGCACAAAGUCCAAUGGAGGGCUAAAGCAGCCUCUACGGUUGGGGUUGGAUUAGUCAUUAAACCCGGCCCGAUAAGGAUCCGGCAGAGGGACUAGAUCAUUAGUUGAACCGCAGUAUUAAUUUAAUAUUUAUAAAUAUAAAAUAAUAAUUUUAAUAUAUAUGAUAAAUUGCUUUUAGAUACUAAUUAUUAUAUUUAGAAAGCUAUAUGAGAAAUAUAUAGAUAUUAAUAGAAUAUUUAGUUUCAUUUUAUCGUACUUUUAAAUAAAUAAUAUAGUGAAGUAUAAAACAAAUUUAUAUCGCUUGCUUAAAAAAAUAUAGCAUUAUUUUUUCAUUAUUUUAUUUUUAUUUAAAAACAAAGUUAUUUUCUAACUAAUCAAAUAUUGUUAGUUUAAAAGUUAAAAGGAUUAAUUGUAUAAUAAGACAAUAAACAAGUUUCUUAAAAAAAUUAGUUAUCAAAUAAAAACUAAACAAGUGGUAAAAUAUAUAUAUAUAUAUAUUUAAAUGAAGAUCCAAUAUACAAAUGUUAUCAAAAGCAUAUAUAUAUAUAUAUAUAUAUUGUUUCAAAACCAAAGACCCACAAUUCUUUUUUUUUUAAAUGGUAAAUCGGGUCAAUUGAAAAAUCGGACGGAUUCCCAGUUGAACUAUCAAAUAACCCGAAUUUAUCCGGAUUUGAUUGGGUCAAUUGCUUGUCCCUUCAAACUCGAGACCCGGCCCGGGCCACCAAGUCGGAUUUAAUAACUGUGGUUUGAAAUGCAAAUUGAGCUGCCUAGAAAAGUAUUAGGUAUACAAUCAAAGCCGCGGAGUUUAUUGCUAAAAUAACUCUUCUUCUAAAACAUAUAUCCAAAGUAACCUAAUUUUAAAAAUUAUUACCUUUAUAAUUCUCUUUUUGCCACAAAGGUUGCAUAUGUGGCAGGAUGGAAAUAGAGACAUAUUCUAUCUUUCUUUUUUAUCUGAUAUUCCCCCGGAUUCUCUCUCUGAACUUUUUCCUUUAGUUAUUUUUUUCUUGUCAAAAGUAAUUUUGAGAAGCCAAUAUUUAUAUUAAUAGAAUGUAAAACUUCACUAUCAUUCUUGAUAUUGUAUUCGUGGAUGAAAAUAUUCUUCUCGAAUUGAUGAUCUUAAGGUAAAUGAAGAUUAUUCUCUUGUCUUUUCUAAUGUGUAGUUUUUGGAACAUUCCUAUAGCCUUCAAAAAAAUUUUGAAUACUAAUUGUGUAACAAAUGAUUUCUCAUACCAUGUGUUUGUUAAAAUGUCCAAGAGGAAAACUACAUAACAACAUAGAUUCAUACUCAAUAUGUUUGAUUUCCACCAUAUACACGAGCAUGUUCAUUUGUAGUGCUUCUCUAUCACAUGACCAGAUAAUCUCAUAUACUUAAUGUAUUUUUGCACAUUUAUUCAACAUCAAUCGAUGGUUUGUGUUACUUUUGAGCAACUUGAGCAUUAUCUUAAUUGCAUUAGUAGAUUUCUUUUGCAUUACAUGAAAUUUACUAGUCUCUAUUUCGAUUUAAUCUACUAGUGGUUCUUGUAUCUAAUGGUAUUCUAAAUAACAUGUAAAUGAUAACCUUGCUAAUUAUUGACAAACACUGGUAGUUCCUGUCUUAGAUAGCAUGACAAUAUUUGCUUAAUUAAUGAUUUUUUUAAUUUUGUGUAGGUGGUGCUGCUGAAUUUUGUAGCAAUGGCUGGUAAAAAUGUUACUAUAUUUUUGUAUUGUAAUGGUAGGAUGACAACAGGCAUACAUGGUCUUAGUUACGAGGGUGUUACUCCAAAAGCCAUUCGAGUAAGUUAUCAGAUAAAAUACCAUGAAAUCAUGGACAAGAUAUAUGUUAUCAAUGGCUCUGAAAAACAUCAAGUUGCGAUAAAAAACUUCUAACUUGUGAUACCUCUUUGUUUUCCUCAUUCCCUAUAUGUGAUUUGCAAUGAUCAAAUAGAACUUACCCAUUUUGGAGAUAGGAUUAGUGAAGUGCUCGAAUUUGGCAUUAUUGAAGUGUCUAACAUAGAAUGAGUGGAUUGCGUAAUGACAUUUUUGUAUUCAUUUCCCCUUUGCUAACACUUAAGGAAGUUUCAAGAGUGUGGGUUCAAAUAUUUCAAAAUUGCUUGCAAUUGGCAAUGAUCAUGAGACACAUUUAUUGAUAGCAAAUUUAUUGUAAUUAUACCAUGAAAGUUUAUUUACUUCAGAAUAUCUUGUUUUUUUAGUUCUUUGCAUAAGAUAUGGAUGUUGAGAACUUUAUUACAUUUUUAAAAUUUAAUUAAAAAAUCUUUUUUUUGUCUUUUUUUCCUUACAACAUGACUUUUUCCAGUAGUAGGAUGCCAUUUGCCUUUUAUACUACUUGAUUACUUAGAUAAUAGUCAAAUUGAAAACUUGAAAAUUUCAGUUUGAUUACUUUUUGUAAAAGUUCUUUUCAAGGAGUAGGAAGCAUAACAUAAACAAAUAUGAUAACCUUGAAGUUUUUGUAACUUUUUCUUGUUAUUACUUACAAUUUUCAUUGCAAUUUUUGUAUUUUGCAAAUUUAUUUUUGAAAAAUAUAUGAAAUAGGUUGAUACAAUUUUUUUAAAAGUGUAGAGACCAAUAAUAGUAAGGUCAAUAACGGUAGAAUUUAUUUUAAGUAAUUAUAAGGAAAUUAUCAAAGUUACGCAAUUUUCUUGUGCCUUUAUAAUAAAAAAGUUUAAAUUUUUAGUUCAUGUUGGAAACUAUAGACUAGAUUAAAGUUUUCCUUUCUUGUUAUGCUACAUGGAAAUCAGGGUAAUUAGGUGAUAACAAUAACAUCAUUAUGGGAAUAAAAUUUGAAAGUGAAUCACAUUGAGAAUAUUUUUUAGAAAGAGUGUUAUUUUGGCAAAAACUCCAAAGCCGCAAAGGCCAGUUUUAUUGGAUAAUUACCAAUUGCGGGUCUGCAAUUAUUUUUUGGCAACCUUCACAGCGCCAUAAUUUUCAGUCUUAAACUAUCUCAACAACAGUGAAAUUUUAGAAAGAUACUCAUUGGGCCCAGGCCGAGUGACUUGAUGAUACAAAUCUAGGAUUAAGUUUAUAGCAGACAGAUUUUUAGUUCAUUUGGGCCGGGCAAUCUACUUCUUCCGACGUAUGUGCAAUCCACAGGCUCACCACUUCUUUUUUCCUUUUUUUUUUUUUGGGUUUCUUUUUUCUUUUCCCUUUUUUGUUUUUCUUUUGUUGGUUUAUAAGAAUGACAAAUACCAGCCUGUAUAUGCAGCGCAAUUUCUUUAUUCUCCAAAGAGUUUUGAACCAGUCCCACCCUCAAGUCAAAAUUACCAUAUUGCACUCUGAACCGAGUGAAAGACCAUGGGCUGUAUGUUUUUUUCUUUUAUUUAGUUAUUAUUUAAUUUAAAAUAAAACAAAUAGUUAUUUUAAUUGGGAGAUCUUUCGUUUUUGUAAAUGCUAGUAUUUUAGCAUUUGCAGAAACCAGGAUAUUUCCGUAGAAUUGUGUCCACAUGAGACAGCAUCAGAACCAUCACGUGUCAAGAUUCAUCUUAAUCAAUGGCCAAGAACGAAGUAAGAUUCCUUCCUCUUUUUUUUUUUUUUUUGUUUUGGGUCCAGAUGCAGUCACUUGGAACAACAGUGAUGACUAGCAUUAGCGACCACAAAUUAAUACUAGUAGACAGCAUGCCAUAAUCAACUAUAGUUAGGAAAAUUAAUGAUCGCUAACUAAAACCUUUUCAAACAUGGUAAGCUGAUGAUGACACUUUGCCAGGUAUUAACCACUCGCUUUUCAUCUAUAGAAGCGAGCAUUAAUAGUUUUUGUCCAGCAAAAGAGACUAGUGAGAUUCGAUUUUCAUCUUUAGGAUGACAAUGAUCUGAUUUCUCCUGGUUUGGAUCGCAAUUUUUCUUCAAAAAUUUUUUUAUAUUUUUUAUGAAUAAAUUUUUUAAUUAUUUUUUUUAUUUCACAAACAUCAAAUCGUUAUAAUACAUAUUUUUUACAAAAAAUAUAAUCCAAACAUAGAGGUGCACGAUUGUUUGGACUGACAAGAUACCACGAGAGACAUUGCUUCAACUACCAACCGUGCACUCACGAAAUACACCAAAAGUUGUCACAAAAUGAACCACAAUAUUGGAGCUUUGAAUUUGUGGACUACUAUCCAAUCGUUUAGAACUUCAAAUAACUCCAAGCGAGACUUGCCUCUCCCAUUAAUGAUGCUACUGACCAUGAGUUUCAUUUUCAAAAUGGAUAAUUUCAGAAACCUCCUCUAAAAUUUUUAACUGUUUUACCAGUCUCUUUUUAGGUUUUUAAAAUUACAUUAAUUUCUCUUGAAAUUAAUUAUCUGGUAACAUUUAGACUCAAUCAAUAGUUUAAAAGUAAUAUUAGGAGAGAUAAAAUUAUAUAAUUUCGUCAUUGUCUCUCACCUAUUAUAUUAUUUAAUUAAAUUAAUACCAACUCACACAUUAAAGAAAAACAUUAAAAUUUGCUGUUAUCGUUAGGAUUAGAUCACAUAUAACAUCAAAAAAUAGUAUAUCAUUUUAUAUUUUUUUUUACUUAAUAUGAGAUAUAAAUUACUUUUUUUAGUUAUAUACGUAUUGUCAAAUAUGAUCAAUAACAAAUAAUUAAAAAAUUUGCAACCAAAGUAUUAUAAAGAAUAAACUUUAAUAUCAUAAAUACUCUUGCCAACAUAUUAAGUUUAGCUGUUAAAAUUUUUAUGGUAUUAAAAUUCAUUCUUUGUAAUAAUUUGGUUGCAGAUUCUUUUGAUUAUUUAUUGUUGAUCACGUUGGAUAAUGGGUUUAUAACUGAAAAGAGUAAUUUGGAUAUUACGCUGAGUGAAAUAUAUAUAAUGAUACAUUAUUUUUGAUGCUAUAUGUGAUUUAGUUCGUAAUGAUCAACAACAAAUUCUAGUAUUUUCUUUAAUAUUUGAUUGAUAUUUGAUUAAUUACACAAUUUAGUGGACGAGGCGUAAUGGUGGAAUCAUAUUAUCGUUCUUCUCAUAAUAUCAUUUUUUUAAUUAUUGGUUGAAUCUAAAUGUUACAAGUUAAUAAAUCUCAAUAGAAACUAGUAUAAUUUUCAAAAUUUGAAGGGAGGUCAAUGAAAUAGUCAUAAACCUCAAGGGAUGAGGUUUCUAAAAUUAUCCCUUCUCAAAAAGACCAUAUAGGAGAAAUUAUACGUUGAUAAGUCUAGUCGUUACUUUUAAAAGAAAUAAGUCUAGUCGUAGUUAGGGUUGCAAAUGAGUUGAGUCGAGUUAAAUUUUGAACUUUUCGAAUUGAGUUUGACUUGUUAACAUACGAGUUUGAAUUCGAGCUCGAGUUCGUCGAGUCAUAAAAAUAAAACUCGAGUUCGACUCAACCUAGAAAAAGGUAAGUUCAAAUCGACUCGUUUUUGGCUCACGAAUUUAGCUCAAUUUCUGGCUCACGAGCUGUUUGAGAUGUCAACUCGAGUUUUGGUCAAUAUUCUGGCUUAUGAGGAAUUCGAAGUCAAUUUAAUUUUAAUUGAUGUAGGGACAUUUUUAUAAUUUCACAUCAACUCGAGUUUUUUCAAGCGUUUCGUGAAACUAUCGAACCCAACAAGUGACUACCCAAGUUCGACUCGUAUAUAUUAACGAUUUACUUGAGUUCGAACUUAGCUACUUGAGAGCCAUUCGUGUGGAUUGCAGCCCUAGUCACAGCAACAAAUCUGGGUGACUUGGACACUAACCUAACUUAAAUGAGUGAAUUCUAUUCUGUUGUGGGAUGGUGGUGGCAGAAUCAGCAAUGUCCAUUUUUCAACGGCAAAAACCCAAAAGUUGAUAGUACACGAUAAAGCGGUGGAUAUUCCACUUGUCACCUGGUCGUUUCCUGUCUUUUUGCGUGUGGGCAACACAUCGUCACUCAAUUUCACUUAGUCACCAUUUUUCGGACUCGGGGCACGGACGGUUGCAGGUGCAACCGUCCAGGGCAAUUUUGGCCAUUAUCAACUGCGCGUAACUUUCUUUGUAUAUCGUGUAACUUUUUUUUCACAUGAUGUAUUUUCACAACAGAUAGUGGUGGGUCCCACACUUGGCGCGGAAAUCGAGUUACAUGGUGUAAUCUCAGCCGCACAAAAUUUUGAGGGCAAAUCUUGGCCCUUAACCGUGCAGGGACGGUCAUCAGUAUGACUGCGUAGGGAUUGGUGGUACACAAACUGAUAAACUUCGUCUCUCUAAACUGCGGAUUGAGCUGGCUCCUUUUUUUUAGAGGGAGUCAAACCUACUAGAGGCACUUGACUUUUUUGUUCUCGACCAAAUCAAAGCCGUAAUACUAAUAUCUCUCUCUUAUUUCUUGCACUGCCAUAACUCCUGAACAUAUUAUUGUACUCCCUCCGUCCCGUUUUGUUAGUCUUGGUUUUUUUUUCACACAGAUUAAAAAAGUGUAAUUAAUUUGAUUGGAAACAUAAAUUUAGAUUAAUAAUUUCCUAAAAUACCCUUAUGCUAAUCACGAAGAGUGCCAAUUAAUAUCAGUUACAGCUAAUGGGUUAGUAUUGGAAAAGUUCAAUGUAUUCAAUGUAGUGGGUUAGUAUUUAAUAACAAUGUAUUAAUAACAAGAUAUUUAAUAAGGGUAUUUUAGACAAUUUGAAAGAUUACUACAUUUCUUAAUGGGAAAGUGGACUACAAUUUGGGACAAACGAAAAAGGAAAACAAGACUAUCAAAGUGGGACGGAGGGAGUAAGAAUCAAACAGCACUCCGUUGACAAAGAGGCGUCAUAUUAUUAUGAGUAGUGGCGUGCUCUAUUCUAUUUGGUAGCUGAGUACCACACAACCUAUUCCACAAGCACUCAUCAUUUAUCAAGAAAUUGUGAUUAGUGCACUGGCAACUCGAAUUACACACUUAGAACCAAAAAUUAUUUAUGUGUUCUUCGAACUAAGCACCCUUUGCCGAACCGUUGAAACUCAGUAACCAAAAAUUAAUGCUGUAGAACGUAUUUAUAUGGUCUUUGAUUCGAACUGCGCCAACUCAAGUACUGAUGGGUUUGACAUUUUUUAGUCACCUUGGUUGAGCUUCUUUAUAAACAAAACGAUAAAGGUUUAUGGUGCCAACGAGUCUCAGAACUCAUUGAGGUCAUUUAAUUAAGUGCAGAUCAGAUAGACAAAUAUUUUAGAGAAUUAAUAUUUCGGAAUGUGAAAGACAGCUGAACCUCCACUUUUUUUUUAUAGGGCAAGAAUCCCACCAAAUUUUCCAGGACAUAAGUCCUAUUCCUGUACAAGUAAUACACCAAUUAAGUUCUCAUUAAGCCGUGUAUAUAUUGCAGAAUCUCAGUCGGGAAUAAAGAAUGCAAAAAGAAAUCCGCAUCGUAUGUAUAUCCUGCUAUUCAAGCGGGACAGUUCAGUAGGAGAAAGCAUACAACUCAAAACUCAAGUGUACCCAUAUACAGUUUGACAAAUUAGCCCGAGUACUGUAUGAUCGAACAAAAGGCCGAAGGAGUGGAAAGUAAGGAGAAGAAGAAAGAACGAGGACGUUUCCAGCUCUAGUCAAAAGGCCGAAGGAGUGGAAAGUAAGGAGGAGAAGAAAGAACGAGGACGUUUCUAGCUAGCCUGGGUACGUUUUAAUUAAUGCUCGACCCUGUGGGGAUAUCGCAUGCAUAUGCAUAUGGGCAAAUUUUCAACGGGUAUCCAUUGUGGAGGAGAAUGAUGAAACGCACUCAUAAACUCGCUAAAAAUUCCCCCUCCCUCAUUCGAAUUAUGCCACUUUCUUAUGCUUAAAUUUCUGUAAAUUUUUCUUGCAGAUAGGUUUCUAUCAACAGCAAUUGCUUUGAAUCCAAUGAAUUCAUCAAAUGCACGUCCCACAUUUAAACCUGAAAAUCCUUCUUCUUCUUAAAUAAAAGUAUAAAAACCUCCUCAUGAUUCAUGAACUGCCGGUGCUUGGAAACUUAACGCUGAUUAAUAUCGUGCACCAAGUAUAUAUAAUCAUGAUACAAAUGCAUCACCUCCAUGGCCUUUUUUUCACAUAUGGAAUAUUAAUUAAUCAAGAUUUUGGUCCAUGAGGGUAUUUUGCUCUUCAGAAAAAAAAAAAAAAAAAAUCCCAUGAAAUUUUUUUUGUUAAUGGAUGAAAACGUGACACCAUUCAUUUGCAUUUGCCUGCUCUUUAUCUGCUUAUCGUCUUAAUUUGUGGAACUUUCUCGCGUCCAAAACGUGUAGUGACAAUCUAUUAAGACAUUUCUUUUCGCCAAUUGGAUUAUGCGAUCAGGGGGGUGUACGUACGUUUUAGUGCUUAAAUAGUAGGUAGCUAGGUAAAAUUUUCCCCAACUGAUAUUAUUAGAUUCCACUCGGGCGGCUAUUUUGUAUUUGAGCAAAGGUAGGUCUAGCUAGUAGUUUGCUGUUUAUAAAAAGUUUAAAUUGCUUUUACUAAAGUUUCCUAAAUUCAGAACGGCAGUUCAUAGUGCCUGACAUUUAUAAGAGAUCAUCUCUUAUCCUAUUUGUCUUUAUAGGCACAUGCAUAAGAGAGAAAGCCUUUUUGAAAAAAUAAACUUUUUUUUUUUAAAAAAAAAAAACUAUACUACAUCAAUAUUAAUUGUCUACAUUUAACGGUGAUUUCAACCUGAGAUAUGAUACAUCAAAAUUAAGGACCGUCGUAAUUGUCUAACACAUUCCUAAACUUGAAUAUUUUUAAAUGCUGGAAAAUAAACAUGCAUGCUAUCAAGUCCAUAACUUUAAUGGCGGUUAAAUUUUAAUUACCCACAUUCCUCAGGUGCUGGAGGUCGCCUGUCUAUAAGUACGGAUGAUUAGUACAAAAGUUAGGCCAGGAUGAUCAAUGAUGAUGUACGACACUACUGCCAUUUUCAUUCUGUUAGCUUUAAACUCUACCCCCUCCCACCGCCGCCGUGUGGCCGUGGAAAUUUUAUUGGAAAGUGGCCUUCAAACACUAGAGCACGACAAGUUUCUUUCGAGAAAGGUCACUAUCUUAGUAGUAUUAAAUUAAUAGCACUAAAGAUAAAGAAGACAUAAAAUGUGAUCACUAAUCAAAAGCUCUUGUGUGGUACAGACACCGUACUUCUAAAGUAAAGCAGCCGUGGUUAGAGUUAGACAGCAAAAAAGCAUUUUGACUCAUUUCUCCACCGGACGUUGGAAAUGGAGGCCAAUACCGUUGUAGCUGUAAUUUUCUAAUGUUUAUUUCCAGAAUUUUCUUAGAUAAUAAUCAUCACGUCUGACGUGCUACCAUUACUCAAAGAUACUCUCAAAGAUUUUCUAUGACAGGUAUUAUAAUCCAUUGUAGUUUUCACUGUACAAGGUUAGCGCCAGUUGUUAUUUACCCAUAUGAUGAAAUGGUAAAAGUCUCUCCAUCCAAACGAAAUCAAUGCAUGGUCAUAUUCGUGCUUCUUAUGAAUUGGACAUUCUUAAGUUUAUUUGGACCAUACGAUGGAGGACGAAUUUUAAUAUAUCUGAAUCUAAGUAUAUAACAUAACAUAUUAUCUAAUUUUUAUGAAGUUUAUAUUUUAUAGUUGCAACAUAAAUUCUGCCAACGUAAAAAAAAAUAAUCGUUUUAAACCCCUCAUAUAAUGAUAGUGGGUCAUUUCUUGUCAGUGAGUACCGUGAACACCGCAAUAAUAUGAAUUCCUAUCUCAUUCAUCAACCUCUUAGCAUUUGGUUAUCGACCCGCCAAGGUCUCGAUUAACGGAGGUAUUAACUAAGAUUUAGUCCCUAACAUAUUAUCUAAUUUUUAUGAAGUUUAUAUUUUAUAGUUGCAACAUAAAUUCUGCCAACGUAAAAAAAAAAAAUCAUUUUAAACCCCUCAUAUAAUGAUAGUGGGUCAUUUCUUGUCCAGUGAGUACCCUGGACAUCGCAAUAAUAUGAACUCCUAUCUCAUUCAUCAACCUCUUAGCAUUUGGUUAUCGACCCGCCAAGGUCUCGAUUAACGGAGGUAUUAACUAAGAUUUAGUCCCUAACAUAUUAUCUAAUUUUUAUGAAGUUUAUAUUUUAUAGUUGCAACAUAAAUUCUGCCAACGUAAAAAAAAAAAGAAGAUCAUUUUAUACUUGGCAAUUUUCUAUUGCUUUUAAUUCAUGACAUGAGAAUAUUAUAUGGCAUAUGAUCUAUAUAAUAUUUUUCUCAAAAAAUUACUUUAAAAUAAUGGUGUCUUCAAAGCACAUCUAGCUAGUAACAAGUGUGUUUGAAUAGGAAAUUAUUUAAAAUAAUUAUUAUGAUCUUUUUUGUGACAUGAUAUAUGUGAAAUAAAAAGGUGAUUGAGAAGAUAAAAAGUUGAUUAGAUAUUGUAUUGUGAUGCAAGCAAAAUGUUAGCAUGUUAUUCAUAAUCUAGAGUUAAGGGUGGUUUAAUUACCCGUCCCAUUUUUAAUUUUUAAAAAAACUAGUAAAAGUCUUUCUAUCCAAACAUAUUAAUGCAUGGUUAAUCUUGAGGCAGCUUCAAUGAUUUUUUUUUUUGGACUUUCUAUUAAGUUAACGUGGGCGGGACUGUGCAUAGAAGAAAAAUUGACCGGUGGUAUCAUGAACUCUGCCAAAAGGAAAAAGAUCUUGGAAACCACUCCCACUCCCUCCCUUAGAGUUAAAAGAAGACAAAACCACGGAUUGACUUUGCUGUAGACAAAAUUAAAAUAAGAAAAAUAAAAAUGAUGAUGCAUUCCGGUUAAUGACAAUUACUAGUGGCCCAAUACGAAGCACCUAAACGGAAGCCGUCCUAUGAUUAAUCAUGCCUAGGCUUACUCUCAGUCGUGCCAACUCAACCUCUCCUUCCUUAUCGUCUCAAAAUCCAAUUGUCCGUUCUUUGACUUCUUUGAAUUGAUGCCUCUCAGCUUGAUCAUUAUUCGCAGCUAGCCCAGUAAUAGAUUGCUUAAAGGGUGUUUGGUAAGUGGAUUUUAUAUUAAGGAAUGAGUUUUGAAGAGUAUGCCGAAAUCACAAUUCGAACAGAGCUUCUGUGUGUGUUCCCGAACUGACCUGCAAUAAGUCGAACAGAGGGACUAGCUCUCCGUUGUAACUCCGACGCUCAAAUCAGUUGAGAAAUAAGAGGGAAUAGAGAAAGUAAUUGUAUUGUAUGGCGUUGUGUGUGUAUGUACCUUGUUAGGUUCCCUCCGUUCCUUAUUUAUAGAGCUGCUAGCGAUAAUUUUCAGGGAAUCCAAAGUUAUUCCACUACGCACAGUAAUUAUCUCAUUAGAAUAUGAGUUCUACUGGAUCACUAGAAGCAGAGCCCCUCUUGGACUCUAAUCCUGGCCUUGUCCCGAAGAAUGAGGAGCUUCCUUGCCAGUUCGACCUAUGACCAAACAGGCUCAUAUGUUGGGCCGAACUGGCCCGAAAGAACUGACACAUGUCGGUGGACAAUUAGCUCCUCUACAAGUUUCAAACUUAAUCAUAAUAUGAUCAUACUGAUAGUUUGGUUAAAAUUAAUCAGAAUGAGAUAAUGAACACGAUAGACCCAUUCUAUGAGUUUUGUGAUUAAUUAUAUUUCAGUAGACAAUUAAAAUUUGCUUAACCAUGUAUCUCAUAUAUUUUUAAUUAAAAAUAAAAAGAAGUCAAUUGUAAAAGAGCAGUGAAAAAAAUAGGAGAAAGACGACGAAAAAGGAAAAAAUUGUAAAACCUAUGUCUAGAUUUUAGUUGCCAAACAGUGUACGAAUUUCGACAAAAACCCAUUUCCAUUAACCUGUAAAUCAUAAUCAUUAUGAUUGUGACUGACGAACUUUUAUCAGAGGUUUCUUAAUUCAGCCACUUUGCUAAAAAGUUCAGAUAGCAAAAACCAGCAAAAAGGCAGCUAAAUUAGGAGAUGAUAUAUUAGCUUUUUCAACAUCAAAACGAAAAAGAAAAGGGAAUUAGGAGAUAAUAUAUCUGUCACUAAUAAGAUGGAAAUGCUCUCUGACUUUAUCGCCAUUUUCGAGACCGGAAACUAAAACCAUGUCAUGGGUAGCAGCCGAUAGAAGAGCCAUUGAGGGGAGUUGAGUUAAUGGGCGCAGUAAUGUCGGCCUCCGUCUUAAGCUGACGGAGAGUAUGGUGCUUGCUUGCCCACCAACCCAAAUGCCUAAAGCAGGAACGAUCUUUAAACCUGAGAGCCUGAACCCCGAAGUGUACUCUAACUAAUACUACAAUGAACUAUGUGCAUGUGCUACAUCAAUCAAAUCAUUUUUGUUGCUUGCAUCGUAUUAUCCAAUCAACAAGUUCCAAUAGUGGCCAUUUGAUUGAUGCCCAGUAGUAACGUAGUGUGGACAUUCCAUCAAGGACAUGAUUGUUAUUUUUAGGAUUUUUUUUUUAAAAAAAAUGUAUCGUAGCGAUUUGAUAUAUAUGAAAUUAAAAAUUAAAAAAUACUUUUACAAAAAACGUAAAAAGUUUUUGACAAAAAAUCACAAACCAAACCAGGCAGGCUUUCUAUAUGUACCUAUGCUUUAAAAUUCAGGCUAAAUAGUGACUUAGAUUAGAGUUAAAGAUUAGGGGUUAAUGACUUCGACUGAUCGGACUGAUGUUAAAUAAUUGAAUAAUGUUAUAUAAUUAAAAUUUUAUUAUAUUAUAUAUAAAAAUUAUAUUCUUAACAUGGAUAAGAAUGUUAGUUUUAUUUCUCAAGUUUUAUUAGCAAACAUUCUAUACUCCAAUGCCCUUUAAACUUAACUCAAAGUUGACGAUUGGAAGUUAUAAAUACAAAUUGACAGAUUUUUCGGUUAAACACAGUUUUGACCGAAUAUUUGACAGAUGAGUUUUUGAAGAAACUUGAAUCAAGUGUCUGAUCAAUUACCGGCUUAAACAGUUGGAUCGAUCGAUCCCGUCCGAGUUAAAGGCAUAGGUAUAUACAUUUAGGUACGCACUAGUAAGCGCUUCUGGUGUGUCCCCCCCCCCCCCCUCUUCUCCCAAAAAAAAAAAAAAGCUUUUUUGGUUUUUUGGUUUAAUAAAUAAUCCUGAUGGUGCGUAAGGAGCGCGUUCCACUUCCGAAUGCACGAGUCACUAAGUUUCGAAGACAAAACUUUCAACGUGUGAAAAGACACACCUGACUGAUCAUGAGAACUACAAUUGCAUAUGAUGCUUGGUGUAGUACGACCAAAUCAAAUUACUGGAAAAGGUUUCAAUAUUUUUCUUUGGCGAACGCAAUUUAGGUAACGACUGCGACUCGUAUAGUCGUAUGUCUACCUCUCUGCCGGCUAACUAUAUAAUCAUCUCAUCAUGCGUGCAUGGUUGCAUCGCCCAUAUCCCAGCUCUCUUACGACUAGCAAAGAUAUACGGGCACCUGACAAGAGUAACAGUACUACCCAGUAUCAACUCUACCAGGCCCAAAAGAUAAAGAGAAUUGAGCAAGAAGGAGUGAUGAACUCAACCGUCAUUCCAAUUCCUCCAAGUGCAGAAAAUGUUGAAUCCUCGUAUAAGGACGCCAAAAACAUGGGAAACAAGUUUUCGUUUCUAUCCACUUGUAGUGUUGCUUUCCGGGUCAUCCAGGAAAAAAGAUGUAGUCAGGGCAGCAUGAGAAAAGUGAUUCACAGUGUCAAGGUGGGGAUUGCCUUGGUAUUGGUCUCGCUGCUGUAUCUGCUGGAUCCGCUGUUCACUGAAGUUGGAGAAAAUGCAAUGUGGGCUAUCAUGACCGUCGUGGUUGUCUUCGAGUUCUCUGCAGGUUUGCCAAUUAUUAACCCAUUAUUGUGACCCAAGUUGUUUAGUGGAGUACUAAAAACAUUUUUUCUGUGCAUGGCUGUUUGCGAAUAUAUGCAUAGGAAUUUUUUUUUUCUUUUUUCCUUUUUGGGCAAUAAACACACUAGUCAUAAGUACUAAUAGGAAGCAGGUUGAGAAACUUCUACUGUAGCCAUUUUUUGGGUCAAUCAAUUAGACAAUAUACUAACUGAUGUAUUCACUUUGAUUUGAUGCACGUAUGUCAGGAGCUACGCUAAGCAAAGGCAUAAACCGUGCAAUCGGUACCAUAUUAGGCGGUGGAUUGGGGUGCUUGGCUGCAAUGUUGGCUGACGAGUUCGGAGGGAUAGGCAACGCAAUCGUUGUUGGCGCUUCGGUUUUUAUCGUCGGUAAAAUAUUAAUCCUACCACGACUUAAACUCUGGACCGCAGUUUUGUGUGUGUGUGUGUAUACAUACAUACAUAUAUAUAUAUAUAUAUAUAUAUAUUAGUAGUACUUAAAAGUGACUCACUGCUUAAAAAAUCAUACUCAGGAGCGGCCGCAACGUAUUCGAGGUUGGUUCCAAGAAUUAAAAGGAGAUAUGACUAUGGCGUCUUGAUCUUCAUCCUCACCUUCAAUCUGGUAGCUGUGUCGGGGGUACGGGCCGACAAAGUGAUCAGGUUAGCCAAGCAGCGUCUGUCAACCAUUGGCAUGGGUUUUGCUGUCUGCAUUUUCACCAACUUGCUUAUUUUUCCAAUUUGGGCUGGUGAUGAGCUUCAUCGUUCUACAGCAGCUAAAUUCGACAAACUCGCACGUUGCCUUGAAGGUAAUUUUUUGAAAUUAGUUCUACUUCUGUACUUGGCGUAUAUACCUAAAUCGGGGAAUCAUUGUAUUGUUUGGCUUUUUUAAUUAAAGCAAAGGCAUGCACAAUGUAUUAGCCGCGCGAUUUCACUGAACGGAACAUCAUAUAAGUAAAUGAAUGGCGGAUUUGAUUAAUUUGUAGGAUGUUUGGAGGAGGAACCCAACAACAAAGCAGAAAAUCUGGGCGCCAAGGUCAAGGACUGCAAGUCAGUGUUCCACUCCAAGUCCACCGAUGAAUCACUGGUACGUUUUGAUCUGCUUUUAGAAGACACACACACACACAAAAACAACAGUUAUAUAUAUAUAUAUAUAUGGAGUUCUUGAAAUAAAUAAUUGGUGGGUGGAGAAACAAUCAGAUUUUAAUGGGAGUUUUUUAUACUAUUAGUAAUUUUCCCUGUCAGGGCACGUGUAUUUUACCUGCAAAUUUAAGAAACUAAUCCUUCUAACAAUAAUUAAUGCAGGCCAAUUUUGCUAAAUGGGAGCCCUGGCAUGGGAAAUUUGGAUUGUCUCAUCCAUGGGACAAGUAUCUGGAGAUUGGAGAGGUCCUGAGGGAGCUCGCCGCCUUAAUCCUUUCGCUCGGAGUGUGCGUUCAGUCAUCCAGACAGGUGUUCAAUUGAGUGACAGUCCUACUCCUCUCCAUGUUGUUCUUCAUCCCCACCCCCCAACAACCCCACAAACAAAAAAAUAAUAAUAAUAACGCAUUCUGCAUCCAUUCCUGGGUUUUUUUUUUUUUAAAAAAAAAAAUUUAAAAUUCUGAAAAAAAAUAUUUUUUUUUUCUUUUUUCCGGCUCCAUCCAUCAGGCUGCAGCAAACCAAAGCCGCGCAAUCAGAGAACCGUGCGAAAUCAUAGGGUUGUCUCUUGCAUGGAUAUUGAGAGAGCUGGGCGAGAGCAUCUUCAACAUGACAAGGUGCCGAGCCAAGGCUUUGAUAGCACCAAAGCUGGAGUUCAUUAAACAAGAACUAAGCCGGUUGGGCUCUUCUCUGCAAAUCAAAGGACUAGAAAAAGAUGAAAAUCUUGCGAUGGCAACCUUCACUUUCCUCUUAAUGCAGAUAUCAGAAAAUGUGGAAGUAAUAGCGCAAGAGGUGGAAAAACUGGGACAGCUUGCUUAUUUUAGGACCAAGAACCCAGAUGUUUAACAUUAAUCAAUACACUUGAUUUUGGCAUCAAUCAAUAUACUUGAAAUAACAAGUAAAUCGACUGUGUGGUCAAUCCAGUGAAAUAUCACCUUUCCUCUCUCUCUGAAUUCAGGAAAAGGCGAAAAUGAAACAUAAAUAUGGCGACCCGAUGGAAGUGUGACAGUAGUGUGAUACGACGUAUUAGCUAGAAUUGUAGCACUGCAGUUGAUGCAUCAUCAUUUUUUGUUAUGUGUAAGCAACUAUUACCAGUGCCUUCAAAUGUUGUCUGUAUAUAUAUAUAUAUAUGGCCUCAUUAAUUCAUCUUUCUUGAUGCAUCAUCUUUUUGUACUUGCGCAUGAUAUGGUGUGUCAAGUCAACACGGGUGAUUUUGUUAGCUAAGUACUGCAACAAAAUCUGAUCCUAUGGUUUUUUUUUUGUUUGUGUUUCUACAAAUCUAGGAGGUUAACACUCUGUUACCGCAAGGAUUUUUAUAUGCUUAUUAAGAAAACGUAGGGUAAGGACGCAAGAAUAUUUUUUAACCUUUUUGCAGGAUAAAUAUUACUUAAACGCAACCAAAUAUCAAAUAUUGGGUACCUUUAAUAUGAAAAUAAACCAUUAUACCCUCAUAAGCUUCCUCGUCGUUGGCUUUGUUGAGUUUACAGUGCAGCUUUUUCUUUUUUCUUUUAUCCAAGGAAUAAAAAUAAAGAUAAAAAGGAUAAGAGAAUAGGGAUGCCCUUGGGCCCCCCCCCCCCCAAAAAAAAGAAAAAAAAUUUGCAUCCAAAUCACUCAUCAAUAAUGAGGAGUAUUAACAUUUUAGCAUAAGGUCCAGACUUAUCAACCCGGGAUUUCACCAAGAUGGUCAAAAAAAAAAAAAAAAAACACUCACCCCCUUUGACCUCUGGUGUUUCUUCCUUCUCAGCUUUUUCUUCACAAAUUAUUUCUGACUUCAUGAAUAUCCAACAGUUACAAUAGAUAUUUAUGGCUACCCAUUUGUCGGUGGUAAAAAACACACACACAAGCACAAAAAUCACAAAAUUCUACUUCUACCACAAAUUUUAUAAACAACUCAAAUUUUGAUAUGACGAGACACAUAGGUUGUGUUCGCAUACAAGGUGCUCAACUCAUGCAAUGAUGCUUUAUUUCCAAGACAACCCAUCGAUCGUUUGGUACGCUGAAAAGGGUCAGAUCGAUAUGAGCACCGGUAGUUGGAAAGACAUCCAAAAUCGCAUACAUUGAGAAUGAUGAUGGUAAUUUGCAAUAUCAGAAAACGUAAAGCUUCGAUCACACACACGUUCGCUGGUAUCCAGUACAAAGGGAAAUCACCACUAAAAGGGGUACUGCUCGUACCUCAUCGAACAAUCGAGGAGCACAGCACGAGCACCAAUCCGGCUACCGCAACCGCUGAUCAUCGUCGUAUUAGCAGCAACUAGACAUUUUUCACAAUCUGAGCUAGUUAUGUUUUUGUUGCAAUUUGCUUGGCCGUAGGCAAAAGCAUUGGGAUAAGGAGAAAUAUUGCGGUAAUCAUAACCUUUGCGCGAUGGCGUCUGAGUCUCUAAAUCUGCAAUAACAUAUGCAAGACUGAUAGCAAAAGGAUCACCUCGAAAAUACACCCCAGAAUUGCACAGCACGGUCACGACUUGGGUGUUUGCAGCACUUUCCACGGACCAACAAAGUGAACCCGCCAUCCCAACAACUAAUAUUGCUGCAGAAAUUGCCGUAACGUGUCGAGCAAGACCCAUGAUUUCUUUUGCUUGGUCUUCUUCUCUGGAGCUUCGUCUUUUAUUUAUGGUUGAUCUUUUGCAAGUUGAAAAUUGAAAUGCCCCGCAUUUAGUUUGUUUAUCGUCGGCGAUGUCCUCGUUUUGGGCUGUUUCUUGCUUGUCUCGUGAUGGUGGACCGGUGGUCGCAUUUCGUGCCGGCCUCGUUCGCUGAUUGGACGUUGGUACUGAGGAAUUCAUUUAAACAAGGAAAAAACAAAGUUAAUUUUGGUAAGCCAAGCCUUUACCAAAAAAAAGGUAAGCCAAGCCAGGCCCGGCAACUUCUGUUGUCUCCUUAGUAGAUGUCACAAGCAAAGACAGAUAACAAAAGAUAUUUUGGUGCCACCAAUAAUGGUUUCGAGGGGCGUUAAUCUGAAUUCAAUGCCCACCAUGUGGAAAACAUUUUCUUGGGUAUCUCACUGCUACGCAUGGUGGAAUUUAAUUAUUGUGGUAAAUGGUAGGGAUAAUUUCAAAAACGAAGUUACUGACAAUAAUAUCAUUGAGCUCGUCUAACUAAGGUUUGUAAACUUACAACUACCUUCCUUGAUUUAAUAGUUUUAGUAACCAAAUCUUAAAAUAACAUUACCUUGAUCAAAAUAUUUAAAUGAAUAUCCUAAAAUACCCUCAUUUAAUGAAUUUUAAUUUACUUCCAUACAUAAUUGUAAAAUUAUCUAGCACAAUUAUAAGGAACAGAUGCCAAAAUUUUCAUAUUCAUAUCUAUUGUUUGAUAAAUAGCUAUAAUAACAAUAAUUUUAUAGCUAUUACAGGAUAUUUUUGAUGGUGUUUUACUAGGGAUUUAGAUUUAUAGGAUAGAAACGAAAGUGUUCAAAUAUUAUCUUUUAGACUUUAUGAAUUUUUCAAAUGGUGGAAUUAUUAUAAUUUGGUAGUAAUUUUGGGCCAUUUGUUUUAGAUUUAUCAUUGAUGUUGAUACCAAUAAAAAUAAAAUAGAAAAACAAAGAUCACCGUAAACGUUGGAUUACAUUCAAAGUUAACUCAUUAAAAAAAAUAUUACUAAUUCAACAUUUUGUUACAACAGAAACUAAAAGCAAUAGUGGCCGUCCAUGAUUUUGUUGACAAAAUAUAAAAAAAGACGAUGAAGAAGGGAAACGGACUAGAAAAUGAAAGUCCUAGUUGACUUUAGACUCAUCAAAUUGCAAUCUUCUCAAAUUUUGAGUCAUUAGAAAAUAUAAAGAGGGUAAUAUUUUUUUUUUUUUUUUUAAAAAAAAGGUAGAGUGGGCAAUGGGUAUGUGGGAUAAACUGGAAUAGUGGGAAAGGGAAGUUGAUAGGUAUUUUAUAAAUUCUACCAUGCUCAUAAUAUGAAUGGUAUCAGAAAAAGCGACAUUACAUCCAAAAGUUCGUAAUUUUCAUUUUCAGAUACAAUUUGAUACCAAAUUACUAAUGUUGGGCACAUCAGUUGCUACUAAAGUCAACAAAUUUCCUUUGUAUAUACCGUUCCAAAUGUACAAUUUACAGAAAAUCAAUGAAAAUGUAAUAUAAUUACAUGUAUAACUUGUGAUCUGGUAAAAUCGUUCAUACAAUCUAGAAUAUACAGAUGCUUUUUCCAGCAAUGCUGACAAAUUAGCAUUGGCAUGGAGCCCUUAGACAAGCCCGAUUGUGAGCUUCACGGAACCUGAUCAUUUUCUUUCCACAUAUAGCAAGUCCAUCUUUGAUCCUCCACCUUUUUGAUGGGAACAGGUAAUAUGGAAAUACAAUAAAUAAUUAACAUAUAUUUUCCAUGACCUGAUAUUUUGCCGGUUAGAGUGAUCACUGCAGCUUCAGCUUGCUCGCAGUGAAAACAGAUCGUCAAGUUGUCUCUCAAUCUAGAGCGGAGGUGGAUGCAAAUGUUGUGCUGAAUUUUGUGCAUCAGUUAAUUCCUUUCUGAGUAACGCAGCAUAGAGAAGUUCGUUCCAUGAAUCAGGAACACCAGGCAGGCACCAGUGGCUACAGUCUUGCCGAUGGAGAGGAGCUGGUCCGGCCUUGGGCCCUAAAUAAUACAAAGAUGAGUGACCAUCUUUCCUCUGAGACGUCAUUCGUGACACAUUCAGUAGUUCUACAUUCUGCAAUUCAGACUUCUUUAUGAGAUUCACAAACACAUCAGUUGUUGUUCUUACUUCAACUGAUGUUUCAGAUGGCAAUCGUGAUGAAACCAAUUCAGGCAGUGUCUCCAGAUGACAGCUACCACCAGUCUUCCAGUCCCCACCUCUGUUCAUUUGAGUGAUUCGUUAAUUGCUUAUUUUGUGAACAAGGUAAAAAUGAUCACAGAACAGAGAACUACUGGCUAACCCCCUGUCCUGACAUGAGUCUGAAAGGAAUUGAGGUGAAAAGUCUGAGCAGUAAAUCAUCUUAAUUGAUAUCCUAUGUAUAACAAGGAUUUCAAGUAUCUAGCUUGGUACCAUUCAAUGGACCACGCCUGAUACCCGAUCAUAGUAGAAAACCUGAAUGAUACAACUGAGCGACUUCUAUAAAUGGUAAAACACAUUUGGUUAAUCCAGUCUUCGCAACAACAGAACAAAUUAGACAAACCUGAAAUGUACAGGAGCAUAGCUGCGGAAAAAUACGUGUGUCUUCUUUAGAUUGACCUCACGCCUUAUCCAAUCAACCAGUGUCUGAAUUGACCUGUGAAAUGCACUCUGUACGCUCAUAUCCAUCUCAACUUCUGCUCCUUCUUGGAAGUAACAACCCCUGAAGAGUGAAAAUGGUGAAUGUUCAGAUCCAGUAAAGCAGAGAAACCCGACCUUACAGCACUAGGUUUUAAUUGAAACAUCCCUGGUUUAUGUUCUGCAUUAUUACGUGCCAGAAUAUGGAAACUAAUAAUAAAGAUGCUCAAUCCUGUUUUAACACAUUAAGCAGACAUCACUCGAGAAAAAUAUUUACCGAAAAAUAGCACGAAAAGACAACUAAAUGGAACUAUGAUCUAGACAUCCUAUGGGAGUAGUGACUAUUUCGCCACUGCUCUCUUAUCAACUCAUUAUUCAGACCAUGGUACCUAAUCCUAAAAGUUCACCUUAACAUUUUUUUCAGCUAAUCACCCACAAGCCUAAUCAGCAAACAUGGUUUCUGUUAAUUGCUAGCUUGGCAUUGCUAUUAUAGCAGGAGAAUUUAAGGUAAAAGACUUGCAUUGAAUGGCUUUCCUGGAUCCGUCCAUUUAUGAGAGAGAAUUAGCAGCAUGAGUGACAAGAAAAGGUGAUGGUAAGCCAACAACAAGAGAAAUAUAUCUUACAGGUGACUAAUGACCGAUUUAGUUGUUUAGUAGGACAGAUGAACAAGCAACUCGUUCUCACGCAUUUUCCACAACCAGCGGACAUAAAUAUUCCAUCAAUGAAAUAAAUUUCAGAAAAUCUAAAGCCAACUAACAAAGAAGGUUAAAACAAGUUACCCUCUAAUAGUUUUCUCAUAAUUCCACCAGUGCCCACUGUUGAAAACUAGCACAUCUGCAUCUUUCCAGUUGGAAGAGCUCCAAUCCAUUUGAUCUAGUUUUAUAGUCAUCUUGACGUUUACUGGAGCUCCAGCAGGUGCACGACCCUGCACUACUAGAAAGGGAGCUCUAUAGUACUCAAUAGAACAGUUGAAAUCCCCGAACUUAAAGCUUAGGGAACCUGAGUGCUUUGUGAUUGAAUUCCCAUUAACUUCAUAUAUUGAGGUCUUAUCGGAGACUGCAGAAGACAACAUACAAAGAAGGGAUUCCCACUGGUUUCUUCCAAUUGAGUCCCCAACAAAUGCAAGGCGUCUGUUCCUCAAAUUUUCCAACAUCCUUUUUGCAUCAAACCUGUUUCCCAGUGGUGGUGACAAAAUUUAGUGAAAAAAAUCUUUAUCUUACCCUUUCCUAGGAACUCAUGUUUCCAACAUUAAUCAGUCAGUUCGACGACAUCAAUAAGAAAUGAGCCUCAAAGAAUGAGAUUGCUAGUUUCACAUAUAUUCACUUGGCGGAAGGGAUGAUGCUUAAGAACAUAAAGAUUAACUGGUUUUAAGAUAAUACCAUUGUCCAAAACCAGAACUUCUGGUAAUUUGGAACUUAAUGAAACGCAGUUAAAUCAUUUUGUCUCAUAGAGCUAGAGUCUCAUCUGUAAUGAAGAUGCUGUGCGUGGGAAUCAUGUACUUCUCUUAUGUACACCAAAUCCUCUGGCCUCUGCCCACUUAGUUGUCAAUAUGUAAUAUUUGAUUAUCUGAAGCCACAGUAUUGAAAUUAAGAUUGAAACUUGAGACGAUUAAAGCACCUUUGUCAUCAGUUGAUCACAAGAUACAAGACGUGCCAAAAAAGGACUGGCACUACAACAGGGCAUGACCUUUCCCAGAUUACCACUCCAAACGGGGGUAGUAACCAUUGUAGGUAGUAAACUAAAGAUUGCCUGAAGUCCUAUUAAAACCAGUGUCAAUAAAAAAAUUUAUGAUACUGAACAUUGAGGAACCUAGAAUGGUUAUUUGCAAAAACAUGUGUGCUGGUAACUUGAAAACUCCCAACAAUAACAAUUUUCUUGCCUAAUUGGCUAGCCAUCUCCCAGUUUUCACCAUUUUGCAAAUCUUUUAGUAUAUUCUUAGCAAUCAAAAGCAAAAUGCAAAAUGCAAAAUACAAGGGAGAAAUGUCGGAAAAGAAAGAUCAAAAAGAAAACCUGGGCAAGUAGCAAUCUUUGGGCUGCCAUCGCCACUUAGUAUAGAAUUUAUCAGGCCUGCCAUUCUCAGAGCACCGAAAUCCGGGAUCCAAAAACUUACAAUCUUCUGAUUGAUAGAGAGGAUAACUCUCGUCCCACAUCCAAUUACCAUCGAAGAUAUCACAUCCACUACCUCCAGCUUCGAGGAAAUUCACUUUCCCAUUUCCUAAAUCCCCGGGUUCUGCUGACGAUGAAGAAAAGGAACUAUUGAGACCAAACCAAGUGCGAAGUAAACUGUGGCCAUGCAAGCCGAAACCCCUGUUGGCCGUUCUGUAAUCCAGUAAAAGAAUACAAAAAAUCAAACAAAAGCUGAAGAAUAAACAGCCAAAAGCACCAGGAGAAGUGAGCUCAAGAGCGGGGGGCUUCAAGCGCCUGAAUUUCUUGAAGAAAUCCAAGGGGGACGUUUUGGGGAAGCCUUCAGGUCCCGGUGCUUCCGCUCCUUUACACAUUUAGUAGCAAGUAGUACUCGAAUUGGAAGAGGGAGGUUGUGGGUUUCUCUUUUUGCAGUGCAGUACUACUUCUGCUCCAGAGCAGGCAAAAAGAUGUCUGGGAUUGCGGCAGUGAGUUUUGUUCAGUUCAGGAAAGUGCAGGGUAAAUGCAGUCUCUCAAAAGACGAGAUGAAGAUGAUGAAAACAACACACGACAUAAAACAACAGUAGCAGUAGUAUUCUUUCCAAAACUAAAGAGAGAAAUAGAAAAUUUCGAAAAAACAUAAAGCAGUGUGGAAACAAAAGAAGAGGACUAGGAUCGAACGUGGGCCCUUGGUAGUGGAGAUACGUUCAUAUAUGAGUCGAAAGUCAUAAAACGGUACAGAAGAAAAGGUCGUGGGCCUAUAGAGAGAGAAGACAGAUUGGGAAGAUGAUGAUAGGAGGUGGGGUCCCGAACCUUGACAAGCAUUUACACACAAGCAUGCAGUUUCUGCACCGGCAAAUUUGUUCUUUUCUUUUGUUUUUUUAAAUUUGUUCAAUUUCUUUCUUAUGAUCAGUUUCUCGUUUACUGGCAACUAGUGGGAAUACCCGUUCAUAUGACAUUAUUGGAAAAAAAAUAAAAUGGUGAAUAAAUAAAGGUGAAAAAAUUUUACCAAUAAAAUUAAAAUAUAACAUCUGUUUAACAAUAGUUUGAAAUAUAAUAGAAUGUACAUAUCAUUCAAGAACCGUCUUUUUUCGGUUGUAUGAGAAUUUUUUUAUCAUUGUAUGAGAAUUGUUAACAAAAAAAUACAAUAGUUAAUAUAGAAUAACAUCAAUAGAAUUUAAUACAAUUGUGUUGUAAUCAAAUGAAAAAUACGCACCAAUUGAAUUGUUAUUAGUACCCAUAGUUAAUGAAGUAAUUCUUAUACAAAUAUAUUUUGGUACAUGUAGUAAUUGGUAAUCUACAAAAUAAAAUAAAUUGCUAAGUUGUCUAUAAAUAGCAUCAAUAGAAUGUAAUACAAUUGGAUUGUAAUCGAACAAUUGUAAUACAAUUGUAUUGUAUUGUAUCUAUAGUUGAUUUAGCAAGAUAGUGCAGCCAAAAAGUGUGUAUGUAAGAUGAGUAUGACGAUAUAAGAAACUGUAUAUUUACCAUGAUCACGCAAAAUCAUUGGUGAUGUGGAUGCCUGGCGAUCUUGAGGACAGUUAGAUUUUUCAUUUCUUUGAUCUAGAAAUAAAAUAUAUAUUAAAUUAAAAAUCAAUAGUUUAUGUAUUUAUUUUAUGUGUAAAUAGUGAUACAUUGUAUGAAAACUGUUAACCAAAAAAAUACAAUAAUUAAUAUAGAAAUAGCAUCAAUAGAAUUUAAUAGAAUUGCAUUGUAAUCAAAUGAAAAUGAUUACAGAGAAGUGGUUACCUGAACUAAGGAAUCCAGUUUUAAAUGCUCAAAAGUGUCUUGACGAUUACACAUAUGUCAGGGGCUUGGUGAGUUUUUUGCUCCUCUUGAAUCAAUUUCUUUUUUCUAAUUGUAAUAUAUUACUUGCAGGUGUUAAGUAGGACUUGACUCUAACCUUUCGUUUAAGUACUUUAAGCAAUGAACUAUUUAUUCCAUGAGUUGAAUUGUGCUGUUGCUAGAUAGAUGAAUCACGUAGUUGUAAUUGUCAUUGUUGAUAAAGAAAAGAAAGGCUAGAAUGCAAUUUUGCCAAAAGGAUUUCUGACGAAAUUAAAAAUUAAUCCAAUUUUAAUAAUGGGCGUAUAGUGCUUUAGUUAUUAGUAGUAUCUGAAUUGUUUUUCUCCAAUUAUAAACCAUUUUUAAUUAUUUUUUUUAAUUAUCAAUAAAUCUUUUUUUAUUUCAUGCACGAUCAUUUUUGGAAUAAAAUUAUGAAAAUAAUUAUCGUAACACCUAUUUUAUGUGAUAAAUGUGCAAUAAAAAAUAAUUAAAAAAAUUUCAGUAAUACAAACAAAUAAAUUUUUAUAAUAUACAAUUUAUGUUAGAAAUAGUAGAACCCUCAAUCAUUAACCUAUACCAUCCGCAAUUAUAUAAGCAAGCAAUACCUUUUUAUCUUUGCUUUACAGUGUAACAAUAAGCAAACAACCGUUCAUAAGAUUUUGUAAAAAAUUUUCAGAAAUAAUGGAUGAUCAGAAAAUCAAUGCAAUAUCAUUCAUGACAAAAAGCAAAGCAAAAGCAAAACAUACUUAAAAGGUAGAGGGGACUGACCUGAAAAUUAAGCCGGCCGCAAAAAGGUUGAUUUCUGUUGGAGUCUCUGCGCAUAAUAUCUUCCACUACUGCUCACAAAAGAAACAAAAUCAAUACAUUUACAAAAUCAAUAGAGAACCCAAAACAAAUAAGAAACUGAGAGAGAGGGUGAGAGAAUUAAUUCGAUAAGUUAAUUAAGUCGAUCAGUAAAAGGGUUGGAAAAAAAUUAUAGACAUAUUAUAUUAUUGGAAAUAAUCGAAAAUAAAAAAAUUACAAUAUGGGGAAUAAUAUUUAAAGAAAACACAGUACCGGAAUUUUUGAAUUUUGAUGCGAACGACGUUUUAAUCAGUGUAGCCUGGAUUUUGUCCUUCGGAUUUGAUUUGAGAUUUUUCUUUCGUCAGCGCAAACUUAUUGAAACUUUUUCAAUUGGUGUGUGGAAUCGUUACGGUGUAUGUUUCGUUUUCUAAGCAGAUAUUUCCUCCUUUGCAAUCUUGCGAGUUUGAAAUCUAGUUGUUGUUGAAAUGCUUGUAGGCGGACAUAUUCUAUGGUGAGGAAACUUUAGAUGGGUUCCCUACAAAUUUUGAGUGAAAUUUUUUAAUAUAUUAAAUAAUAGGACAACUUGAAUUUGGGACAGCAGAUAAGUGGGGCAAAGGUGAAAAAACACAAUAAUACUAAUCAAUAGCUAAAUGAGCAGGGUCACUUACUGAAAGGUAGUCACCGCCGGCUUCGUGAUGUCUGCCGAAGGUUCAAGAAAAGAAGUAUGAUGCGUACUAAGAAGAGCACCGGAGUUCUGGUACCAGGAUGGGAUAGCUUUCAGGUAUUUUCCUGUGUUAUGUGAAGACGCAAUUUUGAAUUAAAAAAAAAUGGGUCAUUAAGAGAUAGUUGGAGUGGACUGUUAAUUGGAGUGGGAAACGUGGAAAAAUUUGUAUGAGUGAUUGUAUGAUAAUUUAAGAUAGUGGGAUAGUGGGAGUGAGAUAGUGGAAAUAUUGAUUGGUGAUAAGGUGGGUUAUAACCCACUACUUUUUUAUCUAUUAAAAUAAAUACAAAAAUCUAGAAAAAAGUAUGACAAGUUUAGAAGACAUUGAGAGGGUUUCUGCUAAAAACCCCUUCCUGAAUACAUAUAGAUAUAGAUUGGCAAACGAGGAAAAAGAAGUCCUUUCUAGCUUUUAUUCAUCUGGCAGAGCUGGUUCCUUUCUCUUUUCUCCUGUUCUGAGGUUUACAGCCGCUAAAUCUUUCAGGUUCUCACACCUUUUUUUUUUGGUCUUCUUCUUUGGCUAGCAACGAGUUACAUGGGUUUGUAUAGAGAGUAUUAUUUGAUAUAAUUAUUAUAAUUUUUUUAUGAUGUGAUAUAUGCGUAAAUAAAAAUAUAAUUGGGAAUUUAAAAAAAUAAAUUAAAAAAUAUAUUUACAAUGCAAGCGAUAGCUCAAUUUUGUCAUAUUUGGUUUGCAUGUAAACAUAUUUUUCAAUUCACCUUUUUAUCUCACAUACGUUAUUUUUUGUGUUACAUACUUAUUUCAAAUAAUAUUUUAAAUAAUACUCUAUCCAGCAAAAUUAAGUACACCCACAUGUUAUCAAAAGAAGAUGAAAAAGGUAGCGUGCAUCUAUCAUCUCUUUAUUGCUGACUUAUCACAGAGAAACUGUGCCCCAAAAUAGAGAGAUAAUCACUAGUGGGAGAGUGAUAAAUGAUAAUGGCACGUUCUAUUAAUUAAUGCGUGUGAUAUAAUUGAGAGUGUGUAUUUAUCAUAGAUUAUUUGGGAUAAUGUUUUGAAAAAUAUAAUGUGAGAUAAAAUGGUGGUUAAAAAAUUGUAUUGAUGAUUUAAACAAAUAAAAUUAUCCAAAUAAUUUAGAAUUCAAACAAAAAUUAUGUAUAGUUAAUAACCAGUUACUACAACCAUGAUGGAUAGUAUUAAAUGAUUCAUAAUUGAACAAACAAAACAAGAUUUGGAUAACUAGGCCAUAUUCGGUGACCAAAUGAUAACUAUAGAUUAAACAUUUGUUCACUUAAAUACGUGACGGAAUUUUUGUUUAUCAUUAUUAUUAUUAUGAAUAUCAUGGGCGAGUAUUUGCACCGAAUUGAAUUAACUUGAAAGUUGAGUGCAACAGAGUCACGGUCUUAAUAAUAUCCUUGAUUUAGGAAAAGUUUUAAUCACAUAAAUGUUUCAUACGUAUGGAAUCAACUUUUGAUUUUAUCGUCCAAAUGCAAUUGGUUAAAAACUUAUAAAAAUGCAAACACAAAACAGUGGUUAAUUGAGCGCACGAACGAUGGAUGCGGACGCAGAUGGAGACGAUGAUAAGGCGGCCAAAAAUGAACAAGAGUGGACAAAAGGUGCUGUGCGUACGGAAGAAAGGGCGGGAAUCAAGGGAACGUGAAGAGACGAGCGGAGUUGUGGUGGCUAAGGCGGCUAGAGCUGUAAACGAAUCGAAUUGCUUAUGAGCGAGUCGAGUUAAAGUUCGUCUCGAGUUCGAACUGAUCAAAUCGAAUUCGGACUCGAAUUCGAGUUUAAAAUAUUAAAUUCGUUAGUUCGGGGAAUUUAAAUAUAUAUUUAUUUAUUUUAAUAGUAAAAUUACAUAUAUAUUUUUAAUAUUUUAUUAUUUAUUAAAAAAAUUAAAUAUUUGUUGUUUUUAUUAGAUUAAUUUCCAGAAAAGUGAGGCUCACGAAUCAAAAAUUCGAGUUACAUUACGAGUUGACAAUUCGAGCUGCUCGCGAGUCAGAAAUCGAGCUACAGCUUGCGAGCCUUGUCGACUCGAGCUCGAGUCUGGCUUUUCUUUGGUCGAGUCGAGCUCGAGCUCAAUUUUCUUGGCUCGUCCAGUUCGAGUUCGAAUUCGAGUCUAUCUGUUAUUAAGUCAAGCUCGACUCGAUAAAUCCAAAACUAGAUUCGAUUCGAUUCGAUUCGUUUGCAACCCUAGCACGGACAAUGCUUCUUGACAGGUAAUGCUCUGCGACUAUUACAAACUAGUGCAAAUUAAAAACUAUUUCUCAUGACAUUCUGGCAUUCUCACUCUUGUGUUUGGACGGCGGACCAAGACCAUGUCCCUCGUAAAAUUAAAUUGAUAAAAUUUAUUUCUAACUUAAGUUUUUGAUCACUUUUUUGUGAAUUCACCAUGUGACUCACAUAUGAUCAUUUUUUAGGAGUAAAAAUGCUAGAUCUAAUUUGUAAGUAAAUAAACUGCUCAAUUUAUAUUCAUUUUUGUCUUUUAAAAAAAAUGAAUUACAGCGGCACUCCUAUCUUAUGCACUUUCAGAGUCCAAAUUACUGCGACAGUUAUCAUCUAAACAUACAUCACAAAUUACUACACUUUGUUAAGUAGUGGUAAUAAAUUUGACUUUUUGCAAGUAACUAAAGUGAAGAAAACUUGCUAGUCAUUACUAUGUAAUAUUACCGACAAAUAAACCACCGUUUUGUUAUUAUUCUCACAAACCGAUAAAUUUAUAUUUUUGAUGGUAUUAUUGUCAUAGCAGUUAUAGUAGGCAACGACCGUUUGCCGACCAAUUAAUUUGAAAAGAUAAAUUAAUAGUACUCGAAAGGACCUUGUAAUAUCUAGAAUUUAUAUCAGGAGACAAGACAGCAAACCUCACCUUCACGAUCCACGUAUUAAUAAAAAAUAAAAUAGUCAUAUUGAGACGAAAAUGGGAUGGUCAACUUAGAUUUAGUAUGUAAUUUAUCCGCAAUGGAUCUUUUGUCCUACACUUUGUACCAUUCUUUGUCUCAUUUUUUAUUAUAUUGCUAUUUUUUCUACAUAAAUACCAUAUUUUAAUUCUUUUUUUUGUUUCCUUAAGAUCCAAUAACUAUUAACUGAAUAAAAAAUCAAUACAACAGCUUCAAAAAAGUAAUAUAUAAUAGAAAAUUAAAAAAUACAGCAAAAAAUUCAUAAAAAAAUCUCAUUUUUUAUGCAUUUUGAUUUUUUGAGUUUGUUAAAUUUUGUAUAUUACUCAGUUAAUAAUUAUUGGAUCUUAAGAAAACAAAAAAGAACUAAAAUAUGAUGUUUAUAUAAGAGAAAUAGCAAUAUAAUAAAAAAUGGGACAAAAAAUGACAUAAAAUGUGGGACAGAAGAUUCGUUACGUAAUUUAUCGCGUGAAAGCUCAGUCAUACACCUCAGAAAGAAAGUCAAAAGGAUCAUAUGGUUAGACUGACAGAGGAACAAAAUUAUUGAGGCCAUGCGGAGUUCAUCAAUAGUAAUCCGCAAAUUGCUUAUCCUCAGUUGUUGCCAUCAAUCAAAUCGUUAGUUAAGUCGAUACCCCACGUUAAAUGAGAAUCUUAGUUGCUAACUAAGAUUGAAGCAGUUUUGGACAGAAAUCUUUUUGCUUAUCAGCUGACAAUCUUUCAAAGAAAAAGAGGAGUAGUACUACUCAUCAAUCCAAUCCAGUGGUAGAUUUUUACAGGUAGAGAAGCAUCAGAAGAAGUGAUCACACUUGCAGGGUUCACAAAAAGUAGUAACAGAAUGUCAUACAUACUGCAAUGCCACCUAAAAUAAAAAUUCUAUCCAACCUGCUUUCAUUUCUCAUCUUUUCCUCUUUUAGUUCACUCUGCACCUUCGAGUACAGAAGACAAGACUCGAGGGCCUCGCUAUAAUUUUUGCUCCUCCUGCAGCUCAGUGCUUCUUUUAGGACAAGCAAACUGUUUCUGCCAUUUACAUGAGCACCUUCCAUAUCUUCCAGUUGCAUGCUCAGUUCUGUCAACUUGAGAGUUGUCUGGACUCCAAUCCCCUCCGUAUGGAUCACCCUAAACCUCAUUAAAAGGAUGCAUUCGACUGCAGGACAUGGAAGAAUGUCCUUGGCAGGAAGAACGGAUCCAAAUCUUAUCAAAAAAUCCUUGUCAGUUGGCCAAUGUCUCUGCCCUCCGAGAGAGCUCCAGCUUGAGAGAUUAGCAGCCUGCUUAAUUUUGCUGUUCACAAGAAUCCAACUUAAGCGGAUUCCAUCGUGGAGAUCUUGCCAAAGCUUCCCGUCUUUCCUUUCUUUUUCCAUUGAUGUGAUCGGAGGCAAUCCGUCUGAAACAGAGAGCUUUACUUCACCAGCAUGGUCAUCAUCCCUGGCAGAGUUGGUGAGCAGAUCAAUCCGGAAAGGACAAUUGAAAAACCAACCAUUCAAGCCGUUAGCAUUUGGGAUGCCCCAAAGGACUUUCGAGCAGAUGGUUUGGUCCUUGUACCUUAUAUCCACUAUAGAAACAAAAUCUGAUGGUGAGAAAGUUUCCAGUUCAUCCAUAUCAUCAUAGUAAUCAGCUUCAUUCCAUUCUUCAGGAUGGUGAAGAUAGUCAUUAAACCGAAACUCGGGAACUUCCUUGUUCACUAUAAGAGGGAAACAAUCAGCAUAGAACUUUUUAAAUCCACCAAUAGAUGAUAUCAGACUUCUGACAUCAUCCCUGCUUGUUGAGGGCCACAUGGAAGAGCAAACAUUUUCCCAUAAUCUCUCUUCCUUUGAGAUGGAGGAAAAUGCUGCGCAAGCACAUGCUGCACCAGCCAAUGUUGCACCAUCAAGACGCCUCAGUAUGUCAUAGAAUAAAUCGCUACUCAGCGAUGCCAUAUGUUCAAUUGUUGCAAGAGAUUUUAAGUAGUUCUACAUCUGGAAACAUAAGAACAAUGAGAUGCCCAGAGACAUAAGACCACUUUGAACAUGAUAUCUGCAAUCAAAUCGCAUAAGGAAAAUAAACGUGCAUAAAAAUAAAAAAGCCCGCUUCCAUACUCAUUAAUUACUUUGCCACUCGAAUCCAAGAUAAAGGCAGAUUGUAGUAUCUAUGGCGGAAUGUAAAGCUAAACUCCAUAAAACAUGUUAAUAUUACUAAUUCAGGGAUCAGAAAUGAGAGCAUAUUAAUUUUAGUCUCGAUAUUAUCUUCUGAAAUUAUAAGUUCUUACUCUCAAAGCCUUGAUGUCCUUGUGUAGCAUACCGGAGAGCAAACUAGUAAAACGAAUGAAAUAAUCCUUCAAUGGGUAAGUAAGUAGCGCAGAGAUAAAUUGUGCGAUACACCAAGUAAAUGUAAUCACCUAACAUUCCUUGUCCUGAAGCAGCGAGGAUCCGUUCCCCAUCUUCAGUUUCUUUUCUUUUGUGUUCUGGGCUUAUCUUUAGCUUUAAAGUAAUGCUCUUAGCAGUGUUCAUUUGGGGUAUAUUGAACCACACAGGAGUGAAGUAGUGUACAAUUGUUCUAUUACUAUAAUAAUUCUGGAAAUGGACGAAGUUUUCGAAUCUAGCUCGUGAAUUUACAGUUGCCCUGUAUCUUCUUUAAAAUGACUGGAAACAACUUGCAGCCUUAGCUAUGAUAUAGUUACAACUUCCAACCAAGCACGCAGCUGUACCAUACCGUGUCCUCUGAGAUUAAUGUCUCUUUUUUUUUUUUUUUUUAAAAAAAAAAAACUCUCGAUUGACCAAUCCAAAAGAAAUAGAAUCAGAAAAUGAAAACGGAUGAUGAAAUUAAAGAAUAAGACAUUAAAGGGAACAAGGAUGAAGGAAAGAUUUAGAAAACCAGAUAUUACCGGAAUGUAGAAUCUAAGGAACUGAAAACUAUGCCUAUCACAUAACAGGCGGAAUAGGACGACAAACUAAUAAUACUUCAUCAGGAUCAUGUGAAGUAGACACAAAAUAGUGCUUCAAAAUCAAGAAAAUAGUCCUUGAGAGGACAUCAAGUUAUAAAAAGCAAAAAAAAAAAAAAAAAGUGCUUCAAAAUCAAGAAAAUAAAAAUCAAUUAAAGAGAAAGAGAAAGCACCUCAGACCGCCGGAGGAGGAGGAGGAGGAGGAGGGCAACAGCAGAUUGAUGCGUCACUUGUACUAAGGAAACUAGCGCUCAGACAGUACAAUGAAUUGGGUUGGAAAACGCAAUAAUGAUGAUUGAAAAAAAAAGAAUAAAAAUGACCCAGUACCAGUAGUAGGGAACUGUAAAAGAUUUCGAUGGGAACGGUAUGGAAGAAGAGAUCUUUUUUGGGUAAGGUAAGAAGAAGAAGGUGAUGAAGAGUAGUGACAGUGAGCUCUGAUAGCUAGUAGUAGUAUUUACUAGUAAUAUGACUGGGGAGGAGUUGGAGGCACAGCCAUUAUUACUAUGACUGGGGACAAGCUGUUGCCUUGUUGGAGUAGGAGACGCAGACGCUUCUUUCCUUUCUUCCAGCCAGCAAAGAUGAGGAGAUGUGGAUUACUAUUCGAUUAGGUCAUCGGCUUGAUUAAAUGUGUAAUUAGUGUCUGGACGCGUAGUAGGGGGCCCGUCAAUAACAACGUGCAUUAAGUGGACCAAUGACGAUCUUCGCGAAUCGCAAGCCAGGACCGGGACCCCCUUCCUCGCUCCCCAUUGCCUCCGGAACAGGGAAGUACAUGUGUUUGAAAAAAUUUAUUUCACUUAAAUCGUAAAUAUAUUUUUAAUUAUUUUUUAUUUCAUAUAUAUCAUAUCACAAAAUAAAAAGUACUUUAAUAUUAUAAUAAAUAACAUUUUUCAAAUAAUAAGUAGUAUUAUUAUUGUCAUUUGCUUUCCUCAUCUAAUUAUUUUUCUUUUUAGAAUUUGUUGAACAAAAUGGGAUUCAUGUAGUUUCUCUCGAUUACCUUGAAUUAUUUCGCCUAAUUCUUGAAAUUGUUUUUUUUUAAAUGUAUUAUUAUCUAUAUCUAUAUGUAUUCAGGAAGGGAUUUUUAGCAGAAACCCUCUCAAUGCCUUUUAAACUUGUCAUACUUUUUUCUAGAUUUUUGUAUUUAUUUUAAUAUAUAAAAAAGUAGUGGGUUAUAACCCACCUUAUCACCAAUCAAUAUUCACACUAUCCCACUAUCACCUUAUCACCAAUCAAUAUCCCCACUAUCUUUCUUCCACUAUCCCACUAUCUUAAUUCAUAUUUUUGUAUUUAUUUUAAUACAUAAAAAAGUAAUGGAUUAUAACCCACCUUAUCACCAAUCAAUAUUCCCACUAUCCCACUAUCACCUUAUCACCCAUCAAUAUUCCCACUAUGUCACUCCCACUAUUCCACUAUCUUAACUCAUCCUACAAUUACUCCUACAAAUUCUUCUUUUACUGAUCGACUUAAUUAACUUAUCGAGUUAAUUCCCUCACCCUCUCUCUCAGUUUCUUAUUUGUUUUGGGUUCUCUAUUGAUUUUGUAAAUGUAUUUAUUUUGUUUCUUUUGUGAGUAGUAGUGGAAGAUAUUAUGUGCAGAGACUCCAGCAGAAAUCAACCUUUUUGCGGCCGGCUUAAUUUUUCAGGUCAGUCCCCUCUGCCUUUUAAGUAUGUUUUGCUUUUGCUUUGUUUUUUGUCAUGAAUGAUAUUGCAUUGAUUUUCUGAUCAUCCAUUAUUUCUGAAAAUUUUUUACAAAAUCUUAUGAACGGUUGUUUGCUUAUUGUUACACUGUAAAGCAAAGAUAAAAAGGUAUUGUUUGCUUAUAUAAUUGCGGAUGGUAUAGGUUCAUGAUUGAGGGUUCUACUAUUUCUAAUAUAAAUUGUAUAUUAUAAACAUUUAUUUGUUUGUAUUACUGAAAUUUUUUUAAUUAUUUUUUAUUGCAUAUUUAUCACAUAAAAUAGGUGUUACGAUAGUUAUUUUCAUAAUUUUAUUCCAAAAAUGAUCGUGCAUGAAAUAAAAAAAGAUUUUUUGAUAAUUAAAAAAAAUAAUUAAAAAUGAUUUAUAAUUGGAGAAAAACAAUUCAGAUACUACUAAUAACUAAAGCACUAUACACCCAUUAUUAAAAUUGGAUUAAUUUUUAAUUUCGUCAGAAAUCCUUUUGGCAAAAUUGCAUUCUAGCCUUUCUUUUCUUUAUCAACAAUGACAAUUACAACUACGUGAUUCAUCUAUCUAGCAACAACACGAUUCAACUCAUGGAAUAAAUAGUUCAUUGCUUAAAGUACUUAAACGAAAGGUUAGAGCCAAGUCCUACUUAACACCUGCAAGUAAUAUAUUACAAUUAGAAAAAAGAAAAUGAUUCAAGAGGAGCAAAAAACUCACCAAGCGCCUGACAUAUGUGCAAUCGUCAAUGCAUUUUUGAGCAUUUAAAACUGCAUUCCUUAGUUCUGGUAACCACCUCUCUGUAAUUGUUUUCAUUUGAUUACAAUGCAAUUCUAUUAAAUUCUAUUGAUGCUAUUUCUAUAUUAAUUAUUUUAUUUUUUUGGUUAACAGUUCUCAUACAAUGUAUCACUAUUUACACAUAAAAUAAAUACAUAAACUAUUGAUUUUUAAUUUAAUAUAUAUUUUAUUUCUAGAUCAAAGAAAUGAAAAAUCUAACUGUCCUCGAGAUCGUCAGGCAUCUACAUCACCAAUGAUUUUGUGUGAUCAUGGUAAAUAUACAGUUUCUUAUAUCGUCAUACUCAUCUUACAUACACACUUUUUGACUGCACUAUCUUGCUAAAUCAACUAUAGAUACAAUACAAUACAAUUGUAUUACAAUUGUUCGAUUACAAUACAAUUGUAUUACAUUCUAUUGAUGCUAUUUAUAGACAACUUAGCAAUUUUAUAGAUUAGCAAUUUAUUUUAUUUUAUAGAUUACCAAUUACUACAUAUACCAAAAUAUUUUUAUAUAGGGAUUACUUCAUUAACUAUGGGUGCUAAUAACAAUUCAGUUGGUGCGUAUUUUUCAUUUGAUUACAACACAAUUGUAUUAAAUUCUAUUGAUGCUAUUCUAUAUUAACUAUUAUAUUUUUUUGUUAACAAUUCUCAUACAAUGAUAAAAAAAUUCUCAUACAACCGAAAAAAGAUGGUUCUUGAAUGAUAUAUACAUUCUAUUAUAUUUCAAACUAUUGUUAAACAGAUAUUAUAUUUUAAUUUUGUUGGUAAAAUUUUUUCACCUUUAUUUGUUCACCAUUUUAUUUUUUUUCAAUAAUGUCAGCACCGUGCAUAGCACGGGUAUUCCCACUAGUAGUAUUGUAAGUUAGGAGCCUAGCUUAACUAUAACUUGUAAGUUAUAAUUAAAAACAGUCAAAUCCAAACAAAGCCUAGCUUAAUUAUAACUUGCGAGUUAGAAGUUUGAACUGGACUCUCAAACACACUUUAUUCGCUCUUGGUAAAGUGGAGCUUUUGCUUGUGAUGGUUAGCUUCCAUAAUGCGUAAAGACCCAAAAGUUUAAAUUUAAAGAAAAAGAACAAUGCAACCCUCAAUACUCGCAAUACAUACAUAAAUAGUUUAUUGGGAAAAUCAUUUAAAAUGUCCCAUAUGUCUCGCCAAAUGAAUUUUUUCGUCCUUUAAUUUUAAAAUUUUAACUUUACGUCUCUUACAAAUUAAAGUUAAUAGAUUUUAGUUGAAUUUUCGGUCAUUUUUAGUUUGAAAAUCACCAUGUGAUCUAGAUGUGAUCAAUUUUUAUACAUAGAAAGAAAAGGUUAAAAUCUUGAUUUUUUAGGAGCAAAAAAUGGAUACGGAUCGAGUCAUAUCUCAUUUUUUCUAAGAAAAAAAUUAAAUAUGAAUCAGAUCAAAUUUUAAUUUUUUUAGAGACAAAACUAAAUAUGAAUCGGAUAAUUUGUUUCACUACAAAUGAGAUCUAACGUUUUUGCCAAAAAAAAAAAAAAUCAUGUAUACAUCAUGUGAUGGAUUUAAGGUAAAAAGAGUGAUUGAAAACUUUGGUUAGGAUCAUUUUGCUAAUUUGAUUUUGUAAGGUACGUAAAGUUACGAUUUUAAAAAUGAUGCACUAAGAAAUUCAUUGAACAAAGUGUAAGGAAUCUUUUGAACGAUUUUCCGUAGUUUCUAGCUCUUAUCUUACUUUCAGUUUUCUAUUUCAAAUGACAAUUUUCUACACGACUUGUGUUCCUUAUCUUUUCGUUUUUAAAGAGAGAAGACAAUGGCAAUGCUCCAUCUCACGUCGAACGAACAUUCUUUCUAUUUAGGAGGAAAUAUCAAGGGCAUUUUGGUUGGAUAUGCAUUCAACCGCACACUACAUUUUGGCCGACGGUCUGACACAACAAAAAUCUAUAAUUAUUUGGUUCCGGAACUGCAGCAUGAUUUGUUUGCAAGGCAUUGGUCUAUCUAUCACUUUUACCUUUGCAUUUGUUUGAUAUAUGAGCUGUCGGAUAUAAAUGUCUUUUUAUGUAAUUAUAUAUAUAUAUAUAAUGGGAAUAGCUUGGAAGGGAAGUUUACUACUCCAUAUUAUUAUUUUGUCUUGGGUUUCAUGUGAAUUUCAACUGGAAUUCACAUGAUCAAUGAUGGGGAUCCAGCAUUCAACCACCCUUGUUCCUGAAGCAUCCUCCCUAACUCUUCUAGUUCAUGGAGUACACCAAUUGCAUGAGCAUGCCGGAAAAGAGAGGAGGUUUAGGUGACCUAAAUUGCAUGAGCAUGCCGGAAAAGGAACCGGCAACCGAUUUUUCCAAAAUUGGCAUUUGAUGCUCUCCACCCGCCGUCCGUCAACCAUGCAGCACUUAAUAAUAUUUAGAUGCGGGCAUUAAUAUUCUCGAGUCUAAGAAUGAACCCGCCGUAGUGAUGACUCUUCUUGGGUCGUUAGCAAACCAGUAAACUGAAACAAGGUUUGUCUCAUCUAUUACCCUCCCAUCGAUAAAUUCAUACAAAAAUUUGGAGCAUUCGAAAACAGAUGGCUAUGAUCUCAAGCAAAUUCCUUCUUUGCUUGCCAUAUUCAAAGCAUAGGAAAUUCCUUCUUUGCUGUUAUAUUCUGUCUAAGCAUAAAUUGGGGAACCCAGCUACUGCGCAAGUGGUUGCGAUGCGGUGUUUGAUUUCUAUGACUGUUAAGUAAAUCCUUAGCGGUGGUGUCUAUCCCUUAGUUGUCCCGUCGCUGUUUGUCCAAUUAUCGCAAUUAAGAUGAACACUCCAAACACUGCUAGUAGCAGUACUAUUUAUUACUAAUCAAUUCACCCCCUAUUUCCAUCAUCAACCUUUGUUUUAUCUGCAAACACUGGAAAUCAAUCCAAAAGGCAUUUAUUGCUUUGCAUCCUCCUAAUUUUGCUACCUGAACGAGGCUACUCUGAUAACAUCUUACAUACCACAGUCCGUCCAUAUAUAUAAAAUCCCCAAAAAAUAUAAAAAUCAACAAAGUCGACUAAUAAAUAAUUAAACCUAAAAACAAGUAUGCACAGGAUCCACUUAAUCGAGAAACACAAACAGAAGAUUGCCAACACAAAGAAAUUCAAAUUCUAUGAAUUAAUCAGUGAGGCAAUCCAUAACAGCUGAUGAUGCAUCCAAAAUAUUAGACUUGCCAGUAAGUAUUAAUGGAAAUUCUGCGGUGGUACUCGUUAUCUCAUCUCUCCUGCAACAGAGAAGGCUAUGACCUUUUUUUUCUCUUUUUUCUUUUUUUUUUGGACUAAUACUACCAUAGAACCGGUAGCAGUAACAUUCAUAAGCAGAUUAGAGCGGAAAAUUGAGUUACACGUUGAACAACAAGUAUGUGGAGAAGUAAUCACUUGUCGGCGUCGGAUGCAUGAGGCUCGUCGCGGGCCUCGUCCGUUUUCUCAGCACUGUCGCUGACGUCAUCAGGGUCACGAGCGGGAUCAGACUUGUCCAUGGCCGCUCGAGCUCUCUGGAGCCAGGGUUUGAAAGCGAGCUCUAUGGUCAGCCACCCCAUGGCAAGGGCUCCCAACACCACCGCCGCCGACUUUGCUGGGUUUAAGUUCAACUUCGCCAUUGAUUAAGUUGCUUCCCUGCGCCGACUAGAUAUGAUAGAUACACGCUAACCACUUGUCUUACUAUUAUAGCUUGUGGAAUCUCUGUCUCGCUAUUCUGGGUUUUGGGCUACGCCGACUUGCAUCCGAGUAUAUAGACACAUUGAUGCCCCUUUCGAGGGGAUGGCGCUAACCAAUUGGCAAAUUCCUACAUACGGCUCCUACUUGGGCCCAAAAGCAAUUUGGCUCCUACUUAGCCAAUCUCUCUCUCUCUCUCUACCCCAAAAAAAAAACAAAAACUUAAAAUCUUUUUUCGUCACGAAUUCUCGCUCACGGGAGAAAAAGCGCCAUACCACAAUGAUGGCCAUGGACUUUGCGUGGGGAUUGUUGGAUUUUUCUUUUUUUUUUUCCUUCUUAAAUAUAUAAGGGGAUUGUUGGAAUCUUUUGGGCAUGCAGGAAAACGGGUCGUCAAUUUCUAGUGGUGUCUAAUCUAAUGGACUGGUACCGCUCGCUUAGAAAAACCUUGAGCAUGGAUCAUGGUAGAACAAUCUUUUCUUAAUACACGAGAUGGCUAUCCACAUUUUCACUCUUCUUUCCGGCAAAUAGAAGAUUCUCUGCUCUGCAUUCCUAAUCAACUAAGGUAUCCAGUACACGCAGCAGCAAUAAUCCUGACGCUCAUAAUUUUCACUGAAUUUCGUAAUCAACAAAAAGGUAUUUAGAUUCAGAUCCCUACGUUCGACCAACGUAUUCCUAAGUACGUACCAAUCCUAGUCAAAACAUAUGACUGCUGGUAAACAGGCUGAUACAUGGUUUAAUAUAAUACCGGUAAUUAUUAAGCAUUACCAGAACACAUGAAACCAGAGGAUUCUCGCGGGCAAUCAGAAUUAUUCACCAUUGGAUUAAGACGCAUAAUCUCAAACUAGAAUACCGAUGUAAUAUAACCACUGCAAGUCGGUAAGAGCAGCGAAUCAGACAACACAACUGAGAAACUAAUUCACAUCCCUGUGCCUGCCUAAACUUGGCCACUGAGAAUUUGCUGGAGUACAAAGAUAAGUCGCACAUAAAAUUCCAACAUAAUAUUGAAGAGAUCCGUCGACCUAAUUAACCAUCCCUCAAGUUAACAUGUUUACAUAACUGAUUGUCACAAAAAUUGAAACCAGCGGACCAGAUCUAGCGACCUCGACCGCGGCCACGCCCGCGACCACGCCCUCGUCCUCGUCCCAAAGGCCUCCCUGCAUCAUGACAGACAAAAAGAAAAAUUAACGGAAGAAUACGUAGUAAAAACAAGGAAGGACAGUAAAGAACAAGAGAAGUGGAAUCAUCAAGUAAUGGUCAUAUCAGCACAGUAGAUAACUUCCAUACCAGUGGUUGGCUUCUUAGGCUUCACCCUAGGUGUCUCUUCCACCAGCAAUGUCUCAAGGUUUAAGCUGUCUGGAAGGAUGUAAUAACGAAUGUUAUUGCCUCUCACACUCAGGUGAUCCAAAGUAACUGGGUUCUUUCCCUUUAGUGUAAGUUUUACAGUCUUCAAAUGUGUGUUCAUGCUGAUAUCCACACCUGUAACAAAGGCAACAAACCUACUAUCAGAAAGCAGGCCCAGCAACUAGUUUCAGACCAUAAUGUUUGUAUGGACUCAUCCAACAAGAUUAAGCAACAAAAUAAGCAUAAGGGCCUAAAGCAACUUGCAUCAGGACUAGGCUUUUGAUAACUAACAAAUGGGAAUUUCUAGCAUUUUUAAAGAAAAUCACACACAUCCUCAAGCAUAAACUGACUUGCAACUGUUAUGAAAAGUUAAAAAAAUAGCUCAAGUAGACAUUUAUACAGUAGCAAAUAGCAAUCCGAGUUGUUAUACACGUUUCACCAAAUUAACAACCUGCAAAUCAAAUUUCAGCCACUAUGAAUUAAGCGUGGUUAGCGCCAGACAAAGAAUGAUCAGAUCACAUGAACAUGCAUUUUAUGUCAAGCUCUCUGAAGUCUUUAUACUAAAAACCAAAGACUAUAAAUCGCUUCUGCAUGCUUUCACAAUGAUACAUCAUCAUCCAGCUAUCUGUCUAGUCAAAGAGGAAUAACUUUCUGAUCUUCUUCUAACCCAAUAUUGGUUUUACUGGGAUUGCAGCUUUAGGAGAGAAGACAGACAAGUGAAAAAAGAACUACUUUGUUUCAGAAUUGCACCAAUAUUUGGCACUUGAAAGGUCGCAUCAGGAAACUAGUGAAAAAAUCUUAAAAUCUGACCUUAAGGUGACUACAGUAAACAAAUUCCUAAUAUCAAACCAAGCAUAGGGCUUAUUAAUGAUCCCAUAACUGUGUAUAUAUUUCAAUUUACACUGAGUACCAAUCAUCCACUGCUUAAAUGUUUUAGGCACUCAAUGACUAGAAACAAAUAGAAAAAUAUAUUUUUUAGCUUAAGCACUGAUUGAGGCUCUAUUUCUCACUCCCCGAUGGCAUAGUUCACAGAAAUUGACUAAAUAAGAGAUGCAGUUUAUAUAACUCCACAUUCCUAACUUAACUCUCUUAAUAAUUUAAAGGAGUGAAGUACCAUAACUUCAACUAACUUAUCAAAAUAGAAAAUUUUGAACAUAUGCUGGGAAGACAACCUGCCUUUUCAAAUUUUAACUACGUCAUAUUCUAGGAUAUAGAAUGGGCCUUUUUUUUUAACCAACAUUCUCCAUCUCAGGAGUAGGCCAUUCAAGUAACCCCCCCCCCACCCAUUCUGUGCUUCAUUCUAAACCCUUAACUUGACAGUAGUUGUCAACAUGGAUUGAAACUGGCAUCCAAAGGAAAGUAAAAGACCACAUUAAAUAAAUAAACAUAAAUUCAAAUUUUAAAAAAAAAAAUGUGCUCAAAUGCAAGUGAUGCUUGCAGUUUGAAAAUUCAACAUGAAAGCAAAUGCAGAGCAACAGCAACAACAUUUGGAUGUUAAGAUCUAAAGGCAUGAAAAUACAACCAUUGAAGAAGACAAAGGCACACAACCAUCAAGAGGGAGCAGGGAUAAGAGACAGAGAUCUCUAUAGCAAUAUGUGGUAUGCUAGAUCAUUUUCAUCUCAUAGCUUAUCCGCUUAUCUGCAAAAUUUGUAGUCUAGGUCAGAGUGCUUCCAAUGUAUCAGCCUAACUCUUCUUUCAUCUAUUAUUCUAUCCAGAAGUUUACUUUAAUUCAGUAUUCUAUUUAGAUAGAACAAGAGUGUCAUCCGUAAAAGCCAGUAUCAACACAAUUUAGAACAUUGCAGUCCACAAUCCAAAAGUCGUCACCACAAAAUUACAAGUCCCAUUUCUGCUAAUCUGAUCCAGGUUCAGAGUUGAAAUUCAUUGAUAUCUGGUUCAGUAAUAAACAAGGAGAAAUCCUGUGGUUAAACAAGCAGUUGACAGUUCACUAUUCCCAACCCAGGCCUCUCAAUAUACUAGCAUUACGAUUUUCUGUUGGAAAAAAUUCACAUUGCGUGCACAACAGCAAAUGACAAAACCCAAUAUUCACCUCAGUUAUGUUCUGAACGAAGCAAAAUAUAGAACAAAACGUCCACCACAAGAUGUAAACAUAUAAUUAUCCACAAAAAAAAAGGACGUACAAAAAAAAUUGCUAAAGGCAUCAACACAAGUACAAAAAAGAAACCCUAAACUGCUAUUGACCUAAUUUCAAAAUCUUAUUCAGUAAAACAAAAAGCCGGAAAGUAGAAAAAGGACACCGAAAUCUCUCAGAAAAACCUAAUUCAAAAUUUUUAAGGCGGCUUUAGCUUGUUUUCACCCAAAAAACAGAUCGAGAAAACAAGUGGCUUAUAAAUCUCAGCGCGUCGGGAAGAGAGAGAGAGAGAGCAAGAGAACCUACCUGUAAUGGUUCCGUGAACAACGGUGCCGUUUUUUAGCUCAAUCGACACAGUCUCAUUGUUCAACUUCAUCAGAAAUCUGUUGAAAAUUUAGUUAGCAUACAGCUAUAAUAAGCGACUGAAAAUAUCAAAAGUAGUAAUAAAAUAAAGAAAUUUUACCUAACAAGCUUCAUUGUUGCAGAAAGAAGAAGACGAAUGCUACGGCUUGGCAGAAGCAACAACAGGGCACGGCCUCCUGGAGGAGCCAAGGGUUUUAGGGCAGAGGACUGCUUUGUCGCUUUGGACUCGCGACUACUUUAACAAAGAGCCCCGUUGACGUCUUGACGACGUCGUACACUGGCGCCCUUCUUUUGUUAUUCCCUUCGUUAGUUUCUCGUCGAGAUUGGGCCAGGCCCAUGACACUUGUGGUAGUCUAAUCGCCUUUAGCAAUGGACCACAAUGCAUUAAAACAAGGCUAGACAUUGUUGUGUAUUUUAGGCUUUCAGUAAGCCCAAAUAUAAUUUAUCUGUAAGCUAUUCUCUUUUCCUUUUUUCUUCCAAACCGUCAAAUAAGAAUUUAGUUGGUUUUUAAAAGAUAUCCUAAGUUUUUAUUUCUGGAACAAAUGAAAAAUAAAGGUUUAAGUCAAAUCAGUUAAAUAUUGUACAUUAUUGAGAAUUUUUGGUCAUUUAACCAAUUUAUAAUUCCGAAAAAUAAUGAGCGUGACUUAUUAUUUUUUUAAAAAAAAAAAGAAUUGAGCUACAGGGGAAGCCGUGUCUUGCGAAAUAUUUCCAUGUUGCUAAGGGAAGUUUCGAGCAUUGAACACUGCUACUGCUUAAAUCAUCUCGAUGGCCUCAUUUUGGGCAGACGAUCUAGGGGUGUCCGUUGCUGCAGCCCAAAUAAAAUUUUGAGCGAUUAGAACAUGAAGGCCAACCUCUUACUUUUUCAUUUUCUUUUUUUUUUUUUCCAAUGAGGGGAGGUGGAAUUUAAGAAGCGAAAAUACAGAUUUGAAUUCAGAAUGAUUUGUGUGAAGGUCAUCCCGUAGUAUAUAUUUUUUGAUAUACAUCUGGAGUAAGAAUAGUUGAGAAGGAAGCCUACUAAAGGGGAAAUUUUAUUCCUUAACUUGUGCAACUUGCCAUGAAUUGACCUUAGAAAGACAAGGCCCUUGCCAUGAAUCGAUGGCUAAACCACAAGUCCACGAUAUGUAGCUGGAAAAGAUGCAGUAGUAGAGUAUUCUUUUGCUUGAUAGCAAUUGCAUGGCUGUCCUAAUAACAAGUUGUGGUGUGAAGGACUAAUUGCAAGAUUAACAUUCAACUGCAUGGUUGCAUGUAUUUGAAUGAUGUUGAGAAUCAAAAGAAGAUUAACGUUGUAUAUGGUCCCAAAAACCAUCUUUUAUUCCAAGGAAUAGUAUAGUAAUCCAAAGACACCGACCAUAAGGCCAUUAUUCGGUGCUAAAUAACAACAAAAGUAAUCAUGUAUAGACAGACACACACAAAAAGCAGCAGCAGCAGCAUGAGUUGUGACUUGAGAAGCAAUCCACUCUUUGACAGAGAGUUUAGGCUGUGGAGGUGAAGUUAAAGUUUG
rnacentral:lncRNA from 1 species